CAUGCUUGAGCCGCGAUUGAGGUCCAUUUUCAAGAAAAAGACUUUCACUUUUGGGUCAAUAUGGAGCUCAUCUUCAGUAGGAUUUCCACAAUAAUGUUUGAAACUACAGCUGUCAUCAUAUGUUUUCAACCUGAAAUUGCCCCUUUCCGGCCACUUCCCUGUAUUUAUUGGAUGAGCAACAAAUUAGUACAACAUAUAAAUCCGGCCAGCUUUUAUUUCUGGUAAUGGACUACAAUGUCCCUGCGCAAAUUCUUCCAGCAAUAUCCCCCUUUUUAAGAUCCUUGUCAUAUGCUUGCUCAUGAUUAAUGGAAGAGUAAAAUUAUUAAAAGAAAAGCAUGUUAGAUCUUUUUCUUUUCUUUUUUUUUUUUAACACGGUACAAGAAAACCCCUGUAAUUAUUGAAGUACUUUUUCUUUUUGUUUUGUUUUAAGUGAAACUAGAAGUUUUCUAUUACAAUUUCUCCUUUUUUUUUUAAGGUUUUGAACUUGAUGAGUGUCUUUCAAUUCCCCCAGAAUCCAAGGGAAACAAACAAAGACGCAACUCGAGCAAUAGAAGCACAGUAAACGGUAGAUAUAGGAAAGGACCAUUUCUGAGACAAACCAUCUUUUAGCAGGUCUCUAACAGCUUUGGGCAUAGGAGUGUUUGGAAGCUCGGAUUUCCAGUAGGCUUCAAGAUCUGCAUGGUUUGCCCCAACUCCUAGCUGAAAUAUAUUUCACGAUACGGAAAAAGAGUUAUGCAGUCAGUUUGCACACUAUCCAAAGUGCGAGCAAAUUAUCUAUCUAAAAAUUAACGUAGCUUAACUUUUUCAGUAAUGUACACUCACAAAAAGAAAAGAGAGAAAGUAGAGAAGCUUCAGAAAUUCCAUAAUAGUUUAUGCGCACGAGCCACGGUAGGCUGCUAGUAUGCAAGACGGAGUGAAGAUAGUAAUAAAAGCCAAUAUAUUUGAGCGAGAUGGCACAAGAAACUGGGCAGCUUUAUUUAUAAGCGGAAGAGCCAAGCGGGACUCGGGGCAGGGACGGUUGCAGGUGCAACCGUUCCUGCCAAUUUUAGCUCAUUUUAACUGCGCGUAACAUUGGUUCAACUGCGCGUAACUUUUUUUUUCACAACAUGUAUUUUCACAACAGAUAGUGGUGGGCCCCACACUUGGCGCGAAUUUCGAGUUACAUGGUGUUAUUUCAACCGCACAAAAUUUUGAGGGCCAAUUUUCAGCCGCACAAAAUUUUAACCGUGCAGGGACGGUCAUACUGAUGACCGUCCCUGCCCCAAAUCCAGCCAAGUGCGAUUGCCAAUUGUUUGAGAGGGGGACAGUUUUGAUAUGGUGGCUGUACGGCACCAAUCAAGUUUUGACAUUGUUACUCUAAACAUGCACCUUAUCUACGAGUAGGCUUCUUGAGGGACAGUGAAGAUAAUACUGAAGGCAAAAAUACAUAAGUGAGAUUUCACAGGAAAUUGGCCGCAUUUUAGAUAAAUGAACUUAAUCAUCACCUACAAUUAAAUGUGUGACUAAGAAAACCGUCAUCUGUACCUUGAUUGUCACCAAGAAAACUGUAAUAUGUACUUUUAUUGUUACCAAAAAUCCGAUUGGUGAAAAUACUACCAACUUAUAACAUUGAGAAUUGAGUAUCUAGUAGUAUACCUAAAAAAGAAAAAAAAUUCCAUUUGAGAACCCUAAGAACAUAAUACUAAUAUCUCCAAAGCUCAUCAAAAUUCAGCAUAAUCAUGCCACAUGUAAAAGUGGGGUACAUGAUAUACAUGGAUGAGGAAAUUGUGGGCUAAUGUGGAGUGACAGGUGCCGAACCUGUGCAAUAAUAAAUCACUACUCGAAAGAAAAACAAAUUUUGCAUAUAGUGACGAGUAGGGUCGAAUCCACAAGGACUGAAGAUAAUUCGUUUCUUUUAGAAUUCAAAGUAUGGAGGUUUUCAGGAUUAAAUGCUAACUAAUUAAAUGCAAAAAUAAUUAAUUAAAAGAAAUAAUUAGAGAAACUCUAGCCAAGGAUACACUUCAGAAAUGGUUCAUGUACUGAUCAUCGAUUCACAGAUAAUUCCAAUAUUUAUUAAUAGAUUAGUUAUAGUUGUCAUGCACGCGAUAAACAACCAACCUUUCCUUAAUUUCUCGAUAGUUAAGGUACGACCGUUAACUAUUUCUCUAACUCGGAAACAACCUUAGGUACGACCGUAGGAUUUAAUUUCUAGAUUGCAUUAAUAAUUAGAAAAGUCCAAUCCUAACUAACAAACACGCUACGAGGGUUUGUUUAAACUAGAUCGUAUGUUCCCCUGACAUAAACCCAAUUACGCCAGUUGCUACUGGGAUGGAGAUAAUCGAACAAUUACGGAUUUAACUACCUCUAAUUAGCAAAUAGCCUACGUGAAUAAUUAAAUAUUGCGCACCUAUUCAAUCAUACACGAUAGCUAUACCAACAAUUAAAAGCAGAAAACAUAUAAAUACCAAUAAAUGAAGGAAAUAAUUAAAAAAAUUUAGAUCUCACAGUAAUUGCCGAACCAAAUCUUCAGUUGUCCUUUGACUAGAAUUAAGAAGCUAGUUUUCCAUUAAUAGAGAACCAGCCGUGCGAAAAUAAAACAAUCGGAGCUUUCUAAUGUUUUCAGAUGGGAAAAGGAAACUAAAGCUGAGCCCCCCAAUUACACGUGAAUCUGGCCCUUUUAUAUCUUCAGUAGCCGCCGCCCCCGAGAAAACUAACGUCUGACCUUAAAAAGCAAAAGCUAAGCUAAUGACUAAAUGCCCCUCCCGUAAAUUUGGCUUUUUUCCUCCUUUAUAGCGCCACCAGGAGCCAAGAAAACGUUUGACCCAAUUAACGAAACCAAAGCUAAUCUUUUGGAGUUUUAAUCCCAUGCUUCUCGCGGUUCACGUGGACCCAACCUUCUAAUUGCCCACUUUUGUUGCUACCAAGCCCGCGGGUCCGGCCUUUAGGUGAGUCUCCUCAGUUUCUGGCGUGGGCACGCUCUGAAAUGAAGGGUCUUCUGGAAAUUUGCCUCAAGAGAUUACUUUUAACACCAAUCACCUACAAUUCACACAAAUAUCAAAUAUGAGCAAAAUCUCAAUACGUAGCACAGUAAGUAGCCAAAAUUGGGACAAAAUAACAGUGCAAAAUGUGCCCAAUAAUUGCUCUAUCAAAUCCCUCCACACCUAGACAAUGCUUGCCCUCAAGCAUUUCAAAGUUCAGAAAUACAAUCAAGAAAAGAUAGGUCCUGCAGUAAUCUACACUAACACAAGCAUCCCACAUUCUUGACAAUGCCGCCAAAAUUAGAAUACACUAGAUAGGUGGUGAUCCGAAGAAUAUAAGCAGUAAUACUCGUCACCUUCAAGAAAAUGUAUGAAUACUAGGAACGCUCAAAUCAACAUUAGGAAAUGACAUUACCAUAGGCUUGCACAUUUAUCACAUCUCCACCACUGAAAAGUGAACUAAAUAUACAAAUCAAAGGGACUUUAAUAGGGUUGUAAUAGGGCUUAGGUAAAAGGCGGGAUAAGAAGGUAAAAAUAGGGUAUAAUAUGUCAAGAGAAUGUCUGAUAUCCACCACAUCACCACAACGCUUCAUCAGAGAAAUUUCACGAGCAAGGCAUUUUCAUUUGCCAUUUCCACUGUGCAAGUGUCAAAACUCUUCUCCUGUUCUCUUUUUUUUUUUUUUUGAACAAGCGGCUCACAAGGCGUGGGCACGUCUUGUAGGCCGGAGUCUUCUGCUCACGAGCUUUUUUUUUUUUUUAACGGAGCAGAUGUCUUGCAAGGCGUGGGCACGCCUUGUAGGCUGGAGUCUUCUGCCCACCAGCUCAUUGCCGACUUCUCCCCCUUCCCUUUUUUUCUUUUUAUCUCAGAUACACAGAGCACCGUACAACUUCUAUUCCGACAACACUCGCUACCUUAGAUUCAUUUGCCUUGCACAAACAACGGAAUUCAGACAUUUCUUGACGACACAAGGUUAAACAAGAAAGUCUAAAAAGGUCAUGGGUUAUCAAACACGGCUAAUCAAAUAAUAGUGAAGGAUAAAAGCUCAAAUAGGUUCACUACGGGGAGACAAGAUGAAGGGCAUGGUUUGUAGAAAGUUAAAGAAGGUUAAAUCCUAAAUGCCCUUAUCAUUUGAAAUGCAUCCAGUUCAACAAAAUGUGGUCUUGACAUGUACAAAAUAGCAAGUUCUAGAAUGCCAAUACCAUGUGUGAUACCCACUCAAUCAAACAAGAAUAGAGCGAACAAGGAUAAUGUGCUCAUACAAGGCCCAAAAGCUCCCAAAAGUUUCAAGAAUGAGUCAAGUCCAGCAUAUUCAAUAUUCAACACUAUUGUCAAGGAAAAACAAAAUGUAUAACUAGUAUGUAUAACCACAUAUCCGUGCACCUUGAUUGUGCAAUCCAUCAUAGCAACAUGCUCUAGCAGUUAACAAAUGUAGGACUAGAGAAGUCAACUAACUACACUUUUUUUCUUUUUUUUCUUCAUUUUCCUCUUCAUUUUUUUCUUUUUUUUUUGUGUUUCUUUUUUUUUUUUCUUAAAAGCAAAGCAAAAGGAGAUAAUAAUGGAAGUCAUCCCUCCACACCUAAUACCUACAUUGUUCUCAAUGUAGAAAAGAUGAAUGAAGUAUAAGGAGAAAAUGAGAGAAACUUCCCUGACCACCGAGAGGGUGCAGCGAGACACUAAGGCGGAGAAGGGUGGGGUGGCUAGAAUCCAAUGUGAGCAAAGAAAGUCGUCUGAUGAGAGAGAUAGUGAUGGUGGGGCGGGCAGCGGCGUGCGAUGGAUGGCGCGAGGGGGAGAGAGAGAGUUUCUAGCGGCGGUGGACAAGGGGGAAACCUUGGACUAAAACAAAACAAAGAAAAUUGAAAAGUAGAAGCUGAGACAAUGGAAAUUGAUAAAACCAUACAAGACAAGAAAAGAGAAAAGUAGAAAGUGGGAUUAGAGAGGGUCCUGGUCAAUCUUUGACUUUUGUUGGCGCAAAGGCUGGAAGGCGUGGGCGCGCCUUGGAAGCUAUAGUCUUCUGACCGUCAAUUCCAAAGCUUCAUUCCUUAGGCGUGACCAACGAAAGUGGGCAUGUCUAACUGCUAGCUUCCUGCCACAAAACAACAACCCACUAAAUGACACUAAUACUUAACAAAAAUUUCGAAAAUAUAAGAAAACUAAAACAAAAGAAGCCUUGGGUUGCCUCCCAAGCAGCGCCUUUCUUUAAUGUCUUUAGUUAGACAUCGUCAUGUUUAUUCACGGAGGAUAAAAUCGUGUAGCUCGUCUCAGUAUUUCAUCUUCUAUGUAUCCUUGAUAUCCCUCGUAAAUAGAGUAAUUCUUGAGCACACGAGGUAUGGUCUUCCAUGGAUUAGUAGAUGCCUCUAAACAAGUCGAUAAGAAUCUUAGUUCUUCACUUACUCCUCCAUUACGAACACUUAAUGGUUCGAGAUAUUUUUCCAUUGCAACUCUUAACUUAUUCCUGUCAUGAAACUCAAAAUUAUCUGGCAUAAUAAAAUCUAUUUCACUAACAGGAUUUAAAGAAUAAGAGUUCGAAAAAUAUUGACUAAGGAAUGGAGGAAAUGUCACCGCAUUUAGGGAUUGUUCACUGAAUUCAUUCACUUGAACAAUUUGAUAUUGGGAUCCUAUUUCUUCCACUUCAAUUCUCUUCUCAACUGCAUCUUUAGCUUCUUCUUCUUGAGACUCUUGCAGCUCCAUGUCAUUUGUCAGGAUAAUUGCACUCUCAUCAUCAUCAUGAUCGAUAAUCAUCUGUGAAGGCAAUUCUUCACUCAUUCGAGAAGUCAAUUGCGUUAUUCUAGAUGUCAUUUGAUCCAUUUGAUCUGCCAAGUUACGCAUGCUCGCUUGUGUCUCCUGAUGAAAUUGAUAUGUGUUAGUAGCUAAUAAUUCAAUCAUUUCUUCAAGAGACAUACCUGACAUAGAUGAUGGUUGUUGAGACUCUUGCUGUUGAAAACCUAUUGACCUUUGUUCAUAAUUAAAAUUGGAAUCAUCCCACCAUCCUUGAUCAUACCCAUUUGAAUAAGGGUCAUACCAUGUUUGAUAUUGAGGUGAAAAAUCUCCAAAAGUAUCGAUUGGAGCACCUGGGCCAUCUUGAAAUGCGGGAUAUAUGUCAGUUGAUUGACCUGAGGCAAAAUAAGUUCCACAAUUCGCAACAGCCUAUUGAUCAUUAGAAAAAACAUGAGUCUCAUAACCCCAUCUAGAAAUAAAAUCCACUCUAUCACCAAAAUACAGAAUAUUAGUAGCCAUAAAAAAAAGAUGAACUAAAAAAGAAACAAAUUAAUCAAGCGCCAGUCCUCGGCAACGGUGCCAAAAAUUAACAGGUGCCGAACCUGUGCAAUAAUAAAUCACUACUCGAGAGAAAUACAAAUUUUGCAUAUAGUGGUGAGUAGGGUCGAAUCCACAAGGAUUGGGGAUAAUUCGUUUCUUCUAGAAUUCAAAGUAUGGGGGUUUUCAGGAUUAAAUGCUAACUAAUUAAAUGUAAAAAAUAAUUAAUUAAAAGAAAUAAUUAGAGAAACUCUAGCCAAGGGUACACUUCAGAAAUGGUUCAUGCACUGAUAAUCGAUUCACAGAUAAUUCCAACAUUUAUUAAUAGAUUAGUUAUAAUUGUCAUGCACGCGAUAAACAACCAACCUUUCCUUAAUUUCUCGAUAGUUAAGGUAUGACCGUUAACUAUUUUUAUAACCCGGAAAUAACCCUAGGUAUGACCGUAGGAUUUAAUUUCUAGAUUGCAUUAAUAAUUAGAAAGGCCCAAUCUUAACUAACAAAUACGCUACGAGGGUUUGUUUAAACUAGAUCGUAUGUUCCCCUGACAUAAACCCAAUUACGCUAGUUGCUACUGGGAUGGAGAUAAUCGAAUAAUUACGGAUUCAACUACCCCCAAUUAGCAAAUAGCCUACGUGAAUAAUUAAAUAUUGCGCACCUAUUCAAUCAUACACGAUAGCUAUACCAAUAAUUAAAAGUAGAAAACAUAUAAAUACCAAUAAAUAAAGGAAAUAAUUAAAAUAAUUUAGAUCUUACAGUAAUUGCCGAACCAAAUCUUCAGUUGUCCUUUGACUAGAAUUAAGAAGCUAGUUCUCCAUUAAUGGAGAACCAGCCGUGCGGAAAUAAAACAAUCGGAGCUUUCUAAUGUUUUCAGAUGGGAAAAGGAAACUAAAGCUGAGCCCCCGAAUUACACGUGAAUCUGGCCCUUUUAUAUCUUCAGUAGCCGCCGCCCCCGAGAAAGCUAAUGUCUGACCUUAAAAAGCAAAAGCUAAGCUAAUGACUAAAUGCCCCUCCCGUAAAUCUGGCUUUUUUCCUCCUUUAUAGCGCUGCCAGGAGCCAAGAAAACGUUUGACCCAAUUAACGAAACCAAAGUUAAUCUUUUGGAGUUUUAAUCCCAUGCUUCUCACGGUUCACGUGGACCCAACCUUCUAAUUGCCCACUUUUGUUGCUGCCAAGCCCGCUGGUCCGGCCUUUAGGUGAGUCUCCUCAGUUUCUGGCGUGAGCAUGCUCUGAAAUGAAGGGUCUUCUGGAAAUUUGCCUCAAGAGAUUACUUUUAAUACCAACCACCUACAAUUCAUACAAAUAUCAAAUAUGAGUAAAAUCUUAAUACUUAGCACAGUAAGUAACCAAAAUUAGGACAAAAUAACAGUGCAAAAUGUGCCCAAUAACUGCUCUAUCAAGGAGGCAACAAAAUAAAUCAAAAUGUGGAAUCUCUUAUCUAUUUAAGUAGUUUUGUUAUGUCUUACUUGUACCUAAAACUAUUACGUUCUACAAUUAAAGCAUAUGGUUAUUGUUAUGAGCUUGUAACUUCGAUUCCUUAGCAUCAACUUGCGUUUAGUUUUAGCCGAGUAUCAAGCUAUGCAAAACAUACUUAGAUAAGUUUGGUAUACACACCGAAUUGCAUUCACAUAUUAUAAUUCCACCUAUAAACAGCAACUCUAAAUUAUAAUAUUUUUAAACAAUAGAUACAAACAUGAAAAUCGUUAAAAUUAAAGAGGUAAAUUAGUCAUUAGUUUUGCUUUUGUCGCUUAAGUUGUACAUCACUUAGUAUAGAAUUUUCCAUGUAGUAUAUUUCAAAGCACAUAAACAUAAUAAUGUUUGAUGAUAUAAGAAGAGCUUAGAUGAAAAUAUAUAAUAAUAUAAGAAAAGUCAUGUAAAUUGAAUAUAAUAAUAUUAGUUAAAGGUAUUUGCAUUUUACAUGGUAUGGGCUUCCUAAGGAAAUGUCAAGAAUAUUCUUAUUUGACAACUAAAAUGAUUGAAGUGACCAAAAUAAAUAAAUAUAAUAUGCAUCACAUUUUAACCCGUCAUGGUUUUGUGUUUUAUUACAUAAUCCCAAUUAUUUUAGUGCUAUACCACAUAACCCUCAUAUGAUUUUUAAAAUACAUAACCCCCUAUGGUUAAUUAAUAAUUUUAGAUUUUAUAGAUAUUUUAAUUGAUUUCAUUAUGAAAUACAAAUAUAGUCAUUUUGACACUUUAGUUCAAAUUAUGAGAGGAUUAUAUAAUUUUUUCAAACCACAAGAGAGUUAUAAAUUUACUAAUAUUUGGUUCCCAUGUGAGGGCCAUAUUUAUUGUCAGAUAGUCCAUUAGCGUAGGUCCAUAUGACAAUUUGGAAGUAUUGAUGACUUGAUGUCAAGAGGCUUGAACUAAAAGACUAUUUAAAAAAAAAAAUCAAUAAAACUACUUUCAUUUAGUCCAAACAAAAUACAAUAAAAAACGUACUAAAAAGUUUUCAAAUAAUUUAAACUUAAAGUUUGGUGCUACCUGGACUUUUCUAAAGUGCUAUAAAAACGCAGCAGGUUCACGACAGAAAACAGUUGACUAUUGAGAGGUUGUAUCCAGGAAUAUUUAUUAAGGAUUAAAAUUGAAUCCUACAAUUCUCAGACAGUUUAGUAAUUGCCCUUCACUUUCUUCGUCCUAUGAGUCUGGAGUGGAGUGGUGGUAGUGGUCGACAGUGGAGGGAGUAGAGUGGUGGUUGUGGAGAGGGAGGGAGGAGGGAAGAGGAAGAAGGGACAAUGUGUUUGGGGCCGGGGGAGGAAGAAAAGAAAAUUUUUUUUUUUAUAUUUCUUAAAUACCUAACUAUACAGAAGUUUUUUCACAAAUUUUAUAGUAAAUUACAACAAAAUUUUAUACAAAAAACCAAAAAACUCACCAUUUAAAUGGGGUACUGGUUUGACAAAAAAAAAAAAAAAAGGGGUAUUGGAUAAUCAGAUAACCCCCCUUCUUAUAUUAGCUAGGGUCACAAAGCUCAAGUUAUUUCCAUGAUUUCAAUGUGUUUCUCUUGGAUUCUAUCUCUCACAUAUAUUAAUUGCUGCGUUGGUUUUGUACUUGAUGUCCAUUUGGGGUAUAAGUUGGGCGAAUAAAAGUAUAAUUAGAAGGUGAAUAUAGGAACAGAUAUCUGUUACAAGGUUGCAGAAACCUUCAGAAGGACCCUGCAGAUGAUAAUCUUGCAAAAAAGGGUAGCCCCUAGAGGAUAUCUCUUAUAAUUUCAAGAUGUGAUGAUAAGGUUAGAGCAAUGGGCAUUAGCACACUGAUCGUUCGGACAUACGUUGGGAGCAUUGUUUAAGGUUUCCAUCAAUUGAGUAUGAUACGUGAAGACAAGACACUUCAAAUCACAAGAGCAACGGUUAAUUCCAAUUUUCACUCUUCAACUAUAUUUUUAUUUUCACUUUAAUUUCUAAAUUUUAAAGUGGAAUACUUUAUUUCUUAAAAAAAUAAAAUUUGUCUGCUUAAAUAAAAUGGUUGACGGAAAUAGGACAUAUUUUAUAUUUAAGUGAGAUACAUCUUAUGCUUUAAGAAUUAAAGUAGAACAAAUUUUAUUCAUAAAUAGAAUACUUUUUAUAUAUAUAUUUUUAGAACUAAACAGUGAAAAAUUUCACUUAAAUUCAAUAGAUUUUAUGUUUUAGAUAUAAAAGUGUCUCGUUUUCAAGUUUAGAUACCAAACUAGGGAUUCAACUAUAGUUAAACGGUGCAACAUAGAAUUAACUCCAAGAGGAAUUUUUUAGUUAUCUGGAAAGAGAAAUAUUUUAUAAAUCUGUCCCCUCCUCAUUAGUGGCUCAAAUUGAACACGGCAGGCUACUAGUGCCCAUAAUGCAUUUAACGUCAUCAUCGCUAAUACGGACGGAUUGUGGUGGCCGGGGUUGGCAUUUUGGGGGACAGUUGAUAGUGCCACUGGCGUGCUUCAAUUUGCCACCAUGACAGUGCCAUCUCAGCCGCCCCACUCUAAAAGAAAAGGAAAUGAAAAAAACUAAAAAUAAUAAUAGAUGUCUAAUGAAUAAUAACAAAUUGUAUUGCUGACGAGACCUUGGUCUAAUAAUUAAGUUGAGAUCCUCCUUCUUUUUUCCUAUUUGUUAAAUCUCAUUCAUUUUCUACUAAAAUAUUUUGAGGAAAGAGAAAAACAAAUUAUAUCUUUUGUGUAGUCGACUUGAACAAAAUACUAAAUAGCUUAGCUCGAUAUACUCGCAAAAAGAAGUGAAGAGACUUUUUGAAAUUAUAGAGAAAUUAUGUUGCAAAAAUAGACUUUUUUUUAAUAUUUUACUGUUGGAAAGAAAUUUACUUUCUUCUUUUUCUUUUCUUCUUUUUCCUCUGUUCUCGAGAAGGUAGUGUUAAAUUAAACUAGCAUGGCAUCAAAUAGGGCUGCAAAUGAAUCGAGCCGUUAAUCGAAAUCGAGCUCGAACUCGAGAUCAAAAUAUUAAACUCGUUAGCUCGCGAGCCGACUUACAAGUUCGAGUAUAUAUCUUUUUUUUUUAAUUUUUUAAUUUAAGUAUAUAUAUUUUUUAUUUUAAGUAUAUAUAUUUUUUAUUUUAAUAGUAAAAUUACAUAUAUAUCCUUAAUAUUUUAUUAUUUAUUAAAAAAUAUUAUUUUAUUUAUUUUUUAAAAAAUACAAUAUUUAUUUUUUAUUUUUUUCGAGCUCGAGCUCGAGCUUGAAAUUGUCAGCUCGUCGAGCUCGAGCUCGAGUUCAAUAAAAUUAAGUCAAGACUCGGCUCGAUUAGGUCAAAACUCAACUCGAUUCGACUCGUUUAAUUUGCAGCCCUAACAUCAAGUCAGUCUCAGCAAUCAAUAGCACUUAAAUGGUCCCAUGAUUAGGCGUGUCAAUUGAGAUUUUUGAGCUAGACUUUGGUAAGCCCAAGCUCAACUCACAAUAAAAAUAAUGUGUGUUUGGAUAUCAAUUUUUUUUAUCAAAAUAUUAUUUACUUGCAUCAUAAUUAUAAUUUUCAAUCAACUCUGUAUGUUCCUAAUAACUUUUUUAUCUUACAUACAUCAUAUCAUAAAAAGUGUUAUAAUAAUUAUUUCAAAUAAUCUCCUAUCCAAACACACUCAUCAUAAUUUUCUUAAAAUUUGCACUAAUGACAAAAGUUACAUCAUCAAUCAUACACCAAUAUCAAAGAACAUAUCUAAGAAGUACGGAGACUACAUAUUUGAAGAAUAAAUAAAAAUUAAAAUAAAAUAAUUGUAACUCCAAGAACAUUUGUGCAUGCUUACAAUCCAAAUGAAGAUGCUUUAAUCUAGUGUCAGUUUUGCUGAAAGGUAGGGAAAAUGAAAUAAAAUGUUCAAUUUGGAAUGAAACACACAUACAAUUAUCACUAUGUAGAUUCCAUAUUAACUUGGCCUAAUAAUAGAGUAGGUAAAAGUUCGCCCGUUAGGGGAUUGCUAUUAUUAUGGUAGAUCAACUUGCAUAAAAAAGAAAAAUUUUUAUAUAAAAACAUGGAUAUAGAUGCUGAGAAGGCCUUAGUUGAAUGGUUAAAAUUAAAACGCCAGAAAUUCGAGAUUUUGGAUUCAAAUUCCUUGUCCCCUCCUGCUUCUUAAGUCGCACAUCUCCCCUGAUGAUGAAAAAGUUUUUUUUUUUUUUUUUUUUUUUUUUUUUGUAAAUGGAUACAGAUAGAGGUCAGGUUCGGUCCAGAAGGUUGAUGUAUGUGUUGUAGAUUCAUCCAAAAGUUUGGCAUAUUUUGUUAUAGGAUCUAUUUUGCAAUCAUUCAACGUAAAAUAGUACACAAAAUUUGUACAUCAACCAUCAAUAAUACUCAUCGAGUACCUUUACGGUUGAGGAAAUAUUACACCGACAUAAUUGAUACUACAACUGGCAGAGAAGAGACUAAACAAGGAUUAACUUAUUUAUGGGUAGAUAAUCAGUCGCACUCCCAAGCCAAGCUGAUAUUGUCUACUUAAGAGGGGGAUUAUAAGUUCAAAUGGUUUUAUAUUUGAUAUUGUCUACCAGUUUAAAAAGGUUUAAGUCAUAACUAAGUAUUGUUGGACUGUCAUACUAAUAGCUUAGAACUAACUUGGAACCACCUGAAGGGAUAUAAAUUUCUAUCUGAGUUGUAAACUUGUAAUUUGUAAGUCUUGAAGGUCUUGAUCUUACACAUUUGAAUUUAAAAAAUUUGAAGUGGGUGCCACUACACCCUUCUAAUCUAAACGGGCCCCAUAUAUAACACAGUUGGGGGUAAUAUAUGUGCUCCCAAUUAUUAAAAAGCAAACAAAAACCUUACCAGCAUUUUGGUCCUAUGUGAGGGCCACAUCUAAUGUGAGAUUGUCCUUAAGCAUAGGUCCAUACUACAAUUUACAAGGAUUCAUGACUUGAUGUCAAGAGGGUUGAAUUAAGACUACUUUCUUGUAUGCUUAAAAAAAAGACUACUUUCUUGUACACCAAACAAAAUAUCGAAAAAACAUAUUUUCUAAAAAGUUUAUUGGGAUGAUUUGAACCCAAGGCUUGGCACUACCUGGACUUUUCUAAAGUGCUGUAAAUUUUUUUUGUUUGGGAUAUUCACAGCAAUGAUGGCUGGAUCACCUCAACCUACUUUAAUUUGCAGCCUGCCGACUUUUCUGCCCUGCCUUAAAAGAAAAGGAAAUUAAAAGUACUUAGAUAUUAAGAAAUGUCAAAUAAGAAACUUUACCUCUUGUGCAGUCAAAUUGGACAGAAAGCAGCUUCGCUCUAACCUAAACUAGAAGAAAGUAAAGUGGCUAUUUUGAAACUACACAGAUUGCAAAAUCUUAAGUAAUAGAUUACCAAAAGGAAAUUUACCAUCUAUUUCUUUUUCGUUCUGCUGAAAGUAGUUUAACCAGCAUGAUUUCAAGCCACAGUACUCAACACAACUUGAAUAGGCUCACGGCGAUGGAUCCCUUCGUGGACUUGACUCGAGUACGCAGCAGGUUCAGUGCAGUGAAGGGUUAAUCCAAGGAAUUAUAAGGAGAAAGUUUCAUUGAGUUCCUCACUCCACCACCAGUUUAGCAGUUACUCUUCACCUUCAGCGUCUCUGAGUCUGGCUCAUUUGUUUAUCAAUUUUGUUUGUUAUUCUGUCAGGCGCACAGAGUCUGCUGAAGUCAAGUCCAACGAGGAGUCCAUUAUCUUGAGCCUAGCUACUGGCUUCAAAUGAGCACAUUUUUUGAUGAAUUAUUUCAUUUUUAUCUGUCAAAAUAUAUAUAUAAUCUUUUAUGUAUGAAGUUGAAACUACUAAUUAAGUUCGUAUAUUUUCAAAAGUUAUCUUCUUAAACAUAUAAAACCAUUAUAUACAUGUAAUUAGGAAUACGAAAGUGAUACUUGAACUCCCAAAUUACUCUUUUGCAUUCGCUGAUGGCAUUUCAUUGAGUGAAUAGAUUAAUGUUAGAAAGGCUAACAUAGGAAUGCGAAUAUCACUCAUCACUACAAGAAAAUUACCAUUUAAUGACACUCAAAAAUGCCUCUUUUUGUAUGUUUUAGUGACAAUUUUUAAUCUAAUAGCAUUUCCCCCGAGUGUUGGCAAUAUCACUGCCACUAUAGUCUAGUGACACUUGAAAAGUGCCACAAAAGAGUUACUAUGAUAACAUUUUAACAUUUCAUUGUACUAGGGAUAUGUGUCAUGAGAAGAUGCCACUAUGUCAUUUUUUUUGGGUGUUUGCGAAUGCCAACAAUUUAAGUUUUGAUACAACUUUAAAUGCCACUAUUUAAAACUUUCCUGUCACUUUGAAAUGCCACUAAAAAAUUAAGAAAAUAAAAAAAUAAUUUGAAAUUAAAAAUCAAAGUACUCUUAUUGAUCCGGGUAAUUAAUUACAACUCAAGAAAAUGAAAGUUUCGCCAAUUAAACAAGUCACUAACUAAUAAAUCUAGUAAGAAAUUAUAUGACAACAAUAUAAACAAAUUCAUGCAUUUUACAAAUGAAACAUGUCUAAAGACAUUAAUCUUUUAAGCUGAUAACUUGGAAAAGAUCAUGUCUUCUUUGCUUCAUUAAUCUCUCAAAUGCUAUGUAAUCUGCAUUUAAACAAUACAAUGAAUAUAUUACCUCUUCUCAAGGAUUAGUUAGUAAAAAUAUUAACUCAACUCAAGAUAUUAGCAAUAGUGGUUGAAAAAUUAACAAUGAUCAAAGUGGGAAGUAAAAUGGGGCACCUUGAACUUGCCAUAGAGAUACUAAAGUGAUAGGUUGUCGAGCCUAUGCAAUAAUAAAUACCUGCUCAAACAAAAGUUAAUUUCUGCAGAUAGUAAUAAGUAGGGUCAAAUCCAUAGGGAUUGGGGAUAUUUGUCUCUUUUGGAGUUCAAACUAACAAUGGGGGGUUUUUAUAGUAAUGACAAUGAUUAAACAGUUCGAAUAAAAUCAAAUAGCUAACUAAAAAGUAAACGACAAGUCACUAAAAUUAGAUUAAUGAUAACUAAAGUUCUAGCCAAGAAAUAACUUCAGCAAUGGUUCACCUAAUUGAUCAUCAAUGCAAAGGCAAUUCCAAUUAUUUACUAAUAAAUAGGUUAUAACUGUCAAACAAGCGAUGACAGUCAACCCUUCCUUACUGUGUCGGUGAUUAAGGUAUACCCAUUAACCACUACUCUAAUUGAGAAAUAAUCAUAGGUACGCCCGUAAGAUUUAAUUCUCUAAUUGCCUUACGUAUUAGAGGAGUCCUGUUCUAACCAAAUAACGCACUACCAGGGUUAUUUUAUGUUAGCCCGCGUAUUCCCCUGACACAAACCCAAUCAUGCUAGUUGUCACUAUUUCAGGGCAAUUAAACAAUUACAGAUUUAACGCUCCAUUUGACAAUAGAUUACUAAAUUAACUAAUUAUCUGGAUCCAAGACAAUCAAUUAAUUGAAUAACCAUGAACACUGUAAUCAGAGAAUAUGCGAAUAUCAAUAAAUAAAAGAAAAAGAUAAAAUUAAAUCGAUCUCACAAUUUUUAGGCGAACCAAAGCCUCAGUUGUUCCUUGACUAGAAAAGGUAGUUUUGUUCAUCUUUAACGAAUAAAGCCCACAGGAGAUCGAAGCAACCGUAGCAGCCAUUGACUCCAAAAUUGAGAAAAUUCAAUUCGGUUCAGCAAUGAAGAAAAAGUCAAGAUUACAAAGAAUGCCCAAUUGCUUUUCUUUGCCUUCACAUCUGAUGGAAGCAAAAGCACAAUAAGAUGACAAGAGGAAAAGUCAAAAGAAAAGCUAAGCUAGAGGUCCUACCAUACGAAGAAAGAAAAACUACCCAAGAAAAGUCAAUGGAAAGCUAUUUAAUAUCUAGUUCCUACUGCUACUGUCCGGCGUCCGCGGCCAUGAAGAGACCGAAGAAAACUCUAGCCUUUUUAUCCUCUUUCCAUGUUGUCUUCCGCCAAAUUACCAAAGAGGGUCGUAUCCUCAUAUUUCAAAAAUGCCCUUGGACGCCUGCUACUUGAAUUCUUUUCCGAUGACUGUCAAAUUGGCCUUGGUUGUGGUAUUUUCAUUCUACUCCCUAAAAUAAAUGUAAAUUACGAAAAGUGAGUAGAGUCUAAUAACUGAUUCACAUCAAGUCAGGUAAUAGGGGAAAUUAACAAUAAAAUAAAUGAUAAAAUAGUAACCUAUCAAUUCCCCCCCACACCUAAACCCCUCUUGUCCUCAAGCAUAAGAACAAUAAACAAAUACCAAUAUUUGACAAUAGCUAUUGCUCCACCUACCAUAUUGCCAAGAUACCAAGAAAAAUAUAUCAAGCAUCAGCGAUCAAAAUCAAAGAAACAUCACUGUGAUUAGCUUCUAAACCACAAACUCCUUUAAUUGCAGGUUAACUAAUCUAAGAAGAAGGAAUGACGCACAACAUUUAUCAACAAAUGGUCUAACUAUUAACCAAAAUCUCAACAUUAAAUCCAUAAAUCGGUAGGCUGACUUUUAUUAUACACUAACACAACAUUCACUUCUUUUUUCAUGUUUUUCUAUUUUUCUGUUUUUUUAAUAGUAACACAAGACUUAGUCCCUGUCCAUUGGAGUUUUUUGACGCGAACUCCGACAUUUGUCAGAUGAAAGAGCUCGGUUACUCAGUUCCUAUCGCAUGUGACCACACACUCAUAGCAAUUACUACUUUUUGACGCGAGAAUUGACACUUUUGGUGAAAAUCCCCGAUUACUUGGUAGUAACUACUAGCGGAGUACAGUCAACUCUUAUUCACAGCUAAAUAACACAAAAAAUUCAAAAUAACACAAAAUCAAAAGAAAAUUUACAUCAGCUAGCUUCAUUUUCAAACAUGGAGAACGAAGGUUAAUAACCGGACCAAUUUACAUGAAAAUGCCAACAGUUAUUUUCUAUAUCUAGGAAAGUUAACCAAAAAUUAUAAAAGUCACACAGUCGUCGAUAUUCACCAUAGAGAUAUUCUUAGACUCAACCACAUCUACUUAAUACACUUCCAUUACUAAAACUUGGCAAUAGCAGAAAUAGAGACAACAAUCAAACAUCAAAUUUUGGCAUCACAUACGAGCUAAUCACUAAAAAGAAAGAAAGAUUGACAAAUAACAAACUAAAAUGAAAGCAAAAACAUCUAAAAAACUAAAUAGUAGAAAAACUAGCACAGCUGCCCCCUCACACCUAGACCCUACAUUGUCCUCAAUGGAGGAAUUAAAGCAAUUAAAGCGAAGAGGACAUCGAAACUUCCCUCUCGAGUGGCUACGAGGUAGGCGGGAACGGUAGAGGGAAACCGAUGUGGUGGAAGUACGCGCCCAAGUUCUUCACUGGUUGUCGAGGGAAAAAGUAGGAAUGGAUGCGAGAGAGAGGGUGGCGCGCGAAGUAGAUGCGACGACUGGUGGUAGAGGUUGCGCGAUUGGAGUGAGAGAGAUUGGAGUGGUGGCGCACGAUGGUAGAAAAUGAGGAAGAAAGAAGAAGAAGAAAGAAAAAAAAAAGAAAAGAAGGAAAAGAAGGAAAAAGAAAAAGAGAAAGAAUUUUUUUUUUAAUUUGCAUCUUGCAGAUCUAAGCUACAGUUAAACAAAUGAUUCUUUUUUUGUCUUUUUCGAAUUAAUUUAUUAUUUAUCUUUUUUAAAAAAUUUAUUUUAUUUUAUUAUUUUUUUAAAGAAAUUUUUUUUCCAAAUUCGAAAUUAGAGAUAAGAAGGAAAGCGAAAUAUUUCUUGAGAUUUGAAAACUUAUCUUUCUCGCGAAAAUAAUGCGGGCACAUUAUGAAGGCUAGAACCCUUUUGAUGAUGAGCUCUCCAUACGACUUGACGUAGGAGCGUCAUGAGGGUCCGAACCCUUCUGAUCAUGAGCUCUCCAUACGACUUGAUGCGAGCGCGUCAUGUCAGAGAGAUACCUACGGAUCAUCAAAAACGAGAAUUGAAGCCUGAAAUCAGUCAAACUCAAGGAAAACAUAUUUAAACUAAUAAACAAAAUCAAACAAAUAACUAAAAGAAAUUGGGUUGCCUCCCAAUGAGCGCCUUUUUUUAAUGUUUUUGGCUAGACAUUGAACAUUAUUCUUAAAUCUGGGUGUAACUCAAUUUUUCUUGUAAUCGAUGGCCCUCCUCCAGGAUCCAAAUAGCCUUUAAGUGCAUCCUUCUUUCUUAAUUUUCUACUCCUUUUCACCUCAUACAUUGCUUUCAUCCCCUUAUACUUGUUCUCAGUAAAUUUGAAUUUGCCUCUACAAGUAAACUCAGAAAAAUUCUUGCACAGAAAGAUUAAUAACAUGAAUAGCAAACCAGAGUAAGAGUUAACAAGAUGUUCCAUUGUAUCUAAAAUAUUAAAGUGGACUAGUUCUCCAUCAAAUUCCAUAGACAAUGUACCCUUAUUAACGUUAUUUUUGUCUGGGCUGUACUAAAAAAUGGUCUACCUAAUAGCAAAAGUAAAGGGUCGGGAGAAUGGUCAUCAUCCAUGUCAAGUACAUAAAAGUCAGCCGGAAAUACCAAUUCAUUAACUUUAACCAGCACAUCCUCAACCAACCCAUCAGGGUAUGCAUUUGUUCGGUCAGCUAAUUGGAUUAUUAUCUCAAUUUCUUUUAAUGGACCGAGGUUCAGAGAAACAUACAUAGAUUUAGGCAUUACGUUGAUCGAUGCUCCUAAGUCCAGCAGGGUAUUCCUAAUCAAAGUAUUACCUAUCUUAUAUGGGACAGUAAACCUACCUGGAUCCCCGUACUUCGGUGGAAGCUUCCUUUGGAGAACUGCUAAUACGUUCUCCCCCACGAUGACCCUUUCAUCUCCCCUCAACUGCUUUCGGUUGACACAUAGGUCCCUUAAAAACUUUGUAUACUUCGACACUUGAUUGAUGGUGUCUAACAGGGGAAUAUUGAUCUUUGUCUUGCGGAACACCUCCAGGAUCUCCUUUUCCUUAUCCUGCUUCCACAGUUUCUCUAACUUACUAGGAAAGGGAGGCGGGUUAGUUCUAACUGUAAUGACUGGAUUAGGAAGUACCUUUUGAUUUGGGCCAUUGCUGUCCUCCUUCUCAAGCUCAUUCUCGAUCCUUUCCUCAUCUUUGUCCUUGGGAAUCGUGAGUUCGGGCUCUUGAAUUUCCUUCCCGCUCCUUAAAGUCAUCGUACUUAUGUUCUUCAAGUUCAAUUUUAGGUUGAGACGCAAUUUUUCAUAAACUUGGGAUUCCAGGUGAUUGAUUGCCACUGCCAUCUGAUUCAUCUGAUUUUGCAUUACUUGUACCUAUUCCAAUUGAUUUCUUAUGUUCUGCAGUUCGGAGUCUGUCUUUUGCUGAUGUUGCACGGUGGUAGCCAUAAGUUGUUUCAUCAUUUUCUCCAAAGAUGGACUAGAACUUAGUGGCGGAGAUGGUCGGGGUUGGUACUGCUGCUGGUACCUUUGUUGUCUAUUUGACACAAAGUUAGGAUGCCUGUUCCCUCCAUAGCUGAGGUUAGGAUGGUGUCUUCAGCCGAGAUUAUACGUAUUCGAGUACGGUUCAUAGGGCAUUCUUGGCGCAGGCGCGUGAUCAGCCAUGUUCACUUUCUCUGCACUUUGUUCUUGAAUUAUCGGGCACAUAUCUGUAGAAUGACCCAUAGUAGUGCAAAUUCCACACACCUUGGCCUGAGAUGCGUUUCCUACAACCAGUUGCCUAACAAACGAGGUUAACUCCGUCAACUGCUGUCAGAUAGAAGAUGUCUCUACCUCAUUUACCUUGCGUAUCGGGACAUCCUCUCUCGUACCAAACUAUUGUGAAUUCUCGACCAUUCCCUCAAUUAGCUCCCAUGCUGCCCGAGGGGUCUUGUUCACCAGUGCCCCUCCACUCGCAGCAUCAAUGAUACUCCUGUAUCUGAAGAUUAGCCCCUCGUAAAAAUAUUGUAUGAGUAACUGCUCACUUAUUUGGUACUGAGAGCACUUGAUGCACAAUUUCUUGAAUCGCUCCCAGUAGUCGUAGAGUGACUCCCCUGGAUGCUGUUUGAUACCACAGAUCUCCUUUUUUAGACUUGCAACUUGGGACGCGGGAAAAUACUUGUCUACAAACUUUUUCUUCAACUAGUCCCACGUGGUGAUACUACCUGGUGGUAGGUAGUACAACCAGUCUUUUGCGAAGUCCUUCAAGGAGAAGGGGAAUGCCCUCAUUUUUAUUUGCUUUUCUGUGAUACCCGGGGGUUUCUACUAUUGCACACGAUAUCAAACUCUUGCAAAUGCUUAUAUGGCUCUUCACCUGACAAACCAUGAAAGGAUAGUAAAAGAUGAAUUAGACCAGAUUUGAAUUCAAAUGGAGUAUUAUCAUUUAAAUUUGGGAAAAUAAUACACAAAGGCUGUUGAUUUAAAUCAAGAGCAGCCAACUCCUUUAAUGUUCGUGCGUUUGUCAUAGUGAAUUCUUCUUGAUCCGAGUCACUUGAAGUGUCAUCAAACGAAUCUGUUGGUUCAACUUCUAACUCAGGUCUCUGAGAUGCAGCACUGGAGUACUUUUCCCUGAGUUGUCUGGUCUAUUUUUGUGUUCUCCGUGCGGUCUUCUCUAUCUCAGGGUCAAAAAUUAAUUCACUUGUACGAGAAUAACGAGGCAUACACUCAAAAGGUACUAGAAAAUUAGAACAAAAAUAAACUUAAAAAGAAACAAAUAACUAGCACCAGUCCUCAGUAACAGCGCCAAAAAUUGACAGGUUGUCGAGCCUGUACAAUAAUAAAUACCUGCUCAAACAAAAGUUAAUUUCUGCAGAUAGUGAUAAGUAAGGUCGAAUCCAUAUGGACUGGGGAUAUUUGUCUCUUUUGGAGUUCAAACUAACAAUGGGGGGUUUUUAUAGCAAUGACAAUGAUUAAACAGUUCGAAUAAAAUCAAAUAGCUAACUAAAAAGUAAACGACAAUUCACUAAAAUCAGAUUAAUGAUAACUAAAGUUCUAGCCAAUAAAUAACUUCAGCUAUGAUUCACCUAAUUGAUCAUCGAUGCAAAGGUAAUUCCAAUUAUUUACUAAUAAAUAAGUUAUAACUGCCAAACAAGCGAUGACAGUCAACCAUUCCUUACUGUGUCGGUGAUUAAGGUACGCCCGUUAAUCACUACUGUAAUUGAGAAAUAAUCAUAGGUACGCCCGUAAGACAUAAUUCUCUAAUUGCUUUACGUAUUAGAGGAGCCCUGUUCUAACCAAAUAACGCACUACCAGAGUUAUUUUAUGUUAGCCCGCGUAUUCCCCUGACACAAAUCCAAUCAUGCUAGUUGUCACUAUUUCAGGGCAAUUAAACAAUUACAGAUUUAAUGCCCCAUUUGACAAUAGAUUACUAAAUUAACUAAUUAUCUGGAUCCAAGACAAUCAAUUAAUUGAAUAACCAUGAACACUAUAAUCAGAGAAUAUGCGAAUAUCAAUAAAUAAAAGAAAAAGAUAAAAUUAAAUCGAUCUCACAAUUUUUAGGCGAAUCAAAGCCUCAGUUGUUCCUUGACUAGAAAAGGGAGUUUUGUUCAUCUUUAACGAAUAAAGCCCACAGGAGAUCGAAGCAACCGUAGCAGCCAUUGACUCCGAAAUUGAGAAAAUUCAAUUCGGUUCGGCAAUGAAAGAAAAGUCAAGAUUAGAAAAAAUGCCCAAUUGCUUUUCUUUGCUUUCACAUCCGAUGGAAGCAAAAGCACAAUAAGACGAAAAGAGGAAAAAUCAAAAGAAAAGCUAAGCUAGAGGUCCUACCAUACGAAGAAAGAAAAACUAUCCAAGAAAAGUCAAAGGAAAGCUAUCUAAUAUCUAGUUCCUACUGCUACUGUGCGGCGUCCGCGGCUAUGAAGAGACCGAAGAAGACUCCAGCCUUUUUAUCCUCUUUCCAUGUCGUCUUCCGCCAAAUUACCAAAGAGGUCGUGUUCUCAGAUUCCAAAAAUGCCCCUGGAUGCCUGUUACUUGAAUUCUUUUCCGAUGAUUGUCAAAUUGGCCUUGGUUGUGGUAUUUUCAUUCUACUCCCUGAAAUAAAUGUAAAUUAUGAAAAGUGAGUAGAGUCUAAUAAUUGAUCCACAUCAGGUUAGGUAAUAGGGAAAUUAAUAAUAAAAUCGUAACCUAUCAUAAAGGCAUUCCAACAAAGAAACCUCAACACUCGCCAAUAUUUCUAAAAUAAAAAAAGGAAAUAGUACCAUCAAUUUAUAUUUAAUCCUAAAACUUGAGAAAAAGAGUAAAUCAUCUAGUAUUUGAACCAUAUAGUACCUAAUGCUUGACCAUCUUUGAACCUACAACCACACCUUUUGGUCUGCGUAGAAAUUAUACAUCACAAAACUAGCAUCACAUACAAGGUGAAUGGGAUGUUGGCACAUUUCACCACAUAAUAAUUAACUGAUAACAACAUGCACUGCACUUUUUAUUAUUUUUUGGGGGCAUUGCACCAACAUAGGAUGACUUAAUGUAAAUGAAUUCUAAUUGAUACUUAGUUGUCUAAUCAUACCUAUCAUUACAAUUUAACACACAUUUUUGUUAGAAUAUGGCAAAUAAAGACACUUCAUACUAUAUGAAUUUCACUAAAAGUCCUACAAUUAUGUUUUUGAAAUGCUAAGUAAUAUGCUUUUUUUUCCUGGCCUACUGAUUGUGCUUUACAUUUCCAAGGUUUAUGCAAAGAGCAUCAUACUAUCUCUCUUAGUCAAGUAAUACAAUUCUUUCCCUUUCUUGAGACAAAUUUCCAAAAGCAUCUCUAAACCUAGCUUGGCAAAAAAAAAAAAAAGAAGAGAUCAUGUUAUUAACACUAUGAAAGUACAAUGAUACAAUGAUUGUGAAAGAAAGAAGAUUUUAACACUAGAGUAAUCAAUACAACUACUCAAAGGAAAGAAAAAAAUUGAAAUAACUGAUAUUUCUUGUCUUAGAAUUGUACCCAUAAUCACGAAAUAUAAAAUGAUAAAAUAGACAAAAACCUAUAAACUAUUGUUUUGUUCUAUGGAAUUUAGAGAGGACAAAAAGUACCUUUAAUGAUUUCUUGUGAUGGUAGAUAACAAUGGAAUUGAGAUGCUAGAUGAUAGGGUUUGUGGAUAAAGAGACUUGUAGAGAAUGCAAGAUUGAAAAAAUUUUAGUGAGUUUCAAUGUUUGAGGGAUUUACUUUGAUACUUAUCAGUUAAGAGAAGGAGUAAAUCAAGAAAGGAAACCUCAUCAAUUAGGCAAGAAAAUCUCAUCCACUUAGCAAACUGUGUUUUUAUUUUCAUUUUUUAAGAAAAUGCCAGUAAAACUUUUGAUCUAAUGACAUUCAAGUGCUAUUGAUUGUUAAAAUUGACUUCAUGCCUUAAUGGUUUAAUUUAACACUACUUUCUCGAGAACAGAGACAAAAAUAAAAAAAAGAGAAUAAAUUUCUUUUCAAAAGUAAAAUAUUAAAAAAAAUCUAUUUUUUUCACAUAAUUUCUUUAUAGUUUUCAAAGUCUCUUCACUUCCUUUUGCGAUUAUAUCGAGUUGAACUAUUUAGUUUUUUGUUCAACUUGACUACACAAAAAAUGUAAUCUAUCCUUUUUUUAAAAUAUUUUAGAAGGGGAAUGGUGAAAUUUAAGAAAUGAAGGAGAAAAAAGAUUUCAGCUUUAACUAUGACAUCAAUAUCUCAGCAAUACAAUUUGUUAUUACUUGCAAGACAUUUAUUAUUACUUUUAGUUAUUUUCAUUUUCUUUUCUUUUAGAGUAGGGCGGAUGAGCUAGCACCGUCAUGGUGGCAAAUUGAAGCACGGCAGUGGCACUAUCAACUAUCCCACCAAAUGCUGACCCCGGCCACCACCAUCCGACGUGAUUACCAAUUCAAAAGGAAAGAAAAAAUUAUAUCACUUCAUAAGCAGCCCGUAUUAGCAUGAUGUUAAAUGCAUUACGGGCACUAGUACCCCACCAUGUUCAAUUUAAGCCACAAAUAAAGAGGGGACCGAUUGAUAAUCUUUCUUGAUAACUGAAAAUUCCUCUUGGAGUUAAUUCCAUGCUGCAUCAUGUAAUUAUACUUAAAUUCCUUUUUUGGCAUCUAAACGAAAUGGAAAUCGGGUUUUCCAUUUUUGAAAUAUACGAAUUUGGUCCGAAUUCGAUAAUGAAUUUUCUGAAUUUGAAAUCAAAAACUGUAAGAGAUAUCCCAUAGGGGUUACUUUGCAAGAUUAUCAUCUGCAGGGUCCUUACUGACGGUUUCUGCAACCUUGUAACAGAUAUUUGUUCCUAUAUUCACCUUCUAAUUAUACUUUUGUUAUCCCAACUUCAACUCGAAAUGCACAUCAAGUUCAUAACCAAUGGAGCAAUCAAUAUAUGACAUGAGAGCUAUAGAAUCCAAGAGAAACGCAUUGGAAAUCAUGGGAACAACUUCAUGGUUUGUGAACUUGCUACGAGUACGGUUAUCGGAAUAAUUAAUUUCUUUGUUCGCCAUUAAAGAUGACAUUUCAUCAUAUGCUUAGUGUGGUACCCAGAAUCAUCCUCCUCAAGAUGAUCUCUCCCGGACACUUUCGAAUCUGAGUAGUCAUCUUGUAGUUUAGAUGUCCAGUGAGCCGAGGACAUUCAUAACAAGAAGUGAUUGAUGCGACACAUUACAAGCUUUUGCAGGUCUAACCUCUUGCACUAGUAGAUCUAGAGUCGACCUAUAGCUGCACCCUGCCCUAUCAAUGCGGCCUGAAACCCAAGGACACCUCUCACGUUUCACUAUAAUUACCCCUCUUUUCUUAGACCCCAGAGGUAACUGUUUCUUAAUUCUCACAUGUAACUUAUGUCUGAGCUGUUAACUCCUGCUAAGUUAAGCAUCGGAGCCAAAUUGGGGGAAUACUCCAUCUCUGCUUUUGAUAUCAUACAGGAAAUCCGAACUAGAGUUCAUCGAUCUCCAGUCUUCUUGGGAGUUUCGACCGUGACUCUACAAUUGGCACUGUUCGUAGGAAGUGAAGUAAAUACAGUUGCUCUACUUUCUCAUGACUAAGACUUGCUCUAAUCGUGGAAACAAGAACCCCCGAACUUUUGGGAGCCGUAUAGCCAAUCCAAGGGAUUAGGACAUACUAGAGAAUUCACAGCCUCAUGGAGAGGUCAUAGCUCGAGUGGCCAAGUUUGUGGCCUCCAGUUCAGGGUUUUUUGAAGAGAUUGUUAGGCAUAUGAAAGGUAAGGAUAGAGGCGAAUCUGUUCAGAGAUAACCCGAAGAGUCUUCUUUGUCUUCUUUCGAGGGUGACUCGGAUGACCAUCACAUACUCCAAGAGGAAGAAGGAAAAGAACCUUUCUAAAUUGCAAGGCAAAGUGCAUUCUAAAGUUUCCUCAGUUUUCGAGAGCACUGCUCAAGAACCCAUUCAAGAGGGAUGACACAAGUGAACGGUCUAGAUACGGAUCGACCCUUUACGGAGAUAACAUGCCCCCUUCACCCCUAACAUUAACGAAGAAGUUUUUCCAACGAACUUUGAAGAGGUGAUUUUAGUCCCGCUGGGUGAACCUUCCGAACUGAAGAAGUGUUUUGUCUUCGGCAAGGCACUGGGACGAGGUCACCUGCUUAGGUUACAGGAGGGGCUGAAUCCCCCGGUGUAACUUCGAAACUUAAGUUAGUUCGGUAGUGAAAAAGUAAUAUAGUGGAGAAGAUCAGUAUAGUUUUACCAGAAAUUAGUCAUCCUCCUUCUCAGUAGAGGUGUUGAGUAUUUAUAGAAGACUGAUUUGAAGAGGAACUGUUGGCACGAGUUCCGAGAGAUCUGAUACGGAUAUCAUAUCAAUUUGAUAUGAUAUCCCUGCGAAAAGGUGCGUCGGAACAGGUAUUAGAGUCAGGCGGCGCAUGUGUCAGAACAGCUCUCCGUCAAGUGUCAGAUGUGUCAGGGGUCACAUCAUCUUUCCACAGUUGUCAAGUCGUUUGGGCAUCACCUCGGCUCACGCUUCGAAGAUCUCCGCCGAGGUGAUAAACGGGUCAGGACUACCUCACUAAAUGACGCGCCGAGGUGGCACUUCCAGUAGUCUUGCAGGGUGAGGCCCCACCCUAUCCGGGCUGAAACGACCAUCCUCACUAAGCCCCCCAAGCUUCGAGAAGGGCGAGAUCGUGGUUUCCCGAGGUCGUUGCUUCCCGAAGUUGACAAGCGUGUAAGGCACGGGAUCCAGCAAUCAUGGCCAUGUGGAUGGGACUGCUGAGGAACUGACAUGAUGGCUGUCAAUCGUGACGGCAGGUUCAUGAACAGGCUCGAGAUCAGCAGGACGAACAGCCUUUUCAUUAAUGAGGAGAGAGAGAAUGCGCCCUCGAGAAUCUCAAAGAUACCGCCUCUUCAUUUUCCCCCUGGGUGCCUAUAAAUAGAAGCCCCUUUUCACCGUUUCACUCUUUACCAAAAAUCUAAAAUCACCUUAGAGCUCUGUUCCUGUGUCCUUUCACUUCGGCAAUUCCUCGAGGCAGAAAGACCCGACCCCUCCGAGGAGAGAACUGCGUCCGAUGUCGGGGAAGGAGUGCCGAGGCGUCUCACCGAGCCGGAACAUCUGGAGGGCAUCACGAGGAGAUCGAGGUCGAAGCCGAGGUCCUGUACAAUGAUGAUCUCGGGAACGAGGUCCCUAGGGACGAGGGCGUGCAAGAGCCUUCCACUCCUCCGAACUUGACAACACUUAAUUACGGCCAGAUGCCAGCCUUCAGUAGUAUUAUGGGACAAGCCUCCGUAGCCGAGGUGGUCCGCAAGUAUCAUUGGAGAAGGGAUUACAGCAUCUAUUUGCCCCAACCACACCAGUCAGCCGCAUUGCCACCGAAGGGUAGGGUGGCCAUCUACGUGGACCAACUGGAGGCCGGGCUCAGAGUGCCAACAACAAAGUUUCUUCGGGAAUGCUUGAGGUAUUGGGGGGUGAGGAUCACUCAACUCACCCCGAAUACCAUUCGUGUCCUCGUCGGCUUUCAACUGCUUUGCCGACAUCAGGAAAUAGAGCCCACUGUCAACCUCUUCUGCCGUUCUUACUCGCUUAAGAACAGCGGGAGCGAGAAGAGUUGGUUUUACUUCGGGAAUAAAGUUCCGAAGUUAGUGGUAGACGCCUCGAGCUCGAUAAAGGAAUGGAAAAGAAACUUUUUCUUCGUCCCGGCAGAAGACUUCCCACGGGGAUUCUGGUGGAGGCCUCCCACCUCAGUCAAAGAGACGUCCCCGGGCAUGUUAGAGGAGCGCAACUUCCAGAAGUUAACGGGGUCGGACCUCAGGAUUAAUUGCUGGGACUUUCCCGAAGUGGUGGUCGUAGAAGGCGGGAUCAGCCGAGUCUUGAUCAGCUCGGACCACCCCGUCUUCUUCUCUACUAGGUUUCAAAAACCUUGUACUUUUCCAUUUCCCUUUUUUGUUUAUUCUUCAUGAAUUCUAACUAACUCUUUUUCACACUAUGCAGUGGUGAAGGUUUCCGACCUGAUAACCUCGGAAAACAUCGAGGUGGUGAAGAGACCACCCAAGAAGCGUAAGGAUGCUGCUGAACCCUCCACCAGGCCUGCCAAGAACACCACUGCAGCUACGGGCGACCGCGAGCCUGCCGUGGUGAUAGUGGGCGAAGGCUCCCAUACCUCGACCACUCUCGGAGGUUCCCGAGCCUCGGCUAUUCCUGUCCCUAUUCGAGGGGUCACGAUAGCCACUCCACCUUGGGGUCAGGGCGUGACUGCGUUCCCGGAUAACCCCGUCACGAGGUCUUCGCUAUUCAACCUCUACCAUGUGCCUUCCAAAGCGGCCGGGGAGGACAAAAGGCACUCCGGAGCACAUUGGUGUCCCGAGUGGGAGGUGAACGUCAAUGACCGCUGCAAGAACCCCCUGGUCGUACAUGAGCUUCUGGUGCAUUCGGUGUUGCCGCGAGAUAACACUUAUGCCAGAAAGCUCACUCCAGGUGAGCUGAUGCAAAGUGCCUCGGUCUCAUGGGCCUCCACCACGGCCUUCUUUGUUGAGAUGAUCCAACGUUACGGACAUUUCAUGAAAAACUACGAGCCACCUGCCGAGUUCCAGAAGAAGAUUGCCGACCUGGAAGAGAAGCUGAGGGCAACCGAGCUGGAGCGCGACAAAGCCGAGGCAGCGAAGAAGAAGGCCGAAGUCGCGAACAAUUCCCUGAUAACUGCCCUUGAUGAGGAGAGAGAGAAGGGUCCAAAAAGAACAGUCGACCAAGGAGGCAAUAGACAAGGUCGGGGUCACUGCCGUGGAGGCCUUCCGGAAGUCGGAGUUUUUCACCCACGACCUCGGCGAGCUCACACGCCCAAACUUUAUGUUCGACUACACGUCGGCUGUUAACGAUGCUAUGCCCUUUCUCUCUUCUGAGCAGCUGGAGUCCCUUCAAAGCGCUCCUCACUACAACGAAGAUGCCAAGGAGCUGUGCGACCGUAUGGCCGAGGGCGUCCAAGCUGAAAAAGAUCUAGCCGAAGUUCAUGUUGAGUUCAACAAAUGACUUCAGGAGUUUGAGCUAGACGGUGAUGGCCUUGAAGGGAAUCAGUCCGGCGGAGGAGCUGAGGGACAGCAGGACGCCGAGGCGGCGAAGAAGAGACUAUGGGGGAGUAAGGCUCCGGGGCAGGGAAUGCUUAGAAGCAUCCCUUUUUUCCAUGACCUCGGUCUUCUACUUUUUGUACUUGUGCUUCAAUUCAAUUGACUUCAUAUUUUUGCAAUCUUUUUAAUUGAGUUCGGUUUUCUUUUCUUUACUGCUGUUGUCCCCUUAUUUUUCACUUGUAAUGAAAUGGGAAGAAGUGAGAAAUAACUCAAAACUUAAAAUUAAAAGUACGUACCCUUCAAGGGUAAUACAGUUUAAGAUUUUCAGCAUGCCGAGUUCGGAGCACCCGAAAUCCAUCUCGAUAUGCCAAUUUACAGUAUCCAUUUUGGCUGGACUCAACGACACGGUAUGGUCCCUCCCACUUGGGGUUCAGUUUACCCUGGGGUUUAGCUCGGCUGACCGAGUUCUUCCGGAGCACAAGGUCUCCCGGAUUGAACCGCAAGUGUCUGAUCCGAGCAUUGUAGUAGCCAGUUAGGAUAUUUUUUUAAAGAGCGACUUUGGCUGCAGCCAUAUCACGCUUCUCUUCGGCGAGGUCGAGGUCAACUCGCCGUUCAUCUUCAUUAACUUCAGCGGCGUACGCUGCCAUUCGUGGGUUCGGAGUGAUGAACUCGGCUGGGACGACAGUUUCGGACCCAUAAAUUAAAGAAAAUGGAGUUUCUUGGGUUGCUGACCUCGGCGUGGGUCGAUAGGACUACAACACGCUGGAAAUUUCUUCCAUCCAGGACGACCCAACCCGGUGGAGCCUGGUCUUGAGGCCAUAAAGGAGAGUGCGGUUGAAGUUUUCGGCCUGUCCAUUGGCUUGGGGGUGUCCAACCGAGGUGAAAUGCUGUUUGAUUCCCAAGUUUUCGCACCACGCUUUGAAAGGAUUAUCUGCGAACUGCCGGCCAUUAUCCGAGAUGACCACCCGGGGUAGGCCGAAGCGAUAAACCACGCUCUUUCAGAAGAAUUUUUGAACGGCUGCUCCGGUGAUACUUCUCAGAGGCUUUGACUCGACCCAUUUGGUGAAGUAAUCUACUGCCACCACUACGUAGGCGUAGUUGCCUGGAGUUCUAAGAAAUGGGCCGAUUUUGUCAGUCCCCCAUUGCUCGAAGGGCCAUGGCGAGGUGAUGGGAAUCAUGAAAUUAGUCGGCUGGUGGUGCUCAGGGGCGUGGUACUGGCAAGACGGACAACUAAGGACCAUGACCUGGGUAUCCACCCUCAUGGUGGGCCAGAAAUACCCAAGCAACAAAACUUUUUUGACGAGCAUCCUGUAGCCGACGUGAGCACCACAAAAUCCCUCGUGUAUGUCUUGCAGGAUUCUGUUACCUUCUUCCUGUGUAAUGCACCGCAGCCAAGGACCGAGGUACGACCUCUUGUAUAAGAGAUUUUGCCCAAAAGCGUACCGAGCUGCUUUGCGCUGCAGCUUUCUCAACUCAGCUCGGUCCUCGGGGAGCUCCCCCUGGCUGAGAAAUCGGAUCAAAGGCUCCAUCCAGAUGUCCCCAAGAUAGAUAGGGUACACGACCUCUCCUUUGUACCUCGGCUCGGCCAAUACUUCUAUGAGAACCGUCUUGUUCAGGUCAGAAAAAGAGGUAGAAGCGAGCCGGAGAGGGCAUCAGCCCUCCUGUUUUGUGACCGCGGUAUUUUUUGGAUUUCAAAAGACUCGAAAUGUGCCACCAAUUGGAGGACCUUGGAGAGGUAGCGGUUCAUCACCUCUUCCCUGGCCUCAUAUUCGCCCAGUAUCUGGCACACAACGAGUUAGGAGUCGCUAUAGACCAAAAUGUGCGCGGCCCCGAGUUUACGAGCUAGUUGUAGGCCGGCAAUGACUGCUUCGUAUUCGGCCUCAUUGUCAGAAGCGGCGAAGUCAAACCUUAAGGCGUAUGAACACACCUCUCCCUGGGGGUCUUCGAGGAGUAAGCCCGCCCUACUACCCUCACUAUUAGACGAGCCAUCCACAUGCAAAAUCCAACGUUGGAGCUCGGCGGCAGCCGAGGUGGUCUCCUUCACCUCAUCAAAAGUGAGUUCGGCGAGAAAAUCCGCAAGGGCCUGUGCCUUGAUUGCGGUACGAGACUCGUAAGACAAGUCGUACUCCCCCAGCUCGAUGGCCCAUUUAGUGAGACGUCCGGAAGCCUCUGGCCGUGAUAAAACUUGCCUGAGGGGUUGGUCAGUUCUCAAGCAGAUGUGGUGAGCUAAGAAGUAGGGCUUAAGCCUGGGGGCUGUAUGGAUUAAGGCCAGCACGAGUUUCUCCGCUUGACUGUAUCUGGUCUCCGGACCUCGGAGGAUUCGGUUGACGUAGUAAACUGGCAUUUGAACACCUUCCUUCCUUAUCAACACGUCGCUCACAGCUUCGACCGCGGCAGACAGGUACAAAAACAACUUGUCCCCUGGCUGAGGCGAGGUGAGUAUUGGGAGGUGGUGUAGGUACUCCUUUAACUGAUCAAAGGCCUGUUAACAUUCUUCAGUCCAGAAGAAGCUAUCUGCCUUCUUCAGAGUCUUGAAAAAGGGCAACGCCUUGGAAGCUGACUGCGAUAGGAACCUGUUCAGGGCUGCCAACCGGCCUGUCAGCCUCUGGACGUCACGGACGCACCGAGGUGAAGACAUUUCUUGGAUCGCUUUCACCUUAUCCGGAUUUGCUUCGAUGCCUCGCCUCGAGAUGAGGUAACCCAAAAACUUUCUCGAAAUUUCCCCAAAAACACAUUUCUUGGGGUUUAACAUCAUUCCCGUCUUCCGUAGGACCUCAAGGACCUCUUUCAGGUCAGAAAGGAAGAUGGAGGUCGUCCGGCUCUUGAGGAGGAUGUCAUCCACAUAGGCUUUAACAUUGCGGCCGAUCUGGGAUUUGAAAGCCUGGUUGACCAGGCGUUGAUAUGUGGCCCCGGCAUUUUUUAGUCCGAACGGCAUGGUGGUGUAGCAAUAUGUGCCUUGGUCAGUGUAGAAGGCCGUCUUCUCUUGGUUCUCCUGACUCAUUCCAAUCUGAUGGUACCGCUUGAAAGCGUCAAGAAGGCAAAGGAACUCGUAACCCAUUGCUGAGUCCACCAGGGUGUCGACUUUGGGCAACGGGUAGCAGUCUUUGGGGCAGGAUUUGUUUAGGUCGGUGAAGUCGACGCACAUUCUCCAAGCCCCGGUGUCCUUCUUGACCAUGACUGGGUUGGAUAGCCAGGUCGGAUAUUGGACCUCCCGGAUUAUCUUUGCCUGUAGGAGCUUGUCCACUUCUUCACCGACAGCUCGGCUGCGCUCAGGGUCGAGGUGCCUUCUUUUCUGUUUGACCAAACGAAUUUGGGUAUCGACGUUCAACUCAUGUACUAUAAGGUGAUGCGGGACCUCUUGGACCUCAUCUGCGACCUAGGCGAAGACGUCCUGGUACUUUCUGAGGAUGUCCACCAUACCUUUUUUGAUCGGGUCAGGCAAUCGGGUGCCGACGCGGAUCGUUCGCUCCGGCUUCAUAAGGUCUAGGAAAACCUCUUCCACCUCAUCUCCAGCCCCCAACCUCGGAGCCUUCUCAGCCUGCUGAGGGUCGAGGCAGUCUAUUGAGAGAAUGUUGGAUCUCUUCUCGGACCUCACAUCGGAGGUCGAUGUGGAGGCUGCUUGUAAGGUGGCGAGAUAACACUUCCGGGCAGUGCAGACGUCGCUGUUGACCUCGGCAAUUCCCGCGGGGGUAGGAAACUUGAAACUCAGAUGGUAUGUGGAAUAUACCGCUCGCAGAGCAUUAAGUGUGGGUCGGCCCAGGAACAAGUUGUACGGGGAGUCAGCCUUAACCACCACAAAAUUGAUUGGGAUGGUUCGACGGCGGGGGUGACGCCCCACAGUUACUGUCAGAGUCACCAUCCCUUCAGGAUGCACGAUGUGUCCCCCGAAUCCCACCAGGGGGUUCUUACCGGGGUCAUGUGUUCUUUGGCCAACUUAAAGCUUUCAAAAGUGCGGAGAUACAUAACGUCCACCGAACUCCCUGGGUCGAUGUAGACCUUCUUCACAAUAUAGUUAUUGGUGAGUAUUUCAAUCACCAAGGCUUCAUGGCUACUUGAUGCAGCCGGAACUAGAUCGGUGGGGCCAUAAGAAAUGACUUUAGAUAGGCGAGAACUUGACUCGGCUUGAUCCGGGUUAGCUUGCCUAUAGGUCCUUUUCCGGGAGUUCUGACUAUCCCCUCCCGUCGGACCUCCGGCAAUAGUGUUGAUGACUCCAGCAAUGUUUGACCCAUAUCCUAACCUCUGGCCUGAGGAUCCGUCUCGGGGAGGCCUUUUUGUCUUCCUAGGUUCCUCAGGGGGUCGGCAGCUGCUUCUCGACGUCCGCCUUUCGUUUCGGCUUUGGUCACCUCGUCCAUCACGCCGGUUAUCAUUACGCUGAUGACUUCCACCUCGGCGGACAAACUGCUUCAAGUGUCCCUGUCUGAUGAGGUUCUCGAUCUCCCUCUUGAGGUCGUUGCAAUUCUCGGUCUCAUGCCCGAUAUCUCGGUGAUACAGGCAGUAGAGGUUCGAGUUCCUCUUGUUUCUGCUACCAAACAUCCUGGGAGGUGCCUUCUCGAGAUUGUUCUGUUCCAUUACGAAUAACACCCAAGAUCGGGUGGUGUUCAGAGGAGUUAACUCAGACUCGGGGAUGGGUGACUUCCCCUUAGAAAUCCUGUCAAACACACUGCGGCGAUCUCGGUUAGGGCUUUGGAAGCCACUCCCUGUCCCCGCUUCACUUCGGCCCGCGUCUUUUCCCCUUCGGAGGUCAGCCCUCGGGCGAGCGGCUUGGACCUCUUUCUUCAUGCGGUUGAGGUCUUCUGCUUGUAUGUCCUUCUCGACCUUCAACCAUAGUUCGUGGAGCGUGCGGGGAUACUUCUUGUGGAUCCCCGUAUUGAAUACCCCGGCAACGAGCCCAUGGAUAAAAGCAGCAAUGGUAACCUGCUCAUUGGGGUCAGGUAUCUGUACGCUUUCCUCAUGGAACCUCUGGACGUACGAUCGAAGUGACUCUCCUGGGUUCUGUUGCAUAUUCAGCAAGUAAGCCGAGAUCCUGGUCGUAGGUCGGAGGAGACAAACCGAUGGAGAAAUCUCUCCACUAAUUCCCCCAGGGUUGAGAUGCUCCUAGGUUCUAAACCCCAGAACCAUUUUCGAGCUAUCCCCUGGAGGAACACUGGAAAAGCUCGGCAUAUGACGGGGUCAGGGAUGCAAUAUAGGCGAAAGGCCGAGAUAAAGGCAUGGAUAUGAUUCUCGGAUCACCUCGACUGUCAUAAGAUUGUAUCGAGGGGAGUUUGAAAUUUGGAGGAAGCCUUUCCUCGUUGAUAUCAUCAGUAAAAGGAGGGGCUCUCAUGUAGUCCAUCCCGGGCCUUCCUAGGGGUCGAGGUUCCUCCUUAGGUCGUCGUCCCAAGAGCCCUCGGGAAAAUGCCUUGGAUAAGGAGGCUACCUUAGAGGUGGCCUUGGAAAAUGCCCGUUUUGAAGCGCUUCGGCUGAGGCGCCUUCCAUCAGACUCCUCUUCAGAUGAACCUUCAGGAGAUCUAUCUGACUUCCUUUUAGAAGACUCCGCCUUCUGCUUGCCUUGCCUUUUUAGGUACCUCCCUAACUCCUCGAAGAUGUUGGGGUUCUCGGUUACAAACUCAACCAUACGGGUUAUGGCUUGUUCAUUUGCGGGCUGAGUCCUUGAAGACUCCUGCCCUUCGGAAAUAUCUUCCUGUUGAGCUACAUUGCUUUGCUCAGCCCCAAUAGUGAGAGCUUUCCUGCUCCUAGAACGUGUAGGCUUCAUAUUCUAAUAUCUUCACGUUCCCACAGACGGCACCAAUUGAAGAGGUGAUUUUAGUCCCGCUGGGUGAACCUUCCGAACUGAAGAAAUGUUUUGUCUUCGGCAAGGCACUGGGACGAGGUCACCUGCUUAGGUUACAGGAGGGGCUGAAUCCCCCGAUGUAACUCCGAAACUUAAGUUAGUUCGGUAGUGAAAAAGUAAUAUAGUGGAGAAGAUCAGUAUAGUUUUACCAGAAAUUAGUCAUCCCCCUUCUCAGUAGAGGUGUUGAGUAUUUAUAGAGAAUUGAUUUGAAGAGGAACUGCUGGCACGGGUUCCGAGAGAUCUGAUAUGGAUAUUAUAUCAAAUUUGAUAUGAUAUCCCUGCGAAAAGGUGCGUCGGAACAGGUAUCAGAGUCAGGCGGCACAUGUGUCAGAACAGCUCUCCGUCAAGUGUCAGAUGUGUCAGGGGUCACAUCAUCUUUCCACAGUGGUCAAGUCGUUUGGGCAUCACCUCGGCUCACGCUCCGAAGAUCUCCGCCGAGGUGAUAAACGGGUCAGGACCACCUCACUAAAUGACGCGCCGAGGUGGCACUUCCAGUAGUCUUGCAGGGUGAGGCCCCAGCUUAUCCGGGCUGAAACGACCAUCCUCAAACUUCAAAUUCCCAAAUGUUCCAUUCUAUGAUGGAAAAGGUGAUCAUGAAGACCAAGUCCAUGCCUUCUUAUCGGCAUUCAGACUGUAUGGGAUCCCCAACGCAGCGAUGUGUCGGGCUCUUCAUCAUUUCGUUAAGACUUAGUAGUUGAGAAAUUUAAUGGCUAGUCUUCUCAUGCAUGGUAUGCACCGAUCUUUAGAAUCGGCAUAGUAUGCAAGGGCAAACGCCACCCCCAAGUUUUUGAGAAUUUUCUUUUAGCUCCUAGGAAAUUUUAUAAAUUUUCAUUAAAAAUCUCUCUCUUGCACCCGUAGAUUAUCAGUUUUCAGUGUAAUUCUAUGAUUAUGGCUUGUAUGUUUUUUUUUUCCUCUUCUAGCGCUUAGCUAUUCAAUCUUGAUAUCUGAUUACAGCUCAAAAUUUUGUUAUCACUGCCUUAUUUUAACAAAAAAUAAUAAUAAAUUUAGUGACAUGAAACACAACAAUGAAGCUGCGUAUUCAUUACUGAAUCGAAAUAUGCAUUAGUUAUUUAUUAAUAGGGUUAUUAUUACUUUACCUCUUAACAUUCGGUGUCACUAUCAAUUUCUCCUUUAACCCUUUUAGUCAUUUUACUCCCAAGACUAAUGGUCAAAUUUAACAGAGUUUGUUAAUUAAAGUGAAAAGAUACAUUUAACCCUUAAAAUUAUUAUCACUUUACUCUCAUAAACUAUAGUCUGAUUAUCAAUUUACCCCAUAGAGUUAUUUUUUAGACAAUUUAUUGCACUAUUAAACCAAUUUAGCCAGUUAAAGAACUCUAGAAGAAAGUACUCUUUUUUUUGUAUAAUAAAAAUAAAAAAAAUGUAGAAUAACUCUUCUUGUUUUUAGUAUCAAGAAAAAAAAUAUCAAAUUGUUAAUCUCUUUCUUCUUAAUAAUCUUAUUAAUAUUGAAAAGAAAAGAAAGAUGUGGAGGAGGAGGGGGAGGGAGAGAGAGAGAGAGAGAGAGCUCAAUUCUUUUUUUAAAAAAAUAAAAAUAAGAAAAAAUUACGUACUUUUAUUAUUUUAAAAUUAUUUCAUUUUUUUGUUUACUACCAAAUUUCAAUCCUGAUCUUGAUAAUCUUAAAGUAAUACGAUAAUGUUAGACUCUUCUUUAUUUUCUUUCUUUACAAAAUCUAAUUUUCUUUCUCCUUCUUUCCUAUCUCCUUUUCUUUUCCUAGCAUUAAUAAGUGUGAAAAAAGAAAUUUGAGAGAUCCUUUUAUUUUUACGUUUUUGGAUCCUUUAAAGUGAAAAAAAGGAAGAAUAACCUUUCCAACCAUUUCAUUUUUUAAUUAUAUAUAAAAAUGGUAUAUAUAUUUUAAAAAUUUUGAUCAUACUAGUUAGAUUAACGAUGAGAUAAAAUGCUUAAAAAAUAAUGUUAAGAAUUAAAGCGAUUGUAUCAUUAUAAUUUCAAGGGAUAAAAUGGUAAUAACAAUAUGAUAAUGCUAUAAAAUAAAGAGGUAUUUUCUGUCUAAAAUUUCUUAACAUGUUGAGUUGAAUUACUUAUGAAGGUGAACUGACUAAAAGAUAAUAUUACGGGGCAAACUGAUAGUAGUGGUAUAGUUUAAGAGAGUAAAGUGAUAAUAACCACUACAAGAAAUUUGGCCUUUUGUAACAACAAAAAGUCAUGACUAAAAAUCAAAAAGUCGUCAUUAUAUGAGUAUAGUGACGACUUUUUCCAUUGUCACAUUGUUUUCACUAAUUCUAUAUCACAAAUGGGUACGUGUGACAACCCUUUGAAAGUCGUUACUAAAUCUUGUUAUUUAAUGAUGAGGACAAAGUCGUCACUAAUGAUUAUCAUUCUGUGACAAAUUUUCUUGUCACUAUUUCACAUAUUUUUUGUCAUAAAUGGAGCAAAAGUAGUAACAAAUUUGAAGUCUAUAGUGAUGACUUGAACUUGUCACUAUCAGUCCUAGUAUUCAGUGACAGGAAUAAUCGUCACUUAGUGAACUUGCAUAUAGGUUGUCACUGAACUUUAUCUUAACAAACUGCAAUUGUUCAUCAUUGUCACGGUAUUUCCGACAUUAUAGCGAAACUCAAUUUGACAAAAAGGCAUGGUAAACUUGCAUGCUAGUGACAACCUUCCUUUGAAAGUUGUCACUGAGUUUUGUCUUCAAGAGUUGACAUUGACCAUUACAAAUAUAGUAUUGCCAUGGCAUUUUCAACAAUUAUAGUAAAACAUUCAAUUUGACAAAAGGCAAAAUCAACAUAAAAGAUAUGUCGCAAACUCAUAUAUAUGAUCAUAACACAUCUUUAAAUUAAUAUAAACAAAAGUGAAUCACAAAUGUUGGGUCCCAAAUCCCACAUAAUCAGUUCAAGUAAUAAUAACCAAUACAUAUACUUCCCAAGAGAUAGAGUACUAGAUUUCUAAACUAAAGCAUAUAUUACAGCACCAAUGUCAGAUUUCAGUCAUCUCUAUCAGCAUAUCCAAUAGUCUUCUCAUGAUCACUAUGAAGCUGGACUGCAUUGAAAAUAAACUAUUAAAUGCAUUAGAGUAUACUUUAAUCAGAAAAUAUGCUAUUACAACCUUACACUACUGAAUUUGAAUGAAUAAUCAACAUAUGUUGCAAACAGGUCAGUACUUUUAACAGCAUAAUCAACAUAUUCGAGUUUAUUCUGAGAACAAGUUCGAAAAGCACAACUUUUGCCAUUCCACUUUUGCAUAUUGGCCAGAAAAAAAUCACUAAUACUAUACUCUUCAAAUUCAUAUCCAACAUGACAAUUACAUGGAAACUCAAAUUGGGACUUUGUGCCAGGCAAUUUCAUUUGUUGAAAUAGAUAAAAGUGGGAUGAUUGAGAUAAUUUAAGACAAUUACAUGAUCACUUUGAACAAUUCAAAUAAAGCCACACCAAUAAUUUAUUUUUCACAGUUAUGAACACAACUACAUACAACAAAUUCCUUCUAAAAAGUUUUGCAGGAAUGUUAUAAAUUUUGUUCCAUCUCAAAAUAUAGUUGAAAAGGAUGCGGCAUCUCAUCAAGAAUUUAACUAGCCAAUGCCGCCAUGUUCAAAACUCAAAGGUGCAAAGUUUAGUAACAUUUAACUUCCAAAUUGCAUAGCCCACGACCCUUUGAAGUCCCAGGUGAUAUAUCAUGUGGAAAACAGAUAUAUCUUAUGUAGUUUUGAAAAUGCUUUCAAUCAAAAACAUCCCUUCUAGUUUAAUAGCUGCACAAGAGAACAACUAAACUAACAUUUUUCUAGCUUCAGUUCUAAACCAACCAUUUACAAAAUUUAAAUGGUUUACAAAACGAAUAGCAAAAGAUAGGGAAUCGACUCACAGUGUUGUCUUGAAUUUUCAAGAAUCUACGCAAUCUUUAGAGGAAAAGACAAUCUUCUUGCCAAGAGAAGGGCAACCGAAAAGGGCUAGCUUUUUCAAGUCGUUGUGUGACAUCCAUCUGAAAAUCCAAUUCACAAGAUUGAGAUGGAGAAGAUACAAGCUAGGAAACUCAAUACAUUGAAAAUGCUUUACUAAUCUCUGUGACGUAUAAAACUUGCACCAGAAGAAGCUAGAGCAAGAACUUAUUAGAAGGCCAAGUAAUGGUAGACUGUUUCACUCCAAAUUCAACAGAAUAUGCAACAUACAAAGAAUUACCCCGGUACUUUAGCAAUCUACUCCACUCUGUAAUAGUACAAAUAUUGAGCACAACUUAAAAAGUUACUCAUUGCUUCACAUCAAAGUACCAAAAAAAUUUUUUCCCUCAGUUACCACGUCACUUGAUAAUUUUAUUGUGUUUUUGAAUGCAAUGACUUGUUAAAAUGAAAAUAGUCAAGCAUAACUACAACUUGAGCACAAAUGGCCAUUAAAUUAUGUGAUCUUCACAUGUAGCACAUAAUUGAAUUUGCAACGAAUUGCAAUGUACCCUCAAUAUUCUUGCAACAACGUCCUUAACCACUCUACUUGAUUUCAUCUACUUGAUUUGAAAAUAAAAGCAUGAUGUCCAUCCUCUUGUUUGCUUGCUAACUCACUUCCAUUUACAGUUUUUCUCUUCUUGCUUUCUCAAAGAUUAGUUACAAACAGGACAAAAAGGAUUAAUAGCAGGGCAGUAGUAGGCAAAAGCCAAAAAAAUGAACGGACACAAGCUGGCAACCUAGCAACAAAAUUUCAUCAAAACACUUGUUGUUCACAACAAACAAGAAAAAAAAAAAGGAACAGCCACUACAAAGGGAAGAGGAAGAUGUCAGGAAAUGGAAUAGGCAACCUUCUUGUCCACAAGUUUGAAGAAAGCAAGGUUCCAUCAGAUAUCCAUUCUUAAGCAUUGUAUAACUAAUCCUAAGUUUGAGAUAAAAAGUUAGAAUCUUCUUUCUGUUCCCCUCUUAAUAGUUAAUACAUUCAAGUAAGUAACCCAAAGAAAGCAGAACAUUCAUUAGUCCAUGCCAAAAAUACCAUUCCUACAAUUGCAUUAACAUGACUACAAGCAACUCACCAGGGCAAAUUAUAAUCUAAGUACACAAGAGAAAGCAUAUUACUAGAAAAUUUAUCCGAUUAUUCUCAUAAUGAGAUUGAAGAAUUCAAAAAAUCACAUUUGAUGUCUAGAAAUCAACCACUCAAUAUUUAUAGAUUAGCGCUUCAAUAUACAAACGCAAGGAAUUCAUAGAGAAUCUAGGAUGCCAAGAACGAGCAAAUUAUAUCUUUGCCUUAUGAAAAGAAUAAAAAUCCUUACUUUGCAAUCUCCUGAUUAUCCUUUUUUUUUAUCAGUAACAAGAAGUACCAGCGUAUAAUCCAUUAAACCCAGAAAAAAGGUGCCACCAAAUAUUUUUAAGAAAUUCCUUAGAUUGAUUUGAAGACCUAGAGCAACCAAAACUGUAGAUAGAGUCUCAAUCAACUAUGUAUCUCAACAUGCAUAACUUUCAACUGCAACAUCUGAGAGCCUAAAUUGCAAAUAACAUAAUUUAGCAAAACAUGAAUCUAAGAGAAGCAUGAACUUGGUGGUGCUGAACCAUAACCUCCAGAUCCACGGCCAAAGCCAGGCCUUCCACCAGAACCCCUGAAAGCAGGCUGGUUGCAAGAGCUCCACCUUUCUCACCACCAAACUUACCAGGAGGUCCACGGGGACCAGCACGAUACCCUCCCUGUGCACCAAAUUCACUAUCCCUCGUCCAAAAAGACAACAGCAGGGGAAGAAAGAGACAGAGAACAAGAGAGGAUAUGUUCUACUUCCUGAAUUACAAAUCUACCCGUCCACUAGAGAGACUAUCUUUUCUAAGAAAUGUUUAUGCAGCCUUCUGGAAAUGCUUGGAAAGCAGCUUCACAAUCUCAGUAAAUCCAACUUUCUCCUUGCCUUCAAAUAUGGUCUUCAGCUUCUCAUCACAGUAGAUCUCUUUCUUGUUGUUUGGAUUCUGAAGGUUUUUGGAUUUGAUGUAAUCCCAGACUUUCCUGACGGCGUCAGUGCGGGAAGUUUCAGGUGCGCCAAGGAACUAGCGGAGAGCAGGAGAGACAGGCUGCUUCUUCAGGAUGCCAUUUCUGCGGCCAGAAGUUUUAGCAGCGGCGGAUCCAGAAGUGGUGGAGGCGACGGAGGUCUUAGCGGCUGCCAUAAGUGCUCUGCAGCGGUUUCCGAAAACCCCAGCGGUCGACGCCAUAGAGAGAGACCCUAGAGAGAGAAGAAAGAGUGAGAGAGUGAGGGGACUGGGAGUCUGUGAGUGAAGAAGGCAGGCAGGGUGGAGGGAAAAUAUGAGAAAAGACCAAAAACGAUGUCGUUUCUGCUUCUUUUGUUCACGCACAUGUACUUCUUCAAUUUUCAGCUUCCCGCUUCCAUUUUAGCUAAGACCAAAAAAUAACACUUUCAUCCUCUUUUGUACGGCUAAUUGAUCAAAUUAUUGUUCGAAAAAAAAUCACAACAAUAAAGUUAUUAUUUUGAGCUUUUUUACUUCACAAGUUGUAUCUGGAACUUUAUUUGUUACAUUAAAACUUUGAAAAUUUAGUGUUUUUGGAUAAUUUUUGGAAAAUUUAGUGUUUUUGGGAUUAAUUUAGUGUUUUUGAAAAUUAGUGUUUUGGAAUAUUUAGUGUCUUAUUAAUAAUAUGUUUAUGAUUCAAAAAAAUCUUUUAAUGCAAAUAUUUUUGGUAUUGAUUUAAUAAUUUUAUUAAUUAUGUACGAAAUUGUGGUCUGACAAGACCUAACAAGCUGCUAGUUGAUCAAUUAACCAAAAUAGUUUGCUAAUACAUGCAUAAAACACUAAAUGUAUUUGGUACAAAUACCGAUUUAUAAACCAUAAAUAAUGUGAUUAUUGUAAUUAAUAAUAAACUCCAUCCAUGCGAUUGUCAAGAUUUUACUUAAUUUCAUGUUGAAUUUUAUUGUUCUUUGCCAUUAUUUUCACACUAUGCUAGUCAAUAAUUUUCCAUGUGUUGUCAAGACAAUUAGAUAGGGAAUCCAUGAUAUUUUUUAACCUUAGCUAAGUUCGGUACAAGUUAUUGGCUAAGUUUGGAACAAUUAUAAAAAUAUGUAUAUAUAUUUUAUUAAAAUAUCUUUCUCAUUUUGCUAAUGAAAAACAUCAACUAAAGUGUAAAGGAUAGGGUGCCAUAAUAGAAUUAAUGAAAUCGGUUUAUCACAUACGAGACUAAAUUGUAAAAGAUAAGGUGUCAUGAUUGAGUUAAUGGAAUCAAUUUAUUACAUAUGGGGCUAAAAUGUAAAAUUUAGGGUGUCAUAAUAAGAUUAAUAAAAUUUAUUUAUCGCAUAUAAGCCACAUUGAAAAAAUUAGGGUGGCAUAGUAGAAAUAAUGAAAGUGAGUUAGGAACAAGCACUUUAAAAAUAUGUUUAUGAUUCAAAAAAAGAUAUUUUAAUGCAAAUAUUUUUUGUAUCAAUUUAAUAAUUUUAUCAAUUAUGCACGAAUUGUGGUCUGACAACACCAAACAAUUUGUUUAGUUGAUCAAAUAACCAAAAUAGUUUACUAAUACAUGCAUCAAACACUAAAUCUAUUUGAUACAUGUACUGAUUCAUAAACCAUAAACAAUUUGAUUAUUGUAAAUUGUAAUACAUAACAAACUCCAGUCAUGAAAUUGUCAAGAUUUUUACUUAAUUUCAUAUUAAAUUUUAUUAUUCUCUUCCAUUAUUUUCACACUAUGUUAAUCAGUAAUUUUCCAUAUGUUGUCAAGAGAACUAAAUAAAGAAUUCAUGAUAUUUUUUAACUUUAUAAUAAGGUAUUAGCUAUGUUUGGAAUAAUUAAAAAAUAGGUAAACAUUGUUUUUUACAAUACAUUCCUCAUUUUGCUAAUGAUAAACACAACCUAAAGUGUAAAAGCAUAGGGUGCCAUAAUAGAAUUAAUAAAACUUUUCUUUAUCACAUACGAGGCUAAAUUGCAAAAGAUAAGGUGUCAUGGUAGAGUUAAUGAGAUUAGUUUACCAAAUACGGGGCUAAAGUGUAAAAGUUCGGGUGUCAUAACAUAAUUAAUUAAAUUUACUUGUAGCGUAUGGGCCAUAUAGAAAAAAUUAGGAUGGUAUAUGGAGUUAAAAUGUAAAAGUUAGGGUGUCAUAAUAGAAUUAAUAAAAUUUAUUUACAACACAUGGGCCAUAUUGAAAAAAUUAAGGUGGUAUAUGGGGUCAAAAUGUAAAAGUUAGGUGUCAUAGUAGAAUUAAUAAAAUUUAUUUACAACACAUGGGCCAUAUUGAAAAAAUUAAGGUGGUAUAUGGGGUUAAAAUGUAAAAGUUAGGGUGUCAUAGAAAAAUUAAUAAAAUUUAUUUACAAAACAUGGGUCAUAUUGAAAAAAUUAAGGUGGUAUAUGUGGUCAAAAUGUAAAAGUUAGGGUGUCAUAGUAGAAUUAAUAAAACUUAUUUACAACAUAUGGGCUAUAUUGAAAAUAUUAGGAUGACAUAGUAGAAUUAGUGAAAGUGAGAUGGGAAUAAAUGCUUUGGACAGUGACGACUAGUUGUUGUCACUAAUUUAGAACUGGCAACCAUAUUGUGACGAUAUUUUAAGUUGUCACUGUAGGACAAGUUUCAGUGACAACAUGUUUUCCAGUUGUGACAAUGGUGAUCUCCCGCCACACUGGAUAGUUGCGCGCCUUCCAUAUUGUAACGACUUAUCCCGUGUUGUCACUGUUGAUGGGUGAACCCACGAUCAAGUAUGACGACAUUAAAAGUCAUUCCUAAAGUUUCAAUUGUGACAACUUUCUCUCUUGUCGCAGAGAAUGUUGUCACAAAAGGCCAAAUUUCUUGUAGUGAACCCAUAUUAAUAUGACUACUCAUUUCUCUAUUCUUCUCAUUCAUACAAUCUUAAGGGCAAAAAGUUGACCAUUCUCAAAUCUCAAACUCUGAAAAGCAAUCAUAUUUGAUCAGGAUGUAAAUUGAAAAUACCCAUAUACAUACUAUUGCUAAGAUGUGUGAUAUUUGCACUCUUAUAUUAGCCUCUCAUAUUGAAAUUCACCUACUGAAUAAAAGGCCAUCUAUGAGUGUGAGUGGCAAAUUUGGGAGUGGAAAUAUCACUUUUUUGUGUCUAAUUAGAUGCACGUAUUGGUUUUAUAUGUUUAAGGAGAAAACUUUUGAAUAUAUACAAAAUUAAUUAUUAGAUUCAACUUCACAUAUAAAAGAUCCCAUGUAUUUAGGACCAAGUACAUAAAUUUGAAAUUUGGCAGACAAAAAAUUGAAAUAAUUAAUUAUUGAAUAGAUCACAUGUAUUUAGUUUUGAAAAAAAUUUUCUUGGCAUAGUAAAUAGAAUUUUGAAUAAAUCAACAUGUAAUGCUAAUGCAAUUAAUAACAAGUUGAACUUCACAGAUUAACAACAAAAUAGCAAGGUCAAAAAUAUUUAAAGAGGAAAACUUUAAAUUUUUGAUAAAACAAAAGUUAGGUGUACAAUUCAAUUUCAUUAAAUCUAAUGAAGCAUAAUAAAGAUCUUCAAUGAAAAUUUUUGAAAUUUCAUAGGGACUAAAAACAAUCAAAAACUUGGCUGUCCCCGCAGCUUCCCGACGCCCCUGAAAAAUUGGCCACAUGCAUGGUUUAUUGCCCCGCUCAAAACGAAUGAUUGGCAUUCUGAAAGAUUAUUUUGCUGAUGUCCAUGAAAAGAUUUAUGUGACAUCCUAUAAAACUGAUGGGGACAAAUAUUCAAAGAAUUUAUUGUAAUUAUUAUUAUUAGAAUAGGAAAGAAGAAUCUCUUAUCCAUCUGUCCCCUCCUCUUUGUCUGCAUUGAACAAUGUUCUGUAGUAUAAGCAGGAAUGAUUGUACAAUUUAAACUAGUAAAGCUAAAAUCAACCAAACAACUGAACCACUAACAAUACUUAAAAAGGAAACCACCAGCAUUUGGGCUGGUGGCCACCACCUAACUUGGUGAGGUGGGUGUGUUGUGCACCUUUUUGAUUCGGUGAUGGUUCAGUCCUUUCCGAAUUAUUUCUUGGCCUCCUUAGGUUCGCCCCCCUCCCCCUUAGUGUAGGAUAGAUUAGGUUAUACAAAGUUGUCGUAUCCGCCAAAAAAAAAAAGAAAACUAACAAUACUUAAAAAUGAAACCAGGUACCAUUACAUCUUUGUAAUAGUAGAUUGACAUAUAUAAUUUGAUAUCAAAGUAGAGAACAAACUAAACAAGGAUUUAUUUAAUUAUGGCAACAUAAUGGAUAGAACUCCCAAGCUGCAGAAGACAUACGUAAAAACCAUCAGAGCAACAAACAUAGAUCACUUGGGAGGCGUUAACAUGUUUCUGUACUAUAUUUAGUGCUUCGGAACCCAGACAAUGUGAUCCUCAGGAAGGAAAUGGCAGAUUGGAACAGUUCCUGGCUUCACCUUCAGCAGCUGAAAAGCCAAAUGCCUUGGGUUCCAUGCUGACGUAUCCCGGUGACAAACAGCUACAGCCUUGACUUUUGCUCCAUCGGCACCAACUAAAUUAACCAUAUAUGCAUCUGUAUUCUGUGUGGUGUGGCAGUAGAAAACUGCGUAGAAAUAGUUUUGCCUGUGGCAAGAAACUAUUUCUUUAUCGUUGUUGUUCAACUUGGAAACAGACACAAUACCAUAUUUCUGGACUUCUGGAUCUGUUUUCUGUGCUUCGUUAGAAAUUGCUAGAACAUCUUUGCCCAGCUUUGAAGUAGUGAAAUCAACCAUUGAUUCGAGAGAAGUCGCACAAUACUUGUCUUCUCCUUUCAUUGCGGGCACCUCGCAUUCUGCUAUCGUUUCCUUAAUAAUUCUAGCAUCUUGUGAUUGUGGAUUCAGUGAGUAUUUGUUCAAAAUUUCAGGAACAGAUUUUGAUGAGAAGGGAAUCGAAUUAGCAACCUGGCGGGGCAGGAAAGCCGUAGGACUUUUCACUGAUUCAACAAACUUCAUAUUCAUGCUUGAGCCGCGAUUGAGGUCCAUUUUCAAGAAAAAGACUUUCACUUUUGGGUCAAUAUGGAGCUCAUCUUCAGUAGGAUUUCCACAAUAAUGUUUGAAACUACAGCUGUCAUCAUAUGUUUUCAACCUGAAAUUGCCCCUUUCCGGCCACUUCCCUGUAUUUAUUGGAUGAGCAACAAAUUAGUACAACAUAUAAAUCCGGCCAGCUUUUAUUUCUGGUAAUGGACUACAAUGUCCCUGCGCAAAUUCUUCCAGCAAUAUCCCCCUUUUUAAGAUCCUUGUCAUAUGCUUGCUCAUGAUUAAUGGAAGAGUAAAAUUAUUAAAAGAAAAGCAUGUUAGAUCUUUUUCUUUUCUUUUUUUUUUAACACGGUACAAGAAAACCCCUGUAAUUAUUGAAGUACUUUUUCUUUUUGUUUUGUUUUAAGUGAAACUAGAAGUUUUCUAUUACAAUUUCUCCUUUUUUUUUUAAGGUUUUGAACUUGAUGAGUGUCUUUCAAUUCCCCCAGAAUCCAAGGGAAACAAACAAAGACGCAACUCGAGCAAUAGAAGCACAGUAAACGGUAGAUGUAGGAAAGGACCAUUUCUGAGACAAACCAUCUUUUAGCAGGUCUCUAACAGCUUUGGGCAUAGGAAUGUUUGGAAGCUCGGAUUUCCAGUAAGCUUCAAGAUCUGCAUGGUUUGCCCCAACUCCUAGCUGAAAUAUAUUUCACAAUACGGAAAAAGAGUUAUGCAGUCAGUUUGCACACUAUCCAAAGUGCGAGCAAAUUAUCUAUCUAAAAAUUAACGUAGCUUAACUUUUUCAGUAAUGUACACUCACAAAAAGAAAAGAGAGAAAGUAGAGAAGCUUCAGAAAUUCCAUAAUAGUUUAUGCGCACGAGCCACGGUAGGCUGCUAGUAUGCAAGACGGAGUGAAGAUAGUAAUAAAAGCCAAUAUAUUUGAGCGAGAUGGCACAAGAAACUGGGCAGCUUUAUUUAUAAGCGGAAGAGCCAAGUGCGAUUGCCAAUUGUUUGAGAGGGGGACAGUUUUGAUAUGGUGGCUGUACGGCACCAAUCAAGUUUUGACAUUGUUACUCUAAACAUGCACCUUAUCUACGAGUAGGCUUCUUGAGGGACAGUGAAGAUAAUACUGAAGGCAAAAAUACAUAAUUGAGAUUUCACAGGAAAUUGGCCGCAUUUUAGAUAAAUGAACUUAAUCAUCACCUACAAUUAAAUGUGUGACUAAGAAAACCGUCAUCUGUACCUUGAUUGUCACCAAGAAAACUGUCAUAUGUACUUUUAUUGUUACCAAAAAUCCGAUUGGUGAAAAUACUACCAACUUAUAACAUUGAGAAUUGAGUAUCUAGUAGUAUACCUAAAAAAGAAAAAAAAAUUCCAUUUGAGAACCCUAAGAACAUAAUACUAAUAUCUCCAAAGCUCAUCAAAAUUCAGCAUAAUCAUGCCACAUGUAAAAGUGGGUACAUGAUAUACAUGGAUGAGGAAAUUGUGGGCUAAUGUGGAGUGAUAGGUGCCGAACCUGUGCAAUAAUAAAUCACUACUUGAGAGAAAUACAAAUUUUGCAUAUAGUGACGAGUAGAGUCGAAUCCACAGGGACUGGAGAUAAUUCGUUUCUUUUAGAAUUCAAAGUAUGGAGGUUUUCAGGAUUAAAUGCUAACUAAUUAAAUGCAAAAAAUAAUUAAUUAAAAGAAAUAAUUAGAGAAACUCUAGCCAAGGAUACACUUCAGAAAUGGUUCAUGUACUGAUCAUCGAUUCACAGAUAAUUCCAAUAUUUAUUAAUAGAUUAGUUAUAGUUGUCAUGCACGCGAUAAACAACCAACCUUUCCUUAAUUUCUCGAUAGUUAAGGUACGACCGUUAACUAUUUCUCUAACUCGGAAACAACCUUAGGUACGACCGUAGGAUUUAAUUUCUAGAUUGCAUUAAUAAUUAGAAAAGUCCAAUCCUAACUAACAAACACGCUACGAGGGUUUGUUUAAACUAGAUCGUAUGUUCCCCUGACAUAAACCCAAUUACGCCAGUUGCUACUGGGAUGGAGAUAAUCGAACAAUUACGGAUUCAACUACCCCUAAUUAGCAAAUAGCCUACGUGAAUAAUUAAAUAUUGCGCACCUAUUCAAUCAUACACGAUAGCUAUACCAACAAUUAAAAGCAGAAAACAUAUAAAUGCCAAUAAAUGAAGGAAAUAAUUAAAAUAAUUUAGAUCUCACAGUAAUUGCCGAACCAAAUCUUCAGUUGUCCUUUGACUAGAAUUAAGAAGCUAGUUCUCCAUUAAUAGAGAACCAGCCGUGCGAAAAUAAAACAAUCGGAGCUUUCUAAUGUUUUCAGAUGGGAAAAGGAAACUAAACCUGAGCCCCCCAAUUACACGUGAAUCUGGCCCUUUUAUAUCUUCAGUAGCCGCCGCCCCCGAGAAAACUAACGUCUGACCUUAAAAAGCAAAAGCUAAGCUAAUGACUAAAUGCCCCUCCCGUAAAUCUGGCUUUUUUCCUCCUUUAUAGCGCCACCAGGAGCCAAGAAAACGUUUGACCCAAUUAACGAAACCAAAGCUAAUCUUUUGGAGUUUUAAUCCCAUGUUUCUCGCGGUUCACGUGGACCCAACCUUCUAAUUGCCCACUUUUGUUGCUACCAAGCCCGCGGGUCCGGCCUUUAGGUGAGUCUCCUCAGUUUCUGGCGUGGGCACGCUCUGACAUGAAGGGUCUUCUGGAAAUUUGCCUCAAGAGAUUACUUUUAACACCAACCACCUACAAUUCACACAAAUAUCAAAUAUGAGCAAAAUCUCAAUACGUAGCACAGUAAGUAGCCAAAAUUGGGACAAAAUAACAGUGCAAAAUGUGCCCAAUAAUUGCUCUAUCAAAUCCCUCCACACCUAGACAAUGCUUGCCCUCAAGCAUUUCAAAGCUCAGAAAUACAAUCAAGAAAACAUAGGUCCUGCAGUAAUCUACACUAACACAAGCAUCCCACAUUCUUGACAAUGCCGCCAAAAUUAGAAUACACUGGAUAGGUGGUGAUCCGAAGAAUAUAAGCAGUAAUACUCGUCACCUUCAAGAAAAUGUAUGAAUACUAGGAACGCUCAAAUCAACAUUAGGAAAUGACAUUACCAUAGGCUUGCACAUUUAUCACAUCUCCACCACUGAAAAGUGAACUAAAUAUACAAAUCAAAGGGACUUUAAUAGGGUUGUAAUAGGGCUUAGGUAAAAGGCGGGAUAAGAAGGUAAAAAUAGGGUAUAAUAUGUCAAGAGAAUGUCUGAUAUCCACCACAUCACCACAACGCUUCAUCAGAGAAAUUUCACGAGCAAGGCAUUUUCAUUUGCCAUUUCCACUGUGCAAGUGUCAAAACUCUUCUCCUGUUCUCUUUUUUUUUUUUUUUGAACAAGCGGCUCACAAGGCGUGGGCACGUCUUGUAGGCCGGAGUCUUCUGCUCACGAGCUUUUUUUUUUUUUUAACGGAGCAGAUGUCUUGCAAGGCGUGGGCACGCCUUGUAGGCUGGAGUCUUCUGCCCACCAGCUCAUUGCCGACUUCUCCCCCUUCCCUUUUUUUCUUUUUAUCUCAGAUACACAGAGCACCGUACAACUUCUAUUCCGACAACACUCGCUACCUUAGAUUCAUUUGCCUUGCACAAACAACGGAAUUCAGACAUUUCUUGACGACACAAGGUUAAACAAGAAAGUCUAAAAAGGUCAUGGGUUAUCAAACACGGCUAAUCAAAUAAUAGUGAAGGAUAAAAGCUCAAAUAGGUUCACUACGGGGAGACAAGAUGAAGGGCAUGGUUUGUAGAAAGUUAAAGAAGGUUAAAUCCUAAAUGCCCUUAUCAUUUGAAAUGCAUCCAGUUCAACAAAAUGUGGUCUUGACAUGUACAAAAUAGCAAGUUCUAGAAUGCCAAUACCAUGUGUGAUACCCACUCAAUCAAACAAGAAUAGAGCGAACAAGGAUAAUGUGCUCAUACAAGGCCCAAAAGCUCCCAAAAGUUUCAAGAAUGAGUCAAGUCCAGCAUAUUCAAUAUUCAACACUAUUGUCAAGGAAAAACAAAAUGUAUAACUAGUAUGUAUAACCACAUAUCCGUGCACCUUGAUUGUGCAAUCCAUCAUAGCAACAUGCUCUAGCAGUUAACAAAUGUAGGACUAGAGAAGUCAACUAACUACACUUUUUUUCUUUUUUUUCUUCAUUUUCCUCUUCAUUUUUUUCUUUUUUUUUUGUGUUUCUUUUUUUUUUUUCUUAAAAGCAAAGCAAAAGGAGAUAAUAAUGGAAGUCAUCCCUGUAGACACCAAAUUUUGGUGUAAUUUCAUUUGCUGUUUAUUUUUAAUUUUUUCAUUUUAGUUUUAUUCGAUUUUUAGUUUUAGUUUCUAGUUUUAUUUUUAUUUUUAAGCUGUUAGCAUAGAAUCUCUUGGAAAAUGAAUGAAAAUGAGAAAGUGAAAAGAAAAGAGGAGAGAAAAGAAAAAAAAAGAAAAUUGCCCACAAAAUAUGUUUUAUGUCUUCUAAAUUCAAUCUUUUGGCAUUUUGUUUAUUUUUGUUAAGUUAUUUUGAAAAAAAAAAAGAAAAAAAAAAGAGAAAAACGAUGAAAAUAGGAAAUGGAAAAGAAAUGGAAAUUGCACUUUAUUGUUCUAGUUUAUUUUUCAUCAAAUGUUAAUUAUUUUGUUUUGGUUAUUUUUUUUUAUUAUUAUCAAUUUUGUUUGUUUCAAAAAAAAAAUCAAAAAAUCAAAAAAUCACAAUUCUAUUUCUGCCGAAUCCAUUUCCAUUUUACAUUCCAGCACCUUCCAUCUCUAUGCCGACUUAUAACCACUAAUGCACUCCACUAUAUCACACACUAGUAUAUCAACUACCAUCCACCACAAUAUAUUUCUUUUCAAUGGCUUUUCAGCCGUGAGUGAGCAAGGCUUCCUGGGCCAACUUUAAAACAAAAACAUCUCCAAUUCUGCCGGAUGACAUCUGAGUCUCCACUCACACCCCAUUUCCCUUCAUUCGUGACUUGUUUCCCAUUUGAGCAACUCCAACAUUCCAAAACACUUCCUCUCCAGCCUCUGCCUUGGGACCAUCGACAGAAAGUGCGAGAGAGAGAGAGCGGCAACCGUUCAUCCGAGAGGGAAGAAAAGGAUCCGCGAGCGGCAAAAAUUUUUCUGGUUCCGUCCGUGAGUUGAAGUAAGACAGAGAGAAGCUGUGAGCGAGCUUCACCCUUCUGCACUUCUGUUCUACCAGCUGCAAUCAAGUUUCCAGCCGCAACAACCACCAUCUCCACCGACAACCACAGCCACACCAACCCAAAACAGAAAACCUGUCGCGUGCUUGUGAGCCGAGAGGAGGAAAACAUUUUCCAGAUUUUCGUGUGAAAGCUUGACUAGUUGUGAGUUAUUCUUUAAUGGGGUAUGUGUACACCUCUUGGCUUGUAAUAGAUAGAGCUUUGGCGAGCAAUUUGGUCCAUUUUCCCCUUCCCCUUUUGUUUUAAUUAGUGAAUGUAAUAAGUUCAUUAGUUUGGUUGCAUGCCUUUGUGUUACGUGUUACUUGCUUUAUUAGGUUUUGCAUCUAGUCGAGCAUGUUAAGUGUUACGUGCUACGUGUUUAUGGGCGUUUGGCAUGUCUACUAGCUUUCUGUAGUGUAGAUGAAUGGAAUGGAUGAAUGUACGUUUCCACUAGUCCGACGCUAGUCGGAAUUCAUAGAAUGGGCUAGUCCAACGCUAGACCCUUAGGGAUUUCCCCUCAUUAGCAUAAUCAUUUGCUUGUUCACCACAUAUCAUGCAUUUUUCUUAGUUUUAUCACUUGGCAUGCUCCUCGAACCCCCUUUCCCUUCAUUUUAGGAUUUUUGCAUAUCAUGAUAGUUGUAGGGUCCAUUUGCUUGAGGGUCCCUUUCUGAUAAGGGAAACGAGCGAGUGUGGCUACUCGAUAGCCUUAGCACACUAGUUUUGCCUUCUAAUCAAAGGGAAAAUCGAAGUCGACAAGUUAGGAGUCAUUCCCAUACCCGACCUGAUGCAUUCCCUUAGGUUCAUUCAUUCUCAUUUAUCACUCACUCAUUCUUUUCAAUUCACAUUUCCUUUCCUUAUUGUUCAUUUUGAUUUCUACUUCACGAAAUUGCAUUUAAUUACACCUAUAUGCACUUAUCACUAUAUUUCAUACACUUGCACACAAAUACUUGGAAUUUUCAUACAAUUGCACACGUGCACCUUUUCAUACACUUGCACACAAACACUUGGAUUUUUAAAUUUCUUUUCAUACACUUCCACACUUGCACAUUUGAGUCUCAUUUGCAUUAAUCGACCUCUAUGGGGUUUUCCUUUGUUGGCCGCCACAAUUCAUGUGGUUUGGGAUCAAAAGCCUCACGAGAGACAUCGUAGAAUUUAGGAUUGCAUUUUUCUCUCCGUUUUGCAUUCAUAUAGUCAUAUCCAACGUGCGAACAUAUAUUGGGUAGAAAAUUAGGAAAGGUAAGGUUAAGUCGCGCAACUAGCCUUGGCUAGGUCAAAGGGGUGCCUUGGAUUCUAUCCUUGCCUUCCCCUUUGUCAAACGUGACCCCCGAACCUUUUUCUUUGGCUUACGUGGACUAGGAGUCGUUUUAAAAAGGGUUUUACUACUUUGUCUUUAAAAAACACUUUUUGGGUGACUUGGUACACCCCAAAUCUAUACCAAGUGGCGACUCCGUUUUCAUAUUUAAAAAACCCUUUUUAAAAUUUCAAUUGGCCAAAUCGUCGCUUUCCAAAGUCCCAUGGCCUUUUUACCUUUCAUUUUGCACACGUUCACACCACACUUCACACACACAUCACUCACACAAUUCACACAUUCAAAAGUGGGGCGCGACAAUCCCCCCACACCUAAUACCUACAUUGUUCUCAAUGUAGAAAAGAUGAAUGAAGUAUAAGGAGAAAAUGAGAGAAACUUCCCUGACCACCGAGAGGGUGCAGCGAGACACUAAGGCGGAGAAGGGUGGGGUGGCUAGAAUCCAAUGUGAGCAAAGAAAGCCGUCUGAUGAGAGAGAUAGUGAUGGUGGGACGGGCAGCAGCGUGCGAUGGAUGGCGCGAGGGGGAGAGAGAGAGUUUCUAGCGGCAGUGGACAAGGGGGAAACCUUGGACUAAGACAAAACAAAGAAAAUUGAAAAGUAGAAGCUGAGACAAUGGAAAUUGAUAAAACCAUACAAGACAAGAAAAGAGAAAAGUAGAAAGUGGGAUUAGAGAGGGUCCUGGUCAAUCUUUGACUUUUGUUGGCGCAAAGGCUGGAAGGCGUGGGCGCGCCUUGGAAGCUAUAGUCUUCUGACCGUCAAUUCCAAAGCUUCAUUCCUUAGGCGUGACCAACUAAAGUGGGCAUGUCUAACUGCUAGCUUCCUGCCACAAAACAACAACCCACUAAAUGACACUAAUACUUAACAAAAAUUUCGAAAAUAUAACAAAACUAAAACAAAAGAAGCCUUGGGUUGCCUCCCAAGCAGCGCCUUUCUUUAAUGUCUUUGGUUAGACAUCGUCAUGUUUAUUCACGGAGGAUAAAAUCGUGUAGCUCGUUUCAGUACUUCAUCUUCUAUGUAUCCUUGAUAUCCCUCGUAAAUAGAGUAAUUCUUGAGCACACGAGGUAUGGUCUUCCAUGGAUUAGUAGAUGCCUCUAAACAAGUCGAUAAGAAUCUUAGUUCUUCACUUACUCCUCCAUUACGAACACUUAAUGGUUCGAGAUAUUUUUCCAUUGCAACUCUUAACUUAUUCCUGUCAUGAAACUCAAAAUUAUCUGGCAUAAUAAAAUCUAUUUCACUAACAGGAUUUAAAGAAUAAGAGUUCGAAAAAUAUUGACUAAGGAAUGGAGGAAAUGUCACCGCAUUUAGGGAUUGUUCACUGAAUUCAUUCACUUGAACAAUUUGGUAUUGGGAUCCUAUUUCUUCCACUUCAAUUCUCUUCUCAACUGCAUCUUUUGCUUCUUCUUCUUGAGACUCUUGCAGCUCUAUGUCAUUUGUCAGGAUAAUUGCACUCUUGACGGGUAUUUUACAUACGUGCAAGCUAAAAAAUACCGAAUUACACCCGUUCACUGCAAGUAUACAGAUCAACUAGUAGUUUAGGGUAUAUAUCGGGUCGAUUCCACAGGGAAGAGUGAACAAUUACCGGUAUUGCUAAAGCUUCUCUAUUAUUUAGACUAUCAAUAAAUUAUAACAAGUAAAACCUACUGAACUUAUGCAAGAAAAUAACAAAUGAAAGCUCCUUAGGUUGUGGUAUCCCUAACUACUCAUGCAAGUGCUAUUUUUUGAUCAUUGAGUACUACAUCUAAGCUAGUUAUGGUGUAAUUUCCUUAUGCAUUUGAAUCCUACUUUCGUAGUGAAUCAAUUAUACUCAUAACUAAUCCAUACCUAUUCUCAUGGUUAUGAAAUUAGUUACAAGUUCAUUUCUUCAAUGAAAUUACAUAAAAUUAAUCACCAAAACCCCAUAGGUGCACCUCUACUCUCGUGAGUGUACUCCCCAUGUUUAGCACUUAUUGAACUAAUAUUAAAUCUCAAUUUUCAUUGCAGAAAUAACACCUUAGAUAAUCACAAUUAAUGGUACCAGAUUAAUCAUGAUUUAAAGAGCUAAAGUGCUAAAUAACUUGCUCAAAUUAUGGCAGUCAAUUAGCCAAAUAAUAAAUACUAACAAUCAUAGAAAGUUCAACCAAACCCAAGGUAUAAACUUUAAAGACACAUAUUAAAUAUAAAAUCCAGAACUUGCAUAAUAACCAUAGUUAAGAAUCCAAUACAAAAGAUAAAGAAUUGGAGUAGAGAUAACCCAUGUCACUUGAGCUUCAACUCCUCCUUCUUCAUCUCCAUCUUCAUCCUAAUCUACCUAUUAUACAAGAAUGGAUUAACUACACUUACUACACUAUAUAUCCUACACUAAGGAAAUGGAAGAACUACAUUUCUGCACUUCAAGCUCUCUCCCGUAUGUUUUUUUUUUGUCUUCCCAAGUGUCUCUGCAUAUAAGCUGAUGAAAAUCUCCUUUCUAGUCCAAAAUUUCUGCUCUAAUGAUUCUCAAUUCUCCAUUUGUUAAGGAAGUCAAAAACAAUGACUUUUGACUUGGAAUAAGCCAUAUUGUAUGCUCUUUUUGUCUUCUGAAGCAUGUGCACCGAAUUCACUUGCAACUUAUAGCUGGAAAGUAGUCUGAACACAAGAGAAUUGACUGAACAAAUUGCAGAAUUUCGGCCAGAAAACGCGCCUACACAAAACGCGGUUACAAGUCACGUUUUGUGUACUCGCGUAUUCACUUUGGCCUUACUUCAUCUGUGAUUUUCUCUAUCAUAAAGGCCUAACUGGCUUUUGUACAAAACACAAAAGUUGUAGCCCUUUGAGUUAGCUUUUCAAUGCUUCAAGAAUCAUCCAAAUCGGAGCUUUGUAGCCUGAGAUAUGAUCAUAAUACUAAACACUGGUCAGAGCUCUGUUUUCCACUUUGGACAGCUGAGUUGAAUUUCGGUAUUUCAACUUUUGGGCUAUGAAAACGGCUGAAUUGGACUUUGAUGUUUUCAUACCAAAUUUAGAUCUCUUUCUUAGCUUUAAAUUGGUAUAAAGAUCACCUCAAUCUGAUCAAUGUAGCUCCAGAUAUAGUCGAAAUACUGAAGAGUGUCAAAACUGUCUUGACUUGCAUUUCCUUACUUAAACGUUUUUCACUUCAUUUUUCUUUUUACCACUUUGAAUUCAUCACCAAAUCUCUAUUUUUCACUUCAAUUGGCAUCCUUUGGUGGUUGAAUCAUCAUUCCUGCAUAAAAAUGAAGUUUUUACUAUUAAAAUCAAUAGAAAUGCAAUAUUAGCCACUUUUACCAAAAAUGUAUAUUUUUACCAAAACCUUAGUUAUUUUAAUUAUAAAACUAAAUAAUCAAACCAAAUUAACUAAUAAAAUGCACUUAAAAAUACGUAAAAUAAAUCCUUAUCAAAUACCCCCACACUUGAAUCAUUGCUUGUCCUCAAGCAAUAAAAAAAAUACAAACCAACAAUGAUCCAAAAUUUGAAAAUAAACAUAUGUAGCAUUUCAACUUCAUUUCCUAAAAACAAAGUAAAUAACCAUUAUGCAAUUAUUCAAUUAAGUUCAAGUACUCAUAAUAUCAAGUAAAGGAGAGCCAAUUAUACCGUAAUUAUAACAAGUUUAAUUCAAUUUCUCAUUCUUACUUAAUUUCAUACGCAAGUAACUCAUAUGGUCAAUAAUAUGCUUCCUAAACUCAUGAUCUUUUUUUUAUUCAAAUUUAAAAAGGGAUUUAUUUAUAUAAUAUAGCUAAAUAUUACUUAAGUUGUGAAAGUAUCUUUUUACGCGAGGAUCGACAUUUUUAGAUGAAGAUCACCGGUUACUCAAUACUUCACAUACUCAAGUUGUUUUGCAUACUCUUAAUUCAAGUACCGUUUUACGUGAAAGUCGACAUUUUUAGAUGAAGACUCCCGGUUACUAAGUACGAGAAUCAUUGGAGUAGAAUAAAUCUUAUUCAUUUUUUUUUCUUUUUUCAUUUUUUCUUUUCAUUAUUUUUCAUUUUUCUCUCUUUUUUUUUUUAGUAAAAAUAAUAAACAUUCCCUCAAUUGAUUAAUCAUGAGAGGAGUGUUGCAAUUACUGACCAUAUUUAUCACUUAACUUAUAAAAUCAAAUGAAGCGAAGAAAUUUCAUCAAAUAUGCAAAAAAAUAUAGGCAUAAUUUUCUCCACUUUAAAAGAUAUACUUUUUUACAAAUGCAAAAAUUAUAAUCACAUAAUAGUCAUUUCCAAGUUAAAUGAGAAAAGAAGUGCUUAAAUCACAUAUAUUUAUUUCAAAUGUAGAAGGAAUUUGAACUACUAAUGGUAUGGAACUUGUUACCCCUUGGAUAAAAUCGAAAAAACUUUAAACAUUUUUGGGGCAAGUUUGCAAUUUCGGACAAGAUUUUAGAAAAAUUGUGAAUUUUAACACAAGUCUCAUAUUUGCAACUAAUAAGUCAAUCACAUACAAUGUAUAUAAUCUCAAUUCUCCCCCCACACUUAACAUACACAUUGUCCUCAAUGUGUAAAAAGGAAAAUCAAGAUAAAGAAAGUAAUACUCCCCUAUGAUGUGAUUGAAUAUGAAGUAUCAAGGUACGUUGUUCACCUGUCUUCAUCGCUUCAUGAAUUCCAUUUGGUAACCAUUAGUGAUAUAAACUUAAAAAUGGAAAUUGAGAAACAAAAGUGAUAACAAAGGCUUAAGAAAACAAAAUGGCGAUCCGUAACUUCAAGUCUUUGUUUUGGUGAUGUACCUAUAUAAAAUACACAAUAAACUAUGCAAGGUAUAAUAAAAUACAUGAGGCAAAGAAAAAGAAUGCGCAAGAAUGUCAUGUUUCCUUCAUUCUGGGGCAGAAUUGAAAACGUUGCUUACGUUUUCAAAACGUGGCAUAAAACGUGGCUCGAUGGAGCGUUUUCAAAACGUGGCUCGAUGGAGCGUUUUCUGCCACAUUUUCUGUUGCAAAUUUUUGCAGAAAUGCCAACUUUGAAAAAUUACACAUCUUUCUCCAAUUACUCAAAAUGCAUCAUAGAUCAUUAUUUCGACAAAAUUAUCAAUGCACGCACAUGUAAAAUGAUCAAAACAUGCAUUCUAAACCUCUUUAAUGCAUCAAAAACCAUAAUUACUGAAUUUGAGGUGUUGAGAUCUUUGAUCAAACUUCGCAUUUUUCACCUCAUUUGGUCACUUUUGCAUCUUUUUCCAAAACCUACAAAUGAAAAAUAACAAAAUAACUCAAACUCAUACUUUAAACAUAAAAUCACUCCAAAGUAACACGAACUUAAACAAAUAUUGGGUUGCCUCCCAAUAAGCGCUUCUUUAAAGUCAAUAGCUUGACUAUUUCACCUCAUUUUUCAAGGAGGUUUAGUUAACGAAUAAUCCACCAUUUUUGGCCUUGGUGGAUCAUUGUAAGGUGACUUAAUAGAAAAAGUCACAUGAUCUAAUAAUCUGAGAGAUGGAAGUGACUUAUAUAUUCCAAAUGUUUCAUAGAUAUUACCUUGAAUAUGCACCACUUGAGAACUUACCAAAGGAAAUGUCAUGAGAGUAUCUUGGGCAGGAAUACCUUUAGAACCUAUACUUUCAAUGCACUCCUCAAGAGGGGUGAAAAACGAGUCGUUAAAACUCUCUUCUUGAGGUUCAAAGUUAGUUCCAAAGAUAUUAUCAUGUGAAAUGGAUAUUUGCUCAUUGAAACACAAUUGAGAUUCAUCAUUUUCAUUAAAAUGCAACCCAUUUUCACAUACAACAUUCCCACCAUUCAUGCUAGGAUCAUUUUGCAAAUUAUUAGAGGAAAUAACUUCACACAAUGCAUUCAAUUGCUCAAGUAUUCUACCAAAGUGAGAAGCGUAUUCAUCUAUUCUUUCCUCAAUCCUAUCAAAACGGUCGAAAGUUGCAUUUGCUAGCUUUUCUAUUGCUGAAUCAAAUUGAUUAGAAAAAUUUUCUACAGCUAGCUCCCAAGAUGCAUUAGAAUCAUUAGCUAAUGGUUCACUUUCUAACUCCCAAGGCAGAGGUGCAUUAGCUAACUUCUCUAUUGCCAACUCCCAAGAUGGUUUUGAUUCAUAUUGGACACUUCCAGGUUGGUAAUCAUAAAAACAUGAAUAAUCACUAUAAGUACAUUGAUCAUCCCAACCAUAAGCAGGAGAAUUGCUCCAAUUAGCACUAUAUUGAUCAAAAUAGGGAUUGUAAUGCUCUAAUUCAUCAUAAUAAUCCACAUUUUGUGCUUGUCUACAUGUAUUAGAAGCAUGAUAACCUCCACACAAGUCACAAAUCCAAUGAUAAGAAUUAAAAGCAUUAGCAUUCCUCCCUUGCUUAAUUUCAUGCAUAAUUGUGUCCAUUUGAACUUGUAACAUCAUAACAUCAAAUUUAGCCUUUAAGCACCUUAAACCAUCUUCAAAAGACAUACAUUCAGUAAAUUCUUGGUUACCUCUAUUGAAGGAGCUUUGCACUUGGUAACCAUCCAUUGCCAAUCUUCCACUUCUCAAACUUUGUCCUCCAAAUUGACCUACCCUUCUCAUUACCUAAAAUUGCUUUUAAACAACCUCAAAAGCAAAAUUAGUAAGAAAAAUAGGUAAUGAAACACAUACACAUAAAAUACAAAAAAUAACAGAAAAUAACAUUCAUAUUAUAACUAAUAUUAUGUCUAAACUAAUAAAGUUGCUCUUCACACCGAUAUUGCCAAAUCAUCCCCGGCAACGGUGCCAAAAACUUGACGGGUAUUUUACAUACGUGCAAGCUAAAAAAUACCGAAUUGCACCCGUUCACUGCAAGUAUACAGAUCAACUAGUAGUUUAGGGUAUAUAUCGGGUCGAUCCCACAGGGAAGAGUGAACAAUUACCGGUAUUACUAAAGCUUCUCUAUUAUUUAGACUAUCAAUAAAUUAUAACAAGUAAAACCUACUGAACUUAUGCAAGAAAAUAACAAAUGAAAGCUCCUUAGAUUGUGGUAUCCCUAACUACUCAUACAAGUGCUAUUUUUUGAUCAUUGAGUACUACAUCUAAGCUAGUUAUGGUAUAAUUUCCUUAUGCAUUUGAAUCCUACUUUCGUAGUGAAUCAAUUAUACUCAUAACUAAUCCAUACCUAUUCUCAUGGUUAUGAAAUUAGUUACAAGUUCAUUUCUUCAAUAAAAUUACAUAAAAUUAAUCACCAAAACCCCAUAGGUGCACCUCUACUCUCGUGAGUGUACUCCCCAUGUUUAGCACUUAUUGAACUAAUAUUAAAUCUCAAUUUUCAUUACAGAAAUAACACCUUAGAUAAUCACAAUUAAUGGUACCAGAUUAAUCAUGAUUUAAAGAGCUAAAGUGCUAAAUAACUUGCUCAAAUUAUGGCAGUCAAUUAGCCAAAUAAUAAACACUAACAAUCAUAGAAAGUUCAACCAAACUCAAGGUAUAAACUUUAAAGACACAUAUUAAAUAUAAAAUCCAGAACUUGCAUAAUAACCAUAGUUAAGAAUCCAAUACAAAAGAUAAAGAAUUGGAGUAGAGAUAACCCAUGUCACUUGAGCUUCAACUCCUCCUUCUUCAUCUCCAUCUUCAUCCUAAUCUAGCUAUUAUACAAGAAUGGAUUAACUACACUUACUACACUAUCCUACACUAAGGAAAUGGAAGAACUACAUUUCUGCACUUCAAGCUCUCUCCCGUAUGUUUUUUUUUGUCUUCCCAAAUGUCUCUGCAUAUAAGCUGAUGAAAAUCUCCUCUCUAGCCCAAAAUUUCUGCUCUAAUGAUUCUCAAUUCUCCAUUUGUUAAGGAAGUAAAAAACAAUGACUUUUGACUUGGAAUAAGCCAUAUUGUAUGCUCUUUUUGUCUUCUGAAGCAUGUGCACCGAAUUCACUUGCAACUUAUAGCUGGAAAGUAGUCUGAACACAAGAGAAUUGACUGAACAAAUUGCAAAAUUUCGGCCAGAAAACGCGCCUACACAAAACGCGGUUACAAGUCACGUUUUGUGUACUCGCGUAUUCACUUUGGCCUUACUUCAUCUGUGAUUUUCUCUAUCAUAAAGGCCGAACUGGCUUUUGUACAAAACACAAAAGGUGUAGCCCUUUGAGUUAUCUUUUCAAUGCUUCAAGAAUCAUCCAAAUCGGAGCUUUGUAGCCUGAGAUAUGAUCACAAUACUAAACACUGGUCAGAGCUCUGUUUUCCACUUUGGACAGCUGAGUUGAAUUUCGGUAUUUCAACUUUUGGGCUAUGAAAACGGCUGAAUUGGACUUUGAUGUCGUCAUACCAAAUGUAGAUCUCUUUCUUAGCUUUAAAUUGGUAUAAAGAUCACCUCAAUCUGAUCAAUGUAGCUCCAGAUAUAGUCGAAAUACUGAAGAGUGUCAAAACUGUCUUGACUUGCAUUUCCUUACUUAAACGUUUUUCACUUCAUUUUUCUUUUUACCACUUUGAAUUCAUCACCAAAUCUCUAUUUUUCACUUCAAUUGGCAUCCUUUGGUGGUUGAAUCAUCAUUCCUGCAUAAAAAUGAAGUUUUUACUAUUAAAAUCAAUAGAAAUGCAAUAUUAGCCACUUUUACCAAAAAUGUAUAUUUUUACCAAAACCUUAGUUAUUUUAAUUAUAAAACUAAAUAAUCAAACCAAAUUAACUAAUAAAAUGCACUUAAAAAUACGUAAAAUAAAUCCUUAUCAACUCUCAUCGUCAUCAUGAUCGAUAAUCAUCUGUGAAGGUAAUUCUUCACUCAUUCGAGAAGUCAAUUGCGUUAUUCUAGAUGUCAUUUGAUCCAUUUGAUCUGCCAAGUUACGCAUGCUCGCUUGUGUCUCCUGAUGAAAUUGAUAUGUGUUAGUAGCUAAUAAUUCAAUCAUUUCUUCAAGAGACAUACCUGACAUAGAUGAUGGUUGUUGAGACUCUUGCUGUUGAAAACCUAUUGACCUUUGUUCAUAAUUAAAAUUGGAAUCAUUCCACCAUCCUUGAUCAUACCCAUUUGAAUAAGGGUCAUACCAUGUUUGAUAUUGAGGUGAAAAAUCUCCAAAACUAUCGAUUGGAGCACCUGGGCCAUCUUGAAAUGCGGGAUAUAUGUCAGUUGAUUGACCUGAGGCAAAAUAAGUUCCACAAUUCGCAACAGCCUAUUGAUCAUUAGAAAAAGCAUGAGUCUCAUAACCCCAUCUAGAAAUAAAAUCCACUCUAUCACCAAAAUACAAAAUAUUAGUAGCCAUAAAAAAAAAGAUGAACUAAAAAAGAAACAAAUUAAUCAAGCGCCAGUCCUCGGCAACGGUGCCAAAAAUUAACAGGUGCCGAACCUGUGCAAUAAUAAAUCACUACUCGAGAGAAAUACAAACUUUGCAUAUAGUGGUGAGUAGGGUCGAAUCCACAAGGAUUGGGGAUAAUUCGUUUCUUCUAAAAUUCAAAGUAUGGGGGUUUUCAGGAUUAAAUGCUAACUAAUUAAAUGUAAAAAAUAAUUAAUUAAAAGAAAUAAUUAGAGAAACUCUAGCCAAGGGUACACUUCAGAAAUGGUUCAUGCACUGAUCAUCGAUUCACAGAUAAUUCCAACAUUUAUUAAUAGAUUAGUUAUAAUUGUCAUGCACGCGAUAAACAACCAACCUUUCCUUAAUUUCUCAAUAGUUAAGGUACUACCGUUAACUAUUUUUCUAACCCGGAAACAACCCUAGGUAUGACCGUAGGAUUUAAUUUCUAGAUUGCAUUAAUAAUUAGAAAGGCCCAAUCCUAACUAACAAAUAUGCUACGAGGGUUUGUUUAAACUAGAUCGUAUGUUCCCCUGACAUAAACCCAAUUAUGCCAGUUGCUACUGGGAUGGAGAUAAUCGAACAAUUACGGAUUCAACUACCCCCAAUUAGCAAAUAGCCUACGUGAAUAAUUAAAUAUUGCGCACCUAUUCAAUCAUACACGAUAGCUAUACCAAUAAUUAAAAGUAGAAAACAUAUAAAUACCAAUAAAUGAAGGAAAUAAUUAAAAUAAUUUAGAUCUCACAGUAAUUGCCGAACCAAAUCUUCAGUUGUCCUUUGACUAGAAUUAAGAAGCUGGUUCUCCAUGAAUUAAGAAGCUAGUUCUCCAUUAAUGGAGAACCAGCCGUGCGGAAAUAAAACAAUCGGAGCUUUCUAAUGUUUUCAGAUGGGAAAAGGAAACUAAAGCUGAGCCCCCCAAUUACACGUGAAUCUGGCCCUUUUAUAUCUUCAGUAGCCGCCGCCCCCGAGAAAGCUAACGUCUGACCUUAAAAAGCAAAAGCUAAGCUAAUGACUAAAUGCCCCUCCCGUAAAUCUGGCUUUUUUCCUCCUUUAUAGCGCCGCCAGGAGCCAAGAAAACGUUUGACCCAAUUAACGAAACCAAAGCUAAUCUUUUGGAGCUUUAAUUCCAUGCUUCUCGCGGUUCACGUGAACCCAACCUUCUAAUUGCCCACUUUUGUUGCUGCCAAGCCCGCUGGUCCGGCCUUUAGGUGAGUCUCCUCAGUUUCUGGCGUGAGCACGCUCUGAAAUGAAGGGUCUUCUGGAAAUUUGCCUCAAGAGAUUACUUUUAACACCAACCACCUACAAUUCAUACAAAUAUCAAAUAUGAGUAAAAUCUUAAUACUUAGCACAGUAAGUAACCAAAAUUAGGACAAAAUAACAGUGCAAAAUGUGCCCAAUAAUUGCUCUAUCAUGGAGGCAACAAAAUAAAUCAAAAUGUGGAAUCUCUUAUCUAUUUAAGUAGUUUUGUUAUGUCUUACUUGUACCUAAAACUAUUACGUUCUACAAUUAAAGCAUAUGGUUAUUGUUAUGAGCUUGUAACUUCGAUUCCUUAGCAUCAACUUGCGUUUAGUUUUAGCUGAGUAUCAAGCUAUGCAAAACAUACUUAGAUAAGUUUGGUAUACACACCGAAUUGCAUUCACAUAUUAUAAUUCCACCUAUAAACAGCAACUCUAAAUUAUAAUAUUUUUAAACAAUAGAUACAAACAUGAAAAUCGUUAAAAUUAAAGAGGUAAAUUAGUCAUUAGUUUUGCUUUUGUCGCUUAAGUUGUACAUCACUUAGUAUAGAAUUUUCCAUGUAGUAUAUUUCAAAGCACAUAAACAUAAUAAUGUUUGAUGAUAUAAGAAGAGCUUAGAUGAAAAUAUAUAAUAAUAUAAGAAAAGUCAUGUAAAUUGAAUAUAAUAAUAUUAGUUAAAGGUAUUUGCAUUUUACAUGGUAUGGGCUUCCUAAGGAAAUGUCAAGAAUAUUCUUAUUUGACAACUAAAAUGAUUGAAGUGACCAAAAUAAAUAAAUAUAAUAUGCAUCACAUUUUAACCCGUCAUGGUUUUGUGUUUUAUUACAUAAUCCCAAUUAUUUUAGUGCUAUACCACAUAACCCUCAUAUGAUUUUUAAAAUACAUAACCCCCUAUGGUUAAUUAAUAAUUUUAGAUUUUAUAGAUAUUUUAAUUGAUUUCAUUAUGAAAUACAAAUAUAGUCAUUUUGACACUUUAGUUCAAAUUAUGAGAGGAUUAUAUAAUUUUUUCAAAAAGUCUUGCAUCUCCUUGUUCCAAGAAUGCCCUUGAUUGCCUGCUAUUUGAACUCUUUUCGGAUAAUUGUCAAAUUGGUCCUUAUUAUGGUAUUUUCGUUCUACUCCCUGAAAUAUAUGCAAAUUACGAAAAGUGAGUAGAAUCCAGCAAUUAAUCCACAUCAAGUCAGACAAUAGGGGAAAUUAAUAAUAAAAUAAAUGAUAAAAUUGCGCGCUAUCAUUAGUCAUUAGUUUGUUUUUGUCGCUUAAGUUGUACAUCACUUAGUAUAGAAUUUUCCAUAUCGUAUAUUUCAAGGCACAUAAACAGAAUAAUGUUUGAUGAUAUAAGAAGAGCCUAGAUGAAAAUAUACAAUAAUAUAAGAAAAGUCAUGUAAAUUGAAUAUACUAAUAUUAGUUAAAGGUAUUUGCAUUUUACAGGGUAUGGGCUUCCUAAGGAUAUGUCAAGAAUAUUCUUAUUUGAAAACUAAAAUGAUUGAAGUGACCAAAAUAAAUAAAUAUAAUGUACAUCACAUUUUAACCCGUCAUGGUUUUGUGUUUUAUUACAUAAUCCCAAUUAUUUUAGUGCUAUACCACAUAACCCUCAUAUGAUUUUUAAAAUACAUAACCCCCUAUGGUUAAUUAAUAAUUUUAGAUUUUAUAGAUGAGUACUUUUGAUAUUUUAAUUGAUUUCAUUAUGAAAUACAAAUAUAGUUAUUUUGACACUUUAUUCCAAAUUAUGGGAGGAUUGUAUAUAAUUUUUUCAAACCACAAGAGAGUUAUAAAUUUACUAAUAUUUGGUUCCCAUGUGAGGGCCAUAUUUAUUGUCAGAUAGUCCAUUAGCGUAGGUCCAUAUGACAAUUUGGAAGUAUUGAUGACUUGAUGUCAAGAGGCUUGAACUAAAAGACUAUUUUUUUAAAAAAAAAAAUCAAAAAAACUACUUUCAUUUAGUCCAAACAAAAUACAAAAAAAAAAAACGUACUAAAAAUUUUCAAAUAAUUUAAACUUAAAGUUUGGUGCUACUUGGACUUUUCUAAAGUGCUAUAAAAACGCAGCAGGUUCACGACAGAAAACAGUAGACUAUUGAGAGGUUGUAUCCAGGAAGAUUUAUUAAGGAUUAAAAUUGAAUCCUACAAUUCUCAGACAGUUUAGUAAUUGCCCUUCACUUUCUUCGUCCUAUGAGUCUGGAGUGGAGUGCUGGUAGUGGUCGACAGUGGAGGGAGUAGAGUGGUGGUUGUGGGGAGGGAGGGAGGAGGGACAAUGUGUUUGGGGCCCGGGGGAGGGGGGGGGAGAAAAGAAAAAAAAAAUUUUUUAAAAAAGAAAGUUUUUUUUUUCAUAUUUCUUAAAUACCUAACUAUACAGAAGUUUUUUCACAAAUUUUAUAAUAAAUUACAACAAAAUUUUAUACAAAAAACCAAAAAACUCACCAUUUAAAUGGGGGUAUUGGUUUGACAAAAAAAAAAAAAAAUGGGGUAUUGGAUAAUCAGAUAACCCUUCUUCUUAUAUUAGCUAGGGUCACAAAGCUCAAGUUAUUUCCAUGAUUUCAAUGUGUUUCUCUUGGAUUCUAUCUCACAUAUAUUAAUUGCUGCGUUGGUUUUGUACUUGAUGUCCAUUUUGGGUAUAAGUUGGGCGAAUAAAAGUAUAAUUAGAAGGUGAAUAUGGGAACAGAUAUCUGUUACAAGGUUGCAGAAACCUUCAGAAGGACCCUGCAGAUGAUAAUCUUGCAAAAAAGGGUAGCCCCUAGAGGAUAUCUCUUAUAAUUUCAAGAUGUGAUGAUAAGGUUAGAGCAAUGGGCAUUAGCACACUGAUCGUUCGGACAUACGUUGGGAGCAUUGUUUAAGGCUUCCAUCAAUUGAGUAUGAUACAUCUUAUGCUUUAAGAACUAAAGUAGAACAAAUUAUAUAUAUAUAUAUAUAUAUAUAUAUAUAUAUAUAUAUAUAUAUAUUUAGAACUAAACAGUGAAAAAUUUCACUUAAAUUCAAUAGAUUUUAUGUUUUAGAUAUAAAAGUGUCUCAUUUUCAAGUUUAGGCACCAAACUAGGGAUUCAACUAUAGUUAAACGGCACAACAUAGAAUUAACUCCAAGAGGAAUUUUUUAGUUAUCUGGAAAGAGAAAUAUUUUAUAAAUCAGUCCCCUCCUUAUUGGUGGCUUAAAUUGAACACGGCAGGCUACUAGUGCCCAAAAUGCAUUUAACGUCAUCAUCGCUAAUACGGACGGAUUGUGGUGGCCGGGGUUGGCAGUUGGGGGGACAGUUGACAGUGCCACUGGCGUGCUUCAAUUUGCCACCAUGACAGUGCCAUCUCAGCUGCCCUACUCUAAAAGAAAAGGAAAUGAAAAAAUCUAAAAAUAAUAAUAGAUGUCUAAUGAGUAAUAACAAAUAUAUAUCCUUAAUAUUUUAUUAUUUAUUAAGAAAAAAUAUUAUUUUAUUUAUUUUUUAAAAAAAUAAAAAUAUUUUUUUUUUAUUUUUUUCUAGCUCGAGCUCGACCUUGAAAUUGUCAGCUCGUCGAGCUCGAGCUCGAGCUCGAGUUCGAGUUCAAUAAAAUUAAGUCAAGACUCGACUUGAUUAGGUCAAAACUCGACUCGACUCGACUCGUUUGCAACCCUAGCAUCAAGUCAGUCUCAGCAAUCAAUAGCACUUAAAUGGUCCCAUGAUUAGGCGUGUCAAUUGAGAUUUUUGAGCUAGACUUUGGUAAGCCCAAGCUCAACUCACAAAUAAUGUGUGUUUGGAUAUCAAUUUUUUUUUUUUUAUCAAAAUACUAUUUUACUUGCAUAACAAUUAUAAUUUUCAAUCAACUCCGUAUGUUCCUAAUAACUUUUUUUAUCUUACAUAUAUCACAUUAUAAAAAAUGUUAUAGUAAUUAUUUCAAAUAAUCUCCUAUCCAAACACACUCAUCAUAAUUUUAUUAUAAUUUGCACUAAUGAUAGAAGUUACAUCAUCAAUCAUACACCAACAUUAAAGAACAGAUCUAAGAAGUACGGAGACUACAUAUUUGAAGAAUAAAUAAAAAUUAAAAUAAAAUAAUUGUAACUUUAAGAACAUUUGUGCAUGCUUCCAAUCCAAAUGAAGAUGCUUUAAUCUAGUGUAAAUUUUGCUGCAAGGUAGGGAAAAUGAAAUAAAAUGUUCAAUUUGGAAUGAAACACACAUACAAUUAUCACAAUGUAGAUUCCAUAUUAACUUGGCCUAAUAAUAGAGUAGGUAAAAGUUCGCCCGUUAGAAGAUUUCUGUUAGCAUGGUAGAUUAACUUGCAUAAGAAAGAAAAAGUUUUAUAUAAAAACAUGUAUACAAAAAGGUUUAAGUCAUAACUAAGUAUUGUUGGACUGUCAUACUAAUAGCUUAGAACUAACUUGGAACCACCUGAAGGGAUAUAAAUUUCUAUCUGAGUUGUAAACUUGUAAUUUGUAAGUCUUGAAGGUCUUGAUCUUACACAUUUGAAUUUAAAAAAUUUGAAGUGGGUGCCACUACACCCUUCUAAUCUAAACGGGCUCCAUAUAUAACACAGUUGGGGGUAAUAUAUGUGCUCCCAAUUAUUAAAAAGCAAACAAAAACCUUACCAGCAUUUUGGUCCUAUGUGAGGGCCACAUCUAAUGUGAGAUUGUCCUUAAGCAUAGGUCCAUACUACAAUUUACAAGGAUUCAUGACUUGAUGUCAAGAGGGUUGAAUUAAGACUACUUUCUUGUAUGCUUAAAAAAAAGACUACUUUCUUGUACACCAAACAAAAUAUCGAAAAAACAUAUUUUCUAAAAAGUUUAUUGGGAUGAUUUGAACCCAAGGCUUGGCACUACCUGGACUUUUCUAAAGUGCUGUAAAUUUUUUUUGUUUGGGAUAUUCACAGCAAUGAUGGCUGGAUCACCUCAACCUACUUUAAUUUGCAGCCUGCCGACUUUUCUGCCCUGCCUUAAAAGAAAAGGAAAUUAAAAGUACUUAGAUAUUAAGAAAUGUCAAAUAAGAAACUUUACCUCUUGUGCAGUCAAAUUGGACAGAAAGCAGCUUCGCUCUAACCUAAACUAGAAGAAAGUAAAGUGACUAUUUUGAAACUACACAGAUUGCAAAAUCUUAAGUAAUAGAUUACCAAAGGAAAUUUACCAUCUAUUUCUUUUUCGUUCUGCUGAAAGUAGUUUAACCAGCAUGAUUUCAAGCCACAGUACUCAACACAACUUGAAUAGGCUCACGGCGAUGGAUCCCUUCGUGGACUUGACUCGAGUACGCAGCAGGUUCAGUGCAGUGAAGGGUUAAUCCAAGGAAUUAUAAGGAGAAAGUUUCAUUGAGUUCCUCACUCCACCACCAGUUUAGCAGUUACUCUUCACCUUCAGCGUCUCUGAGUCUGGCUCAUUUGUUUAUCAAUUUUGUUUGUUAUUCUGUCAGGCGCACAGAGUCUGCUGAAGUCAAGUCCAACGAGGAGUCCAUUAUCUUGAGCCUAGCUACUGUCUUCAAAUGAGCACAUUUUUUGAUGAAUUAUUUCAUUUUUAUCUGUCAAAAUAUAUAUAAUCUUUUAUGUAUGAAGUUGAAACUACUAAUUAAGUUCGUAUAUUUUCAAAAGUUAUCUUCUUAAACAUAUAAAACCAUUAUAUACAUGUAAUUAGGAAUACGAAAGUGAUACUUGAACUCCCAAAUUACUCUUUUGCAUUCGCUGAUGGCAUUUCAUUGAGUGAAUAGAUUAAUGUUAGAAAGGCUAACAUAGGAAUGCGAAUAUCACUCAUCACUACAAGAAAAUUACCAUUUAAUGACACUAAAAAAUGCCUCUUUUUGUAUGUUUUAGUGACAAUUUUUAAUCUAAUAGCAUUUCCCCCGAGUGUUGGCAAUAUCACUGCCACUAUAGUCUAGUGACACUUGAAAAGUGCCACAAAAGAGUUACUAUGAUAACAUUUUAACAUUUCAUUGUACUAGGGAUAUGUGUCAUGAGAAGAUGCCACUAUGUCAUUUUUUUUGGGUGUUUGCGAAUGCCAACAAUUUAAGUUUUGAUACAACUUUAAAUGCGACUAUUUAAAACUUUCCUGUCACUUUGAAAUGCCACUAAAAAAUUAAGAAAAUAAAAAAAUAAUUUGAAAUUAAAAAUCAAAGUACUCUUAUUGAUCCGGGUAAUUAAUUACAACUCAAGAAAAUGAAAGUUUCGCCAUUUAAACAAGUCACUAACUAAUAAAUCUAGCAAGAAAUUAUAUGACAACAAUAUAAACAAAUUCAUGCAUUUUACAAAUGAAACAUGUCUAAAGACAUUAAUCUUUUAAGCUGAUAACUUGGAAAAGAUCAUGUCUUCUUUGCUUCAUUAAUCUCUCAAAUGCUAUGUAAUCUGCAUUACAAUGAAUAUAUUACCUCUUCUCAAGGAUUAGUUAGUAAAAAUAUUAACUCAACUCAAGAUAUUAGCAAUAGUGGUUGAAAAAUUAACAAUGAUCAAAGUGGGAAGUAAAAUGGGGCACCUUGAACUUGCCAUAGAGAAACUAAAGGCAUUCCAACAAAGAAACCUCAACACUCGCCAAUAUUUCUAAAAUAAAAAAGGAAAUAGUACCAAUCAAUUUAGAUUUAAUCCUAAAACUUGAGAAAUAGAGUAAAUAAUCUAGUAUUUCCUAAUGCUUGACCAUAUUUGAACCUACAACCACACCUUUUGGUCUGCCUAGAAAUCAUACAUCACAAAACCAAUAUCUCUUACAAAGUGAAUGGGAUGUUGGCACAUUUCACUACAUAAUAAUUAACUGAUAACAACAUGCACUGCACCCUUCAUUAUUUUUUGGGGGCAUUGCACCAAAAUACACUACAAGAAAAUUGCGUUUCUGUGACAAGCGAAAGUCGUCACUAAAAAUUCAGAAGUCGUCACAAAAAAAGUCAGUGACGACUUUUACUGCUGUCACAGAGCUGUCACUAGUUCUAUGUCACAAAAGGGAGUCCAUGUGACGACUUUUGAAAGUCGUCACAAACGAUUUCGCUUUUGUGAUGACUCUUGUCGUCACUCAUUGUUGUACAUUUUGUGACGACUUUUAUUGUCACUAAGCUGGCUAAAUUCUUGUCAUAGUCAACCCUUGGAAUUGUCACAUUAUGCUUCCGUUCAGUGACGACUUUUGUUGUCAUUGUUUUCCAUCCAUAAAAAGUGACGACUUUCUAGUGUCACUAGUAAAACUUGUUGGCAGUGACAACUUUUUUAUUGUCAUUUAUUUUUUGUAAAAAGCAAUAAGCUAAUGUUAAUUACGCAACAUAGCUGCCAACAAUCACAAAACGUUCAUUGAGUACCAAGGAGAAAAAAAAAGCCAACAUACGAAAAGAAAACCAACAUUCAUUUCCAAUAGAAGAUCAACCCAAAUACAUAUAUAUAUAUAUAUAUAUAUAUAUAUAUAUAUAAAUGUUGCCUCAAAUGAGUCAUAAACCAUGCACCAUCCAAAAUAAGCCAUUCAGUUACAAUACUAGUGAUUUCCCAUCCACAAUAGAGAGUAGUAAAGUUCUAUACAAAAAUAUGAGCACGAUUCUCAUCUAGAACAAAACAUGAGCACGAUAGGCCUUGUAGUCUUCAAUUCAAAAACCAUCUUCACAGCAAUGACUGGCUUCUUCUUCUUGGGAAUCGUGUUAGAACCUACACGUUACCAAAAUUGAAGCAAUGAGCACUGGUGUUAAAACUGGAACUACACUUCUAGAUAGGCACCAUAUUAUAAAAACUAAUGUCACUCUAAUUUGAAAUUAUAGCAAUUUAAGUAAAUUGCUUAACACAAAAAUAGAGUGAAAUUAUAUAUAUUGAAUAGUAAGCAAGAACAAACCAUUGACAGUUAAUUGCGUACUACGAAAGUAUACAACUAAUCUAUUUCUCUAUUGAAUCUUUCUUGUGGACCAAGAAUAAAAGCGUAGCUUGAUAAAGGCACUAUUAAACUUUGUACAACUAUAAAAUCUCGAAAGUUACCCAAAGUAUAAAUCAAACAACAUUGUUGUGAUUAUUAUUCUGCAUUUUCAUGAAGAGCAUGUCCGAACCUCAAACUUUUAACUAUUCUUGAUCACAGAUGAAACAGGAAGCUAAAAAACCAACUUUUUUUUUAGGGUGGAUCACUUAAAAAAUGGAAUGACAAUUGAUUUAGGGGUGCAAAGUUUAUUAUUUAUUGAAAGAUUUUCUUCAGAGCUUAGGCAACUUCAGCUGUCAGUAUUAUGAGGUCCAUUAAUUGUGGAUGAGAUACAACAUGUGGUAGUAGCUUGGUGGAAGAUUCCACUAACACAGUAACCUUGGAAAUUAGCUCUGGAAUGGGACCUGUCCCAGAAGUGUUUUUGCUGAUCUACUUGUAUCUAGUAUAGGCUUUGCUUUACUAUGUAAAUCUACAUUGCCCCCCCCCCCAAAACACACAAAACACCAAAAACGCCACCAAAAGAAAGGAUCAACUAAGCAAAUGCAUAUAUUCAUUUAGCCCAAUCCGCCAUAUUUUUUGUUUCAAGAAAGCUCCAAUGUGGUGGAGUACAACUGAACCACGUUCAAGAGUUCUAAGAGAACUUUCUAGUUUACAUUGGAUAUUAUGUGCACAUCAAAACUCCUUAAUCUCUAUUAACAAGAACAUGUUCACUUCAGAAUGAGAAAGUAUUAUGUGCAUAUCUAAUCUCAGAUAUAGAUUUUCAGUGAUAAAAGGAUUAGGCCCUAACAAUAAACUAACCACAGAAUGAGAUGCAUUCAGGACAAACUUACUUCAGGACUAAUGUACCACUUGCUAUCAGGACUUCGAUGAGGAUGUGAAUCAGAAUUAAUGAGCCCAUAAAGCAAACCACGGCUCACAUUAAUCCUAUUCAAGGAGGCCAAAAUUUCAUCCACCCGAACAAAUGCAUCAUCGUCUGUCUUCAUGACAAAUUUUGCUGAAACAACCUGUGUCUGUUCAAAAGAUUUAAGUCAAAGAGGCACUCGAAACUUUCCAUGAGCUUUAAAGAGACAGGACAUUACCCCAAAUACGCAUAUAGCUAAAGUCUUCCAUGUGAUAAGGCUAUAGUAGUCAACAAAUGGCAUCAGUUGGAUGUCACCAUAAGUUUUCGCCUCGUUCCAUAGCUCCUCAUUCACCACCUGGUUUUUAUGCUACAAAGCAGAGGUGACACUUUCAUCAUAUUGUCCAACAAAUGGCAGGUUAAAAUUCAGAAGUCAAAUGCUUGGGACAUGACUGAAAAAAAUGGUAUAUGUUUAACUAAUACAAUGAACCGCUCUUCCAUGAAGCAACAAUUCUUUUGUAAAAAGAGACAAAGUUGUUCCCUUUAAUAGUGCCUAUCAAAGAAUCUCAUCUCUUCAUUAUGGCUCACCUGUGCUGUUGAUGCUAUAUUCUAGAAUCAAGCAUGUAAACUCAAGAACUACAGUGUGCAAAUGAAUUGCUAAAAAUUGGUAGAGUUUCAGGAUUUGGACAUGUCCUAAUCCUGUUUCUAGAAGUAAUAGUUCACAUCAAUGGCUGCAGAUAUGCAUGCAGCAGUACUUGUGAUACUUUCUCCCAUUUUGUAGGGCAGAGCAUGUCAUACCCUUCGGGGAAAAAAAAAUCUCACAAUGUGUAGUUAUUAGAAAGAAAGCUAUGAAAUUCAGAGGCAGUCCUGAUAUGCUAAUCAGAUUUACAAGUUCAUCAACCAAAACUUGAGACAGGGAUAGGGAAAGAUAAAAUGCAGCAAUGAGCAUUGAACGAAUGCCCUGUUACGGCCUGCUGUUAGACCACUUGGGCAUUUCAACAAACAGUAAACGAACAUGAAAAAUUCCAGCAAUUCUUUGCUCAAAUGAAGCCACGGUUGGCCCCAAAAUCAUCAGAAGUACAAGGGAUUUCAAAUUCAAUCAUGAUAUAACAUGCGCAUGCUAAAAUUUGAACAAUCAACGGGGCAAUUGCAAUAAACGAAGCCAUGGCAGACAUGCUUAAAGGACUUGGGAAGGAACUGAAAUUCAAAGAAAAAGGGGCGACUUAUAGUGCUCUUACUUGAGCGGUGGCGACGGCGAUUAUGACGAAGCCGAAGACGGUGAGUUGGAAUUGGAAGAUGACUAGGUCUGAUUUCGUCCAAGAGCCUUCAUCUAGUGUUACAGAGAACGGUAGCAGCCCAGGAGGUUGUGCGCGGUGUUGGCGAUGGCAGGCAGCAGCAGAGCGGACGCGGACUGGUGGUGACCUGGUUCUUCCUCCUCUGUCCGUUGCCGCGUCUUUCUCUCCUGAUCUUCCCGUCAGCCGCCACUCUUCCUUCACUCUGUUUUUUUUCUUUUCACGCUCAAGGCCUCCCUUCCAAGAACCCUAGCUGCUUCUCUGCUCUUCUGUUUCUCUUUUUCUCCUCUAAAACCUAGCCGCCCUUUCUCAGGCUUCCCCCUCAGCUUUUCUUGCUCACUUGUGCGCCGCCCUUUUUUUCUCCUCUAUUUUGUUCUUUUUUUCUUGUUUUGUUCUUUUCCCUCUGUUUUGUUCUACUGCCAAAGCCCUCCUCUAUUUUCCUUCACCUGAGCUGGUGCUAAAGAGCUCGACGCGUUUGCGGGUCAAUAGAGGGGAGAAAGGGCUAUCGUCAGUGGUGAAGGAAAUGCUGAAGAAUAAAUUAUGGUGCUGGAUAGCUCGGACUUCAGCGGCUGAUGGUGGUGGAUUGCGGCGGACUUCAGCGGCUAACGGUGGCGAGCGGCAUUUCGAAUCUACGGGAAGGAAGGGUUAGUUCACCAUAGGAAGGAAAGACUGAGAAUGAAAUUUGUCUAAGUGUUGGAAGAGAGAAGCGGCGAGACUUUUGUUUGUAUGUGAACAACCAAAACGACGUCGUUUUGUAGAGAUUUCAGCCACCCGCCUGGCGCCUCUUUCAGAUUUCAGACUGGCGCUCUUUUUUUUUUGACAUCUAAGCACGUCUUUGAGAUUCCAGGAUUCACGCCUUUAGCUUCAUACAUCUUUUUUCUUUUUUUUUUUAGCCAAAUUUUUUUUUCAGGUUUCUUUUUUCAUACUUAAUCUCUUUUUUUUCCUUAAUCUCAUCUAUAAAUAUCAAAUAAAUUAUUUGAUAUUGGUUUCUUUUUUGUGCAUGUAUAUAUAUGUAUGCUUGUUUGUGUCUAUAUACAUCUUUUUGGGUUUGGACAACUCAAUAUACAUAUUAUUUAAGAAAUUACCUUACAAUAAAACUUACACAAUAAAACAUGUUUCAAAAAUUUAACAUGCAUAGAAUCGCUUAUAUACAGUAUAACACUUCUUACUCAUGCUUAUCCUACUCUUUGUCUAUUACUUAGUUUUUAUAAUAAAUUAAAAGAAACAUGUAAUCAAAUAUUCUGUUAAAUGUGUUACAACUCUCAAUCUUAUUGCACGACAGAUAUUUUACUGAAUAAUUUUAAUUUCGUAUAUACCCAUUCCAUAUGAAAAUAAUUAUUACUUAUGAUGUAUUACACGUUAUACUAAUCUUUCACAGUGCUAACAUUAGACUACAAAUUAUAUUCAAUUACACUUUUUCAAAUUAUUUCAGUUAUUGAUUUUUGGGGGUUGUUAUAAGGAAUAAUAAACAAUUCGUGAAAACAUUUUUAUGCUCAGACAUGUCUAUUAUGUCAACUUAGCAAAAAUUACAAAUAUCUAAAAAUAGUUUGUUAUUAUAUCAUUUGCAUUUUGCUAAUACGUAAUGAAUAGGGGCUAAAUUAUAAAAUUAGGGUGUCAUAUCUUCGGUGCUUUUGCUCAUAUAAAAGAAUUGGGGGCUAAAUAAUAAAAUUAGGGUGCCAUAGUAGAAUUAGUGAAAUUUGAUGAAAAUACUAUAGAAUUGCUUAUAUACAGUAUAGCACUUCUUACUCAUGCUUAUCUUACUCUUUGUCUAUUACUUAGUUUUUAUAAUAAAUUAAAAGAAACAUGUAAUCAAAUAUUCUGUUAAAUGUGUUACAACUCUCAAUCUUAUUGCACGACAGAUAUUUUACUGAAUAAUUUUAAUUUCGUAUAUACCCAUUCCAUAUGAAAAUAAUUAUUACUUAUGAUGUAUUACACGUUAUACUAAUCUUUCACAGUGCUAACAUUAGACUACAAAUUAUAUUCAAUUACACUUUUUCAAAUUAUUUCAGUUAUUGAUUUUUGGGGGUUGUUAUAAGGAAUAAUAAACAAUUCGUGAAAACAUUUUUAUGCUCAGACAUGUCUAUUAUGUCAACUUAGCAAAAAUUACAAAUAUCUAAAAAUAGUUUGUUAUUAUAUCAUUUGCAUUUUGCUAAUACAUAAUGAAUAGGGGCUAAAUUAUAAAAUUAGGGUGUCAUAUCUUCGGUGCUUUUGCUCAUAUAAAAGAAUUGGGGGCUAAAUAAUAAAAUUAGGGUGCCAUAGUAGAAUUAGUGAAAUUUGAUCAAAAUACUAUAGAAUUGCUUAUAUACAGUAUAGCACUUCUUACUCACUUUCUUACUCUUUGUCUAUUACUUAGUUUUUAUAAUAAAUUAAAAGAAACAUGUAAUCUAAUAUUUAAUUUGAAAUGUGUUACAACUCUCAAUCUUAUUGCACGACAGAUAUUUUACUGAAUAAUUUUAAUUUCGUAUAUACCCAUUCCAUAUGAAAAUAAUUAUUACUUAUGAUGUAUUACACGUUAUACUAAUCUUUCACAGUGCUAACAUUAGACUACAAAUUAUAUUCAAUUACACUUUUUCAAAUUAUUUCAGUUAUUGAUUUUUGGGGGUUGUUAUAAGGAAUAAUAAACAAUUCGUGAAAACAUUUUUAUGCUCAGACAUGUCUAUUAUGUCAACUUAGCAAAAAUUACAAAUAUCUAAAAAUAGUUUGUUAUUAUAUCAUUUGCAUUUUGCUAAUACAUAAUGAAUAGGGGCUAAAUUAUAAAAUUAGGGUGUCAUAUCUUCGGUGCUUUUGCUCAUAUAAAAGAAUUGGGGGCUAAAUAAUAAAAUUAGGGUGCCAUAGUAGAAAUAGUGAAAUUUGAUCAAAAUACUAUAGAAUUGCUUAUAUACAGUAUAGCACUUCUUACUCUUUGUCUAUUACUUAGUUUUUAUAAUAAAUUAAAAGAAACAUGUAAUCUAAUAUUUAAUUUGAAAUGUGUUACAACUCUCAAUCUUAUUGCACGACAGAUAUUUUACUGAAUAAUUUUAAUUUCGUAUAUACCCAUUCCAUAUGAAAAUAAUUAUUACUUAUGAUGUAUUACACGUUAUACUAAUCUUUCACAGUGCUAACAUUAGACUACAAAUUAUAUUCAAUUACACUUUUUCAAAUUAUUUCAGUUAUUGAUUUUUGGGGGUUGUUAUAAGGAAUAAUAAACAAUUCGUGAAAACAUUUUUAUGCUCAGACAUGUCUAUUAUGUCAACUUAGCAAAAAUUACAAAUAUCUAAAAAUAGUUUGUUAUUAUAUCAUUUGCAUUUUGCUAAUACGUAAUGAAUAGGGGUUAAAUUAUAAAAUUAGGGUGUCAUAUCUUCGGUGCUUUUGCUAAUAUAAAAGAAUUGGGGGCUAAAAAAUAAAAUUAGGGUGUCAUAGUAGAAUUAGUGAAAGUUGAUGAAAAUACUGUAGUAUACAAUGAUGCAAAAAGUUGUCACAAAAUUGGAAUCGGGUAGACUUUCAAUGACAACAAGUUAUGUUGUCACUGUAGAGAGAGCGUUUGUGACGACUUUAUUUGAGUUGUCAUAAAUUCAUUUCCCGCGGCAUCAAAUGAGAUGCGCGCCAACUAUUUCGUGACGAGUUGAGAAUGACAACUUCCAAUGUUGUCACUGAUUAUGCUUGUGCUGUACUCAUCUGUGAUGACACCUAAUGUCGUCACUGAAUUAGGUUAUCUGUGACAAGAUUUUUGUUGUCACAUAAAUUUUUGUCACUGAAAAAUAUAUUUCUUGUAGUGAUAGGAUGACUUAAUGUAAAUGAAUUCUAAUUGAUACUUAGUUGUCUAAUCACACCUACCAUUACAAUUUAGCACACAUUUUUGUUAGGACAUGGUAAACAAAGGUACUUUAUACUAUAUGAAUUUCAAAAGUCAUACAAUUAUGUUUUUGAAAUGCUAAGUAAUAUGCUUUCUUUUCCUGGCAUACUGAUUGUUCUUUUCAUUUUCAAGGUUUAUGUGAAGAACAUCAUACUAUCUCUCUUAGUCAAGUAAUACAAUUCUUUCCCUUUCUUGAUACAAAUUUCCAAAAGCAUCUCUGAACCUAGCUUGGCCAAAAAAAGAAAAGAGAUCUUGUUAUUAACACUAUGAAAGUACAAUGAUACAAUGAUUGUGAAAGAAAGAAGAUUUUAACACUAGAAUAAUUAAUACAACUGCUCAAAGGAAAGAAAAAAAUAGAAAUAACUGAUAUUUCUUAUCUUAAAAUUGUACCCAUAAUCACACAAUAUAAAAUGAUAAAACAAACAAAAACCUAUAUACUAUUGUUUUGUUCUAUGGAAUUUAGACAGGAAAGAAAGUACCUUUAAUGAUUUCUUGUGAUGGUAGACAACAAUGGAAUUGAGAUGCUAGAUGAUAGGGUUUGUGGAUAAAGAUUUGUAGAGAAUGCAAGAUUGAAAAAAUUUUAAUGAGUUUCAAUGUUUGAGGGAUUUACUUUGAUACUUAUCAGUUAAGAUAAGGAGUAAAUCAGGGAAGGAAACCCCAUCAAUUAGGCAACAAAAUCUCAUCCACUUAGCAAACUGUGUUUUUAUUUUCAUUUUUUUUAGAAAAUGCCACUAAAACUUAUGAUCCAAUGACAUCUAUAUCUAUAUAAAUUUGAGAAGUGAUUUUUAGCAACAAACCUCCACACAUCUUCCCACUACCAAUUCUAUUUUUCUAGCAUUUCACAUUUAAUUUAAUUUAUAAAAUAUUCCUCUUAACUUUCACAUCUACUUUUCACAUUUGAAAUUGUUGGUUACUUUUUAAAAUCAUUUCAUUUCAAAUUGUUGGUUAAUGUGCAUGUUAUCCUAUUUGACCUUCAACCCAUCACGUUUUCGAUUGCCUUCCGUUAUUUAUGAUUCUACUCCAAUUAAAACUUCUAUAAGACCAUAACAAGAUAUAACAUCCUUUCAUACUUUCUUAUUAAUUUAAAUAAGUAAGAUUAUUUACAUUCCAUUUUUUGUUAUUCACACUUCAAUAAUCAUUUUGAUCAUAUAGUUUUCAUUAAUUAGACGGAAAAUGGAGUGCAAAUAACAGUUUCCUAAGUAAGAAGUGGCUUCCAUGCCUUUCUAAUUUAAAUAAAUAAGAAGUGGCUCCACUUAUAUAAGAAUUUGGUUUGAAAUUUAUUAGUGGGAAGGUAAAUAAAGAGAAAACAUUGCCAAACUUAGUAAAAGUAAAAAAGUAAAUGAUAAUAUUUUAUCUUUUAACUUAGUAAUCCUAAGUAAAAGAGCAAAAUUAAAUAGAAAACAAAAAGGAAAUAAUGUCGUGGAUUUAAAAAAUCAAGAAUGGUAUCAUUCAUGAAAUCUAAAUUAUGAAAUCACUAAAUAAAAAGCCCAAUCCUAGGAUUUAAUUACUCGAUUGCAUUAAUAAUUAGAAAAACCCAAUCCUAACCAACAAACACGCUACGAGGGUUUGUUUAAGUUAGAUCAUACGUUUCCCUAACAUGAAGCCAAUCACGCUAGUCGCCACUGGUAUUAAUCAAUUAAACAAUUACGGAUUCGAUCAAUUAAUUUGGCAUUAGUUCAUUAGAUUAAUUUGAAUAUCGGGCCCUUGACAUUUAAAUAACAUAACAAGCAUAAAUAAUUAAAUCAGAAAACGUACAAAUACCAACGAAUAAAAGAAACAAAUAAAAUUUAUUCGAUCUCACCGAUAUUUGGAACCGCGCCUUCAAGUUGACCUUCGACUAGAUGAGAAACUUAGCCACGCCUCAUGAGAAAAUCUCCAAGUAAUUUAAUUGAGGUCCAGGCCAUCAAAGGAGCCAAGAAAGAAAAGAAAACUAAAACUAUGCUAAAAGCUUCGAUAAGAACUAAUGAUAAAAAAACUAUUCAUUCCAGAUCUCUAUACGUCUGCUCCUUUUUAAAGCCAAAGAGGACUAAUGCCUCUCCUAGUGCGUGGAUCCCGCCGAAUUAAGAGUCAAAGCCCAAGAAGGGAACUCUGCCGAAUUGCUUCUUGCUUCCCAUCUCUGUACGUUACUUUCUUCUUAAGAGCCAACUGACUAAUGCCCUUUUCCUUUCCUCUGUGGUCCCUGCCGAAGUCAAAGGUCCAAGCCUUGAAAUUCUCUCUGCCGAAGUCUCUGGUUGUAGUCUUCUUAGUCAACAAAAAUAAAGGAAUAGGAGUCCAGUUCUUUUCAGCACUGUGGCCUGGCCUGUGGCUCGUUUGAAGUCUCAAUUAUUUCCAAAAAAACCCUCAGGUUUGGUAGUUUUCUGUUCCCUUUCUAAAAUUAAGUCCACAAACCAAAUAUAAGUAGAUAUCCGCAAUUAACACAAUAUUUGGCAGGGAUAAAAGGGAAAAUUACUAAUAAAAUUACUAACAAUUAGCACCCUAUCAAUUCCCCCCACACCUGAACCAUGCUUGCCCUCAAGCAUGAGAACAACAAUUGAGCACCGAAAUUUAAUAAUGGCUAUUGCUCCAACUACCGUAUUGCCAAGGUACCCAGAAAAACAUAUAUCAAGGUUCACAAGUUAAGAUCCAAGAAAAAUCACCUCAAUUAGCUUCCCAACCACCAACUCCUCCAAUUUAAAGCAAACUAAUCUAAAAAAAAGGAAUGGUUGCUCACAUUUAUCAGCAAAUGGUCCAACUACUAACCAAAAUCUCGACAUUAAGAUCACAAACCGGCAAGCUGACUUAUUCACAUACUAACACAAUCUUUAUUUUAUUUUAUUUUAUUUUUCUUUUUGUUUUGUUUUUGUUUCUUUUUCUUUUUUUCUUUUUUUUUUGAGUAACAAAAGACUUAGUCUAUAGCCCUUAGAGUCUUUUGACGCGAACUCCAACAUUUGACAGAUGGAGGAGCCCGGUUACUUAGCUCCAAUCGCUAUGCGACACGCACUUAUAGCAAUUAUUACCUUUUGACGCGAGAAUCGACACUUUAGGUGAAGAUCCCCGGUUGCUCAGUAGUAACCACUAGCGGAGUACAAUCAACUCUUAUUUAUAACCAUAUAGCACAAUAACUAAAAAUAACACAAAAAAUAACAGCAGCUAGCCUCAAAUUUCCAAACAUGGAGAACUAAAAUUAUUAAUUGGACCAAUUCACAUGAAAAAUGCCAACGAUCAUUCCCUAUGUCUAGAAAAAUUAACCAAAAAUUGAAAAAGUCAAGCAAUUAGCGAUAUUCACCAGAGAGAUGUUCAUGAACUCAACCACAUCAACUUGAUACCUUUUUAUUAAUAAACUUGGCAAUAACAGAAUUAGAGAUAACAAUCCAGCAUCAAACUUGGUAUUCAUAUGAAGACUGACCACUAGAAAGAAAAAAAGAAAAGAAAAUAAACGAAAAAGGAGAUAAAUAUCAAACUAAAACAAAGGAAAAGCCUUUAGAAACUAAAAACAAAAAUACUAGCACCCAAACUGAUCUCCCCCUCACACCUAAAUGACACAUUGUCCUCAAUGUGAUAAUCUAACAGCAAAAGGAAGGAGAAGGGCAACGGUACUUCCGUGAAGUCGUCAAAACAGGGGCGGGUCAGGCAGGAAUUGAAGAGCAAGACCCGCAUGGUGUACAAGUGCUGCCAAAUUCUGCUCCAGGUAAUGCAAGUUGACGCCAACGUGGGCCACUUGAGUCUCCAGUCUUGGUGGUUCCAAUGUUAGAUAAAAGCAGGGUCAAUGUAGCCCAGAAUCGCAGCAAGUGCUCCAAUGAACGAAGUAAUUGAAAUCUCUUGCCAGAAGACUCCCAAACACAGCAAUUAGACCCAAAUAGUGCCCAAUUGGACACAAUCAACAAAUUUCAGCAAUUAGACAUAACUAAAAUUAGCUAAUGACCCAAGAAAUGGGCAACGCCAGCAAUAGUAGUUCAAAAGUCGGACAAUAACUGAAUCACAAGGUUCGUUAUUUAGCAAUCAAACAGGCAGCCAACCAAAUAAAAUCCACAACUGUAGGCUGAAUGCUCCAAUCAACACCACUGGUGCACUCCACAAAAAAUAAAACAACUCAAACGGCCAACCCAAUCAACAACAUGUGCAAGUUAGCCACCCAAAGACUAGACAAAUAUCCCAACAACACAGCAAAUUGAAUGAAUAUGCACUGAGUCUCCAAUUCAGUCAAAAUAAGAUCAAGGGGCACGAUACAGAAACUAACAAAGCAGAAGUCAAGUGAUACCAACAGGGACCCCAACAGAGCAAUGAAUUCAACCAAUUGGAGCAAGUGAAACUCAACAAAUGUCACAAAUUGGACAUUCAAUUACCCACUUCAAGAUACCAAGCCUUAAGAAUUUUAAGAAUCCCAGCAAACAAGCAAUUCCAGCAACUACCGAUUAGAAUUCGAGAAAAUUUAAGAAUUGUAAGCAACACCGCAACCAGUAUCACUGGUGUAUACACAGGAAGGAAUUAAAUCAAACGGUCAACAAUUCAAUAAAUAUCUGAAAAUAUCCCCACAUAUGGUAGCAAUUAAACCCAAAUCUGUCCAAAAUUUACCCUAGAAAAUGUCCAAAUCAACACCCUCUUUUAUCCAUCAAGAAACCCAAACACAAAAGCUCAAAUUCCAGCAAUUUAAGGACCCGAAAAAUACUAAUCGAGGCAGAAAUUUCAAUACCUCCACCUGUCAGAACUUGACAGGUGGUGACGCGCGGCAAGGAGAUGGCGGACAGUAGCAGCAGGUUGCGCGAGGUGGAGCAGCUGCGUGAUGGUGAUGCGAGGAGAAAGAGAGUGCGAGAUUGCGGUAGGGAAAGCUAGCUGGCGACCAGCGUGAGAAGGAGAGCUGGUGGUGGUCAAAGGCGCUGGUGAGUGGAGGUGGCGGGUGGAGCUUGGAACGGAGGAGCUCAGCGAGCUGUGGGUGGACGGUCGUGGGCAGGGGAGCAGCGGCGGCCUUUGGAGCUGCUGAAGGUGGAGACGAGCUGGUAGUGCAGAGUUGGUGGUGAACAGCAGCGGUGGCAGCUGGGUUGCGCGCAAGGGGCUGCUGGACAGAGCAACGGGCAGCGGAUGGCGUGCGUCCGUAGCUUUGGGAGGCAGCGGCGGCAACUGGCACGAGCAUGGCUGGCAGGAAUGGCGGCGUGCACAGAGGAAAAAGAAAGAAAGAAAGGGCGAACAGGGCAGCGGCGAAGAAGAAAGAAAAGAGAAAGAAAGAAGAAGAAGAAAAAGAAAGAAAGAAAAGAAAGAAAGAAAGAAGAAGGAAAAAAAAAGAAAAAAAUAGUUUUUUUUUUUUGGGAAAUUUUUUUUUUAUUGCACACUCAAAUUUCAAAACUCGAAUUGUGAGAACCAAAACUGAAGGUGUAAAACGGAAAAUGUUUUUAUUUUGAAUUUUUUAUUUUUUAUUUUUUAGUUUUUGGGUCGUCAAACACCGCGUGGGCACGCCAAGAUUGAUAAACGUCCACUGACCUUAGGAGAUACAAACACCGCGUGGGCAUGCCAAGAUUGCACUUCCUGAUCACAGUAGAGGAAAAUAUUAAGACCGACUACCACCCAAAUGAGAAACGACAAAAUGAAAGUAAUGAACAACGAAAAACAAUAAAAUUAAUAUUUGGGUUGCCUCCCAAAAAGCGCAUUUCUUUUAUGUUUUUGGCUAGACAUUGCCAUAUUUAUUCACGGAGGAUAAAAUCUCGUGGCUUGUUUUAGUGUUUCAUCCUCUAUAUAGUCCUGAUAGCCCUCGUAAAUAGAGUAAUCCUUCAGCACACGAGCUACGAUCUUCCGUGAACUAGUAGAUGGCGCCAAAUAAUCAAGCAGUGAUCUCAAUUCUUCAUCCACUCCUCUAUCAAGAGCACUCAAUGGUUCAAGAUAUUUGACCAUAGCUACUCUUAACUUAUUUCUGCCAUGAGACUCAAAAACUUCCGGUAUAACAAAAUCAAUCUCAUUAACAGAAAUCAUGGAGUAAGAGUUAAGAAAAUGCGGGUUAGGGAAUGGAGGUGGUGUCAUCACAUUUGAUGAUUCUUCACUGGAUUCUUUCACUUGAAUGGGUUGCGGUUGGGGUUCCAUUUCUUCCUUUUCGGCUUCUUUUUCAACUGCAUCUGUAGAUUUCUCAUUUUGACACUCUUGCAUCUCCUCAUCACUAGUCAAGCAAAUUGCACUCUUGUUUUCUUCAAAAUCAACAAUGGUUUUCGAGGGCAAUUCUUCAAAUUGAGAAGCCAAUCGAUUUAUUCUGGAUGUCAAUAGACAUAUUUGAUCUUCCAGAUUACUCAUUGCAUCCUUCAUCAUCUCAUUUCUCAUUUGUGUCUCCUGUUGGAAUUGAUAUGUAUUAGUAGCUAUUGAUUCAACUAUUUCUUCAAGAGACAUACCUGACAUAGAUGAUGAUUCUUGAGACUCAUACUGCUGAAAAUUCAUUGGCCCUGUUGUAUAAUUAUAAUUGGAGUUAUCCUACCAUUCUUGAUCAUACCCGUUUGGAUUAGGGUUAUACCACGUUUGAGACCAGGGUGAAAAAUCUCUAUAAUUAUUGAGUGGGACACUCAGAUUAUCUUGAUAUUCGGGGCACAUACCGGUUGAAUGAUCCCUGGCAUAACAAAUUUUACAGGUUGCAGCAGCCAUUCUUUCUCUAAUAGAGUUUAGUGCCUCUGAAUAUGCAAACUUAGCAAAAAAACAAGUCUCAUUGCCUUCCCAGGAAACAAAAUCCAAUCUAUCACCAAAAUACGGAGUGUUAGAAGCCAUAAACUAUAUAUAAAAAAAUAAUAGAAAAAUAAAUAAAAAAAUAAAAACAAGAUGAACUCAAAAAGAAAUAAAUUAAUCUGGCACCAGUCCCCAACAACAGCGCCAAAAAUUGACAGGGUGUCGAACCUGUGCAAUAAUAAUUACCUACUCAAGAAAAUUACAAAUUUUGUAUAUAGCGGUGAGUAGGGUCGAAUCCACAGGAACUGGGGAUAAUUCGUUUCUUUUAAAGUCCAAAGUAUGGGGGGUCGAAUCCACAGGGAUUGGGGAUAAUUUAUUUCUUUUAGAGUCCGAAGUAUGGGGGCUUUUUUUGGAGAAUAUAAAAUAACUAAUUAACUAACCAAUAAAACAACUAGUAGAAAUAAAUAGAAAUUAAUCAAUAACCAAUAUGACUCUAGCCAAAGGUGCAACUUUUUAGACACCGUCCAUUCAACUGAUCAUUGAUGCAAAGAUAAUUCGAUUACUCAUUACCAGAUUGGUUAUAGUUGUCAUACACGCGAUGAACAACCAGCCUUUUCUUAAUUUCUCGAUAGUUAAGGUACGACCGUUAACUAUUUCUCUAACCAAGAAAUAACCCUAGGUACGACCAUAGGAUUUAAUUACUCGAUUGCAUUAAUAAUUAGAAAAACUCAAUCCUAACCAACAAACACGCUACGAGAGUUUGUUUAAGUUAGAUCAUACGUUUCCCUAACAUGAAACCAAUCACGCUAGUCGCCACUGGUAUUAAUCAAUUAAACAAUUACGGAUUCGAUCAAUUAAUUUGGCAUUAGUUCAUUAGGUUAAUUUGAAUAUCGGGCCCUUGACAUUUAAAUAACAUAACAAGCAUAAAUAAUUAAAUCAGAAAACGUACAAAUACCAACGAAUAAAAGAAACAAAUAAAAUUUAUUCGAUCUCACAGAUAUUUGGAACCGCGCCUUCAAGUUGACCUUUGACUAGAUGAGAAACUUAGCCACGCCUCAUGAGAAAAUCUCCAAGUAAUUUAAUUGAGGUCCAGGCCAUUAAAGGAGCCAAGAAAGAAAAGAAAACUAAAACUAUGCUAAAAGCUUCGAUAAGAACUAAUGAUAAAAAAACUAUUCAUUCCAGAUCUCUAUACGUCUGCUCCUUUUUAAAGCCAAAGAGGACUAAUGCCUCUCCUAGUGCGUGGAUCCCGCCGAAUUAAGAGUCAAAGUCCAAGAAGGGAACUCUGCCGAAUUGCUUCUUGUUUCCCAUCUCUGUACGUUACUUUCUUCUUAAGAGCCAACUAACUAAUGCCCUUUUCCUUUCCUCUGUGGUCCCUGCCGAAGUCAAAGGUCCAAGCCUUGAAAUUCUCUCUGCCGAAGUCUCUGGUUGUAGUCUUCUUAGUCAACAAAAAUAAAGGAAUAGGAGUCCAGUUCUUUUCAGCACUGUGGCCUGGCCUGUGGCUCGUUUGAAGUCUCAAUUAUUUCCAAAAAGACCCUCAGGUUUGAUAGUUUUUUGUUCCCUUUCUGAAAUUAAGUCCACAAACCAAAUAUAAGUAAAUAUCCGCAAUUAACACAAUAUUUGGCAGGGAUAAAAGGGAAAAUUACUAAUAAAAUUACUAACAAUUAGCACCCUAUCAACUAGCUAGCGGAUAAUAGAAGAGGAAAAUGAUGAUGAUUUUUAAUAAUUUUGAGAACUCUAAAAACAUAUAUUAUAGAGAUUUUUUUUUCAAUUUACGUUAAAGUUUAUGAAAAAUGCUAAUCUAAAUGCAGCCAACAAUUUUAGCGGUACACGAUAUGAUAGGAGAAAGAUUUUUUUUUUCUAAAAAUGGAAGAAAAUAAAUUGGUUAUAAUUUGUUUUUUAUAUUAUAAAUUUUGAUAUAUGGGUAUAACAUAAUAUAUUUUGUCACCUACCUAAAGCAUGAUAUUAUGUCCUUUAUAUCAGAUAUGCAACUAGAGCCCUCCGAGGAUAGAAUAUGUACAAGUGAUUGUAUGCGCUAUAUCCAAUCCACCAUGAUGGCCCACUUAUUUUAUUUUAUUUUUUUGUAAUUCACCAAAAAUUAAUUAAACUUUUACAUUGCCUGAAAAGAACUAAAAGAGCCAAUACUUAUAUGGCUUGCAGUAGUAGGUUAUGUAUAUAGUAAUUAAUCUAGCAUGCCUUUUGUUUUAACAAAGGAAUUAUUUCAUUGAUGAGCAGGUACUGUCUUGAAUGAAAAUCAGUACCUGACUUCCAUUCCUUAAAACUUUAUGUUUGUGACCCUGCUAAAAAGGUAUUUUCUCAUUGCCAUUGCAUUAACUACAGGGAAAACCUCUGGAAGUGGCAGUUUCAGCAAAUUACCAGAUUCAAAAUUUCAAAUAUAUAAUGCCAGAGCUCAAGUGAACGGCCAUGGUAGCAGUUUCAGCAAACUACCAGAUUCAAAGUUUCAAAUAUAUAAUAGAAAAUCACAAGUGAACGGCCAUGGUAGCAGCUUCAGCCAACUACCAGAUUCAAAGUUUCAAAUAUAUAAUAGAAAAUCACAAGUGAACGGCCAUGGUUUCAGCUUCAGCAAAUUACCAGAUUCAAAAUUUCAAAUUUAUAAUAGAAAAUCUCAAUUGAACAGCCAUGGUAUCAGUUUCAGCAACCUACCAGACUCAAAAUUUCAAAUUUAUAACAGGAAAUCUCAGGUGAAUAGCCAUGGUACAAAUCCAACUAAAGAUCAACUCUACAAUGACAAAAACAUUACAAUAUUCUUCCUUGGAAAGGAUUUGCACCGCGGCUCAAGCAUGAAUCUGGAGUUUGUUGAGUCGCUAAAGAUUACUACACUAUUCCUGCCAAGACAAGUUGCUGAUUCCAUUCCCUUUUCCUCCAAAUCUGUUCCUGAGAUAUUGAACAAAUUCUCACUGAAGCCACAAUCAGAAGAAGCCGAAACUAUUAAGAAAACAAUUGCAGAGUGCGAGAUGCCUGGAACAAAAGGGGAAGACAAGUACUGUGCGACUUCACUCGAGUCAAUGAUUGAUUUCACUACUUCCAAGCUGGGGAAAGAUGUUCGAGCAGUUUCAACUGAAGCAGAAAAAAUAGAUACCAAAAUCCGAAAAUAUACUAUUAAGGAUGUUGCCAAGUUGAACACGGCUGAUAAAGUCGUUUCUUGCCAUAAGGAAAAGUAUCCGUACGCAGUAUUUUACUGCCACACAUCGCAGAGUAAUGCAUAUAUGACCAAUUUGGCUGCUGCUGAAGAUGAAGCUAAAGCUAAAGCUGUGGCUGUUUGCCACAAGGAUACAUCACAAUGGGACUCAGAGCAUUUGGCCUUUCAGUUGCUAAAGGUGAAGCCAGGAACUGCUCCAAUCUGCCAUUUCCUUCCUGAGGAUCACAUCAUUUGGGUUCCAAAGUAAUAAAUAUUCUGCAACAAUAUUGCCGGCAUCCCCUGUCCGGGAGUGUAUCAAUAUUUGUCAAUUUAACAUGGCAUUUAUAUUUGCUGCAGUGUGGGAGUUCCAAUCACAUGCUCCUUUUUUUGUUUUUUUGGUUGUUUCAGUCGCAUGUUCUUCCCAUGAUUAAAUGAAACCUUGUUUAGUUUCGUCUCUAAUGGUUGUACUAUGUCGAUGUAAUAUCACCCAGAUGGAAUGGUGUCUGGGUAAGUAUUAUUAAUGGUUCAAUUGUCUGUGGGCUGUUUUUCAAUGUGUUUGUGGGUUGUUUCUAGAUGUGCUACUUUAGUUUUAGACUGUUUAAUAAAAAUUGUUUUUCUAAAACACCUCAAAAAUAGGAUUGUCUACCGGUAUGCUCGAAUUGGGCAUGGGGCCUCACAAAUUCCAUUUUAAACCAGUUUGCCUUUAGAGUAUGAACAAAUUGGAAAAGAGUGUAAGACAAAUUUAAAAUGACCAUUUUUUAAGGUCAAAUAUACUCUCAUGUCUUCUUAAUUUUCGGUGUUUAUAUACUCUUUUUUUUUUCUUUUCGUGGUGAUAAAAUGGUCACAGCUAUAGCAGGUCACCUUAUCGUGGGUGAGACGAGGUAAAUUAUGCUAAUAAGUUCUUUUCAUGAUUUGAAUGUCUUUCUCUUGGAUUCUAUGAUACCUAAUGUAGAACAGGUUGCGCAAGGUUUCAUGGACAAAAUGGAGCGUGCAAAGAAUCACAAGACAAGGCCAGGAGGGACAAACUUCUGAGCAUGUCCGGCGCCAAACUUCGUGGAAAUCAACUUGCAAGGGUGAUUGGUGUGCCAUGACCAGCGCUGGUCGUCAUCGGCAACUUUAUUUUUAUUUUUCUUUUCUUUCUCUUUUUUUUUAAUGUAAUUUCAUUUUUUUUUCAAUUUAGAACUUCUAAUUUAUAUGUAGGGUCGUACUAGGUUAUUUGAUGCUGUUAUUUUGAAUAAAUUAUUUAGCACUUUUGCUUUUAUAAUCAAUGAUUAACUAGCCAUUAAUUGUGAUAAUUUCAAGGUGUUAAAUUUGCAAUGAGAAUUGAAAUUUAAUACUAGUUCAAAAAAGUGUUAUACUUAGGGAAUACACUCACGGGAGUAGGGGCACACUUUUGUGAUUUUGAUGGUUUGUUCCAUGUAAUUUUAUAGAAGAAAGGAGAUUGUAAUUAAUUUCAUAACACAAGAGUAGAUAUGGAUUAACUACAAGUAUAGUUGAUUUACUAUGAGAGUAGAUUUCACAUGUAUUAGGAAAUUAUGCCAUAACUAGUCAAGAUAAUAAUAUUCAAUUAAUUGAUAAUUUCACUUGUAAGAAAAGUAAAGAAUUCUACAACCCUAAGAGCUUUCUAUUGUCAUUUUUGUGACUGUUAUUUUAUGUUUGUAGUGUAGAUUUAAUUUUCUUGUAUUUGUGAUAGUCUAAAUAAUAAAAAAUUUAAAAAUUAUUGGUAAUUCACAAUCUUCCCUAUGAAAUCGACAUUUAAUAUCCUCUAUAUUCGAUAAACGAUAUGUAUACUUAUAGAAAAUAAAGUGUUUAGCUUUUAUUAAAAUUUAGUAUAUGGUAGAACCUCACUAAGUUUUUGACACCGUUGUCGGGAAAGCUUUGGUUCAAUAUCGGUACUAAGAACAAUUUUAUUAGUUUAGAUAUUUUUACUUGUUUUUCUUGUAUUUAUUGUGUCAAGUUUUUUGUUUGUUGUACUUAGUGUCUUGUUGAGUCUUUUAUUUUGUGUUUAAUGUCUUGUUUUUGUUUGUGUCUUUUAAAUUAUUCUUCUUGACUAAUUUUGCUUUUUAGAUUGCUUGAAAGCACUUUUAGGUUCUAAGGAGGAUUGUUUAGUAAACAAACGUAGAUAAAAUUUUGAAAGAAAAAAAGUUCAGAAAUGUACUACAAUUUUCAAAAUUACAACUAUGGAUGUAAUCAAAAGAUAUCCGAAGAUAUGCCUUUUAAAGAUGGUUUAAGUAACUUAAAGGUUAUCAAGAUUAAUUAAAAUUUUAAAAUUUUAUAAAAAAUCUUUUAUGUGUUUAUGAAUUAGACUUUUAAAUUAUGAAUAAAAUUGUAACUAAUGCAUGAUAGUUUCUUUUCCUUUCCUUUCUUAAUCCAUACAAAAUGAAUGGAUUUUGAUUUUCUCCACUCUCCUUUUCUUUUGUACUAGAAUUCUCUCCUUUACUUUCCUCCCCUCCCCUUUCCUUCAAUCCAAACAGAGCCUUAAGGCUUUGUCAAAUUGGCUAGUAUACCGUGAAGACGCAGACAUUCCAAAUGUCUACAUCUAUUGGCCCAAAUCACAUGUGGUCUCCAAUUUGUAUCUUAGGUGAGGAAAGAAUAAUCUCUUGUCUAUUUGUCCCCUCUAUUAUUUUAUUGUUUAUGGUUUCAAUUAUGGCUGUACUUCGGGGAAUACUUACUGUCAGUGUUUUUUUAAUUUGGAGCUGAUUGAAUAGUUCAACCGGUUUGAUCGAGAAUGAGGUCAUUAUUCAAUCCGAGUUAUUCACAUAAAUCGAGCAAUUAUUGGUCUAGUAAAAGAUUCAGUAUGAUGGGGAAAUCAGGUUCUUCAAUAUUCUUUCAUACUUCUUUGUAUCUUCAUAAUUUAUAUACAUGUUUAUAAUAUCAUGAUAACUUCAUUCACUUUUCAUUUCUUUUUUAAUUACGAUACAAUCAAUCAAACCUCUCAAACCCUAAACACCCCCGGCCCCGCGCGGGAAAAAAAAAUUUGUGGUGUGCUUUUUAGUAUCUUAUUCGGACUCAGUUAUAGAGUCCCAUUGACAUAGCUACUCUAGUGCAAAAUGAAGGCGUCGGACAUGAGCACGGCGGGGCAAAGUGAAGAGCCUGAGUAACAUAGGUUGCAGCUGGUUCCAUCGACUUAAUAUAACGAACUUCAAGAUUGAAUGGGACUCUUUGCUCGUUGUUUACUUCUCAAUGAUAAGCUUGACAAGAAUUUCAUGGGUUCACGAUCAUCUUGUAGUAUUCAUGUCGGGAACCACUUCUGAAGCGUUUUGUUUUUGUUAGUUCGGUGGUAAGUUUCGUUAAUACGAGGUAAGUCAACUUUCUGCAAAAAGAUAAAAGUUCACCUGAAAAAAACACAGAUACACUUGCCAGUAUGAAUUUAGCACAACCUGACUGGUACUUACAUGAUCUGAAAACCGGUAGGUGAGUUCAGGGUUGGUCUGGAAGAGUUGAUGUAUUUGACGUAGAUUCAUCAGAAGUUUGAUAUGUUGAUGAUCGUACACAACGUAAAAUAGUAGAUAUACAGAUCAACUACAUACAACCAAUAUUUUGAAAAUUGGAUUGGAUCGGUUGGUUCGAUCGAUUGAACUGCAAACCGAUCAUGUCUCCGGUCCGAUUUACUUAAAAAUUCAAAGAAUUAAUUGAACCGGUCAAAACCGGGGAGGUUUAACCGAUUUUAUUAAGUAUUUAUUUUUUAAAAUAAAUAUUUUAGUUUUAUUCAAAAUGUUUAAUACUAAAAUGAAUAAAAAAUUAUUAAACCUUUAAACCGAAAUCGAACCGAUUGAACCGUAAAUCGAAAGAUUUUUCGUUUCACUCCUCUGUCCGGGUUUAAAAACAUUGCAUACAACUGAACCAAUAAAAAUACUCGAUUCCCCUAGUACCUUUACAUUUGGAGAAUAUUACACUGACAUAAUUGAUAAUUAAUACAACCAGAAGAAACGAGACUAAACAAGGAUUUAUUCAAUUAUGGGAAGAUAAUUAAUAGAAGUCCCAGGCUGCAGAAGACCACACACAAAACAUCAAAGCGACAAAUAUUGAUCACUCGUGCGAUAUCAACAAGCUGCUGCUGCGGAAUAUUUAGUGCUUUGGAACCCACACAAUGUGAUCCCCGGGAAGGAAAUGGCAGAUUGGAACAGUUCCAGGCUUCACCUUGAGCAGUUGAAAAGCCAAAUGCCUGGGGUCCCAUGAAGACGUGUCCUUGUGACAAACAACCACAGCCUUGACUUUUGCUCCAUCAGAACCAACCAAGUUAACCAUAUAAGCAUCGAUGUUCUGGAAGCUGUGGCAGUAAAAAACCUGCGUAGACAUAGUUUUGCUUGUGACAUGCAACCAAUUCAUCAUCAACGAUUGCUUUAUCAUUGUUCAGCUUGGAAACAUCCACAAUACCAUAUUUUUGGAUUUUUCCUGCAUUUUUUGGUGCUUCAUUUGAAAAUGCUAGAAUAUUUUUGCCGAGCUUUGAAGUAGUGAAAUCGACCAUCGACUCGAGAGAUGUCGCACAGUACUUAUCUUCCCCUUCAAUUGCAGGCUCCUCGCAUUCUGCUAUGGUUUUCUUGAUAGCUUCGGCUUGUGCUGAAUGUGGGUUCACUGAGAAUUUAUUCAAAAUUUCAGGAACAGAUUUGGAUGAGAAGGGAGUGGAAUCAGCCACCUGGCGGGGUAAGAAGGCCGGAGUAUCAUUCACUGAUUCAAUAAACUGCAUAUUCACGCUUGAGCCGCGAUGGAGGUCCUUUUUCAAGAAGAAAGCUGUUACUUUUUGGUGAUAAUGGAGUUGGUCUUC
rnacentral:lncRNA from 1 species